AAGUGGCCUUCCUAGUUCCUUCUCCAGAAUACUACUUUUUCAAUCACUCAGCGUUGGCAUUACUAAACAACCAUCUUCUUGAUAGGGUUAGUCACCUCGUCCAAAUUUCACAUAAACUUUACGCAACAAAGAUCUGAAUAGGAGNNNNNNNNNNNNNNNNNNNNNNNNNNNNNNNNNNNNNNNNNNNNNNNNNNNNNNNNNNNNNNNNNNNNNNNNNNNNNNNNNNNNNNNNNNNNNNNNNNNNAACUCAAACUGAGGAUUUGAGGAAAUUUUUUGAUAAUAAAGUAAAACUUUUGAAAAGAGUAAAAAGAGUUUGAGAUAAACAGAGCAGAGUCGUGUGUACGAUCAGCCAGCGCCCGAACGGUGAAUCCCCAAAAGCACCCUUACAUUAUGUAUUAUGAGAUAUGCUAUGUUACAUUAUGCAUGCUAGAGUAGGCUAGGUGUUCAUAUUAGGACUAGAGUGGCCUAAUUUGUGAUGCCUUAGCCUAGGAGAUUUUUGCUGCUGAGAUGCUUUAAGAACGAGUUAGGAGCUCAUGAGAGGGCUAUCAGGGGGUAGCCAAUGCAUAAUGUGAGUAGAGUACUCGUAAUCCAGGAUCCAAGGAGGAGGACUUGGGGUGAAUGCUGAUGCGGUGUGGUCAGUAGUAUUGGGCCCGUACUACUGAAGACACCGGAUCAGUGGGCAUUCCAAGUAAGAAUCUUUUAGGCAGCGGAGGACGAGUAGGUUUGCGUCAUCGAGUGUGAGUAUGUUCGAUCGAGUAUCUGAUAUUUAUUGUUGUAUUUCAAAGGCAUUAUGGUUGGGAAUCGACACACACCUGAGAUCAGUGGUGUCAGCGACGAGGAGAUCCGUCGAUUGAUUCAUGAGGAGGUGGCUGCUGUCAUCCGGGCUGAGAUUCCUGAGAUGUUUGGGGACAUCAAGACCACACUGAUUGAGACUUUUGAUGAGCGGUACGCANCUACAGCUGCAGCUACUGCUGUUGUCGCUGCUGCCAGACCUCAGGGAGGUGACUCGUUGUUGUUCCUGGAGUUCAGCAACACGAAGCCACCAGAGUUCGACGGGACGCAGGACCCGAUUGCUGCUAUGAGAUGGAUUUCUGACAUCGAGGGAUGUUUCUAUACGUGUUCUUGUCCAGAGCACUUGAGGGUUCGGUUCACCUUGAACCAGCUCCGCCUGGGAGCAAAAGAUUGGUGGAAGUUCGUGACGGCGAACUUCACUUUAACUAAGAUUUCCGAGGUGACCUGGGAGAGUUUCACCACUAUGUUUCGAGAGGAGUAUGUUACCCCUGUGGAGAGGGAACGGUUGAUUCAGGAGUUCUUGACCCUCAAGCAGGGUACUGAUUCUGUGGCAGUCAUCACCAGGAAGUUCCAUGAGAGGGCGAUGUUUUGCCCUGAGCAGGUGUCGACUGAGCAGGCUCGUAUGAGCCGUUAUCUGAGUGUGCUGAGGAGGGAUAUUCGGGAUUUCGUGGCGAACUCUACUUACCGGACAUUUGCUGAGCUCCAGGAAAAUGCCCGGAAGAGGGAGAUCGAGCUGGAGACUCAGGCCAGGGAGGAGGCCGAGUCUCAGAGGAUGGAUCGGCGGCCAGCUCAGUCUCAGCCGGCAGCCAAGCGGGCUAGACUCGCUGAUUUGAGAUCUGGGGGCACGAAGGGCCGCACUUGUGGGAAGUGCGGUAAGAGUCAUGAAGGGUCGUGCAGGGCUGGGGUGUGCUACAAGUACGGGAAGGAGGGGCAUAUCGCAAGAGAUUGCCCCAAGGGAUUUUCGGUUUGCUUUCAUUGCAACUAGACCGGCCAUCGGAAGGCCGAGUGCCCGCAGCUUCUUCAGGGAUCAUCGCAGGGAUCUGCGCCUGCCGUCAGGGCUACCGGGGUUCGGCCGGUGAAGGUCGAGGCCCCGAAGGCUCGUGGGAGAGCAUUUCAGUUGACCGCGGAGGAGGUCCCCGCGGCGCCAGAUGUUGUGGCUGGUAUGUAUUCUCUUUUUGUCUUUUAUUCGAGUUGAGUUUUAUGCUUAUAUGAUGUUAUGCGUAUGUACUUUUCUUGUGAGUUCUGUGCCUGCAUUAGUAUUAUUUGACUCGGGUGCGAUUCGGUCGUUUGUUUCCAUAGCAUUUAGUCAGCAUAUUAGUGUCCGUCGAAAGGCAUUGGAUCAACCUCUGUGAGUUUCCAUAGCUGAUGAGUGAGCAAUGUAUGCUUCGGAUGUGUCCUUGAGAUCUUCGGUGUGGAGUUCCCGAUAGAUCUGGUUCCGAUUGCGAUGAGGGACGUGUGUGUUAUAGUGGGUAUGGAUUGGAUGAGCCAAUAUGGAGCUGUGAUAGACUGCGAGCGUCAAUUGGUGACGAUUCGAGACCCUAGUGGGGGAGUUCUUAUGGUGUACGGCGAGGGUACACGUGCGGGGUCAGCAUUUUGUUCGGCCGCCAGAGCGAGACAGAGUCUACAGCAAGGCUGUAGGGGUUUUGUGGCAUAUGUGAUGGAUGCGAGGGUUGAUUUAGAGAGACCGAAGUCAAUUGAUGAGGUCCCGAUAGUGUGUGAGUUUCCGGAUGUAUUUCCAGAGGAGUUGUCGGGUGUGCCUCCGGAGAGCGCAGGUAGAGUUCGGUAUUGAGUUGGUUCCGGGAGUUGUGCCUAUCGCCAAGGCGCCUUAUCGCCUUGCGCCUCCGAAGAUGCAGGAGUUAUCAUCGCAGCUCCAGGAGCUGCUAAGGAAGGGAUUUAUCAGGCCGAGCAGUUCGCCAUGGGGGCGCCUAUUCUUUUUGUCAAGAAGAAGGAUGGUUCGCACCGGAUGUGCAUUGAUUAUCGAGAGUUGAAUAAGCUAACGGUUAAGAACCGUUACCCUUUGCUGAGGAUCGAUGAUUUGUUCGAUCAAUUUCAGGGAGCAUCUUGGUUCUCCAAGAUCGAUUUGAGGUCUGGUUAUCAUCAGGUGAGGGUGCGGGAGGAGGACGUCUAGAAGACAGCAUUCCGGACUCGUUAUGGGCAUUACGAGUUCGUGGUAAUGCCUUUCGGACUCACCAACGCACCGGCGGUGUUCAUGGAUCUCAUGAUCAGGGUGUGCAGACUGAUGUUGGAUCGCUCGGUGAUCGUGUUCAUCGAGGACAUAUUGGUGUAUUCGAGAUCCCGAGAGCAGCAUGAGGAGCAUUUGAGGGAGAUCCUCGGAGUUCUGAGAUCGGAGAGGCUUUAUGCUAAGUUCUCCAAGUGUGAGUUCUGACUACGAGAGGUUCAGUUUCUGGGGCACCUCGUUAACCAGAAUGGGAUAUUGGUCGAUCCGACCAAGAUCGAGGCGGUCAUGAGGUGGGAGGUGCCGACAUCACCCACCGAGAUCAGGAGUUUUUUGGGUUUGGCCGGCUAUUAUCGGAGAUUUAUUAAGGAUUUCUCCAAGAUCGCUGAACCACUCACCAAGUUGACCCGGAAGGGCGUUGCAUUUUCUUGGGGUUCGGAGCAGUAGACCUCGUUCGAGACACUUCGCCAGAGAUUAUGCGAAGCCCCAGUGUUAGCCCUUCUGGAAGGGAUGGAAGAUUUUAUGGUAUAUUGUGAUGCAUCGAUAUCCGGAUUGGGAGCGGUGCUUAUGCAGAGGGGGGCAUGUGAUUGCAUAUGCAUCAAGGCAUCUUAAUCCUCAUGAGUCGAGAUAUCCCACUCAUGAUUUGGAGUUGGGAGCGGUAGUGUUCGCUCUCAAAAUGUGGCGACAUUAUCUGUAUGGGGUUCGGUGUACGAUAUACACGGAGCACAAGAGCUUGAAGUAUUUGAUGGACCAGCCCAACCUGAAUAUGCGCUAGAGGAGGUGGUUGGACGUGGUCAAGGAUUAUGAUUGUGAGAUCCUGUAACACCCGGGCAAGGCUAAUGUUGUAGCCGAUGCUUUGAGCCGUAGGGCGGAGGGCGUCGCAUUUCGAGAUGUCUGUUUGAGAAUGACAGUGAUGACCCCGGUGUUGGAUGCUAUUCUUGGGGCUCAGGUUGAGGCUGUGAAGCCAGAAAGCUAGAAGAGAGAGCGAGUUGUCGGGUUAGUUUCGGACUUAGUUACCGAUAGUCGGCGGCUGAUGACAUUUCAGGGUCAGAUUUGGGUACCGUCCGUGGGCGGCACGCGUAUUUUGAUGGAAGAGGCUUAUCGAUCGAAAUUCUCGAUCCAUGCCGGGGCCAUUAAGAUGUAUUUGGACCAGAAAAAGGAUUAUUGGUGGCCCUGUAUGAAGAGGGAUGUCACAUGGUUUGCAGAGAGGUGCUUGACCUGUCACAGAGUGAAGGCCGAGCACCAGCGCCCACAUGGUAAGCUGCAGCCACUAGAAAUUCCCGAAUGGAAAUGGGAAUAGAUUACCAUGGCUUUCAUCACCAAAUUGCCGAGAACCGUGAGGGGUGUUGAUGCAAUUUGGGUGAUUGUGGACAGAUUGACGAAGAGUGCUCACUUCCUGGCCAUCAGUGAGAGCUCUUCCGCGGAGAAGUUGGCAGAGAUGUACGUGAGAGAGGUGGUAUCGCGGCAUGGAGUGUCGAUCUCGAUUGUCUCAGAUCGAGAUGUACGUUUCACUUCCAGAUUCUGGAAGAAGUUUAAUGAGGAAUUGGGUACGAAACUGCAUUUUAUUACCACAUACCACCCACAGACUGAUGGGCAGAGUGAGCGGACGAUUCAGACGCUCGAGGACAUGCUCCGGGCAUGUGUGUUGGAUUUUGGCGGGAGUUGGGACACGUAUUUGCCCUUGGUGGAGUUUCUUAUAACAACAGCCAUCAUUCGAGCAUUGGCAUGCCGCCAUNNNNNNNNNNNNNNNNNNNNNNNNNNNNNNNNNNNNNNNNNNNNNNNNNNNNNNNNNNNNNNNNNNNNNNNNNNNNNNNNNNNNNNNNNNNNNNNNNNNNACAAAGAAAUAUUCCUCAAUGUUGCAUGCUUACUGAAAGGGUGGUCGAAACCCGUGGUAAUCGAAGCGCUUGAAAGUUGUGGAUUUCAUGCAACAAAUGGUUUAAGAGUUCUUGAGCAAAAAUCUCUUAUAACUAUUACUGGUAAAUAUUAUGAGGUUGUGGGCAUGCAUGACCAUAUUGAAGAAAUGGGCAGAAAUAUUGUUCGUCGUUUGCACCCAGAUAAGCCUCAGAAACACAGCCGAUUGUGGAUUGAUGAUGAAAUUAAAGAUAUAUUGGCUAAUGACUUGGUAAGGUCAAGUUUAUUUGUAAUUUUUAUUAAACUAGCCUAUUAUGCAUUUCUUAUGACACAAGUUUCAUGGUGACUGCUUUUGCAUUACAGGGUACUAAAGCAACAAGAUACAUACAAUUCCAGUUAAUGGGAGGCAAUUUUGAAAUGGUUAUGAAGGGUCUUAGAAAGAUGAGGGAACUUAGAUUUCUUCACAUAUCUCGGAAUACAAGAUCUAAUUUUGCGGAAGAAAGGAAAUAUGAUAAUGUCAGCCAAUACUUUCCAAAUGCUUUACAAUAUCUGCAUUGGUCCAGGUACCCUUUCUGGUCUUUACCCAACACAUUUCAAGCUAAUAAUCUUGUUACACUUAAGAUGGAAUGGAGCAAUAUCAAACAACUUUGGGAAGGGGGAGAAAGAAAGGUAGAAUUAUGGUUAAUUGAUUGUUUUACAUGAUGCCAUACAUCCAUUGCUUUGUAAUUAAACCAAUAUUGAUCUUGUUCAUUUGUUUAUGUUAGGUUCUUAACAAGCUCAAGAUUCUUGACCUCCGUUAUUCAAAGUUGACGACCCUUGAUCUUGGGUCUAGUCCAAAUCUCGAGGCGUUGUCUCUAAGAGGAUGUCGUCACUUGGUACAACUUCACAUGCUCAAUGGAUAUCCAAAUCUCAAGUCCAUCAACCUCAGUGAGUCAAAGUUGAAGACCAUUGACCUUCAUUCAUGUGUGAAUCUCGAGUUGUUAGAUCUUAAUGAGUGCAAUGCUUUGGUAGAACUUCACAUGCCUGGUAAAUGUCUGAAUCUCAGAUCCUUGACACUCACUAAUUCACAGUUGAGGACCCUUGACAUUGGGUGGACUCCGAAUCUAGUGUAUUUAAAUCUUAACCACUGUUAUGAUUUGGAAGACCUUCACAUGGCCGAUAAAUGUCAAAAGCUCACAUCCCUCAACAUUAGUCAUUCAAAGUUGAAAACCCUUGACCUUGGGUUGACUCCAAAUCUAAUGAAUUUAGAUCUAACAGAAUGUAAGAAUUUGGUACAACUUCAUGUUCCCAUUGGAUGUCUAGAAGAUCUUGUCCACUUGGACUUAACUCGCUGUUUGAGGUUUACAUCUUUUAUGUUUGACAAAAGGAAUGUUGCUUCUAGUAGAAAGGAUGAAUCACUUGAGAUUGAUCCUUCAGCUGAGUCACAUCUGAUUGCCAAGUCCCUUGAAACAUGUCCACUUCACCCAGACAAUACUUUGCGACAGUUUCAGUUUGAAUGCUUUUACAUUGAUGAUCCCAAGGACUGUGUGACUAGAAAUCUUAAGAAGCUUAUUUAUGAAGGUCUGUGUGCUUGCACUAACCUUGAGACACUUUCAGAAAGCAUUUGUGGGUUACGAUGUUUAAGAAAGCUUAAACUCGAAGCCUAUCCGGAGGCUCCCAAGGAACUUGACCACGAAGAAUGUCUAGAAGUGCUAAGUUUUUCUAGGACAAAUAUGAAACGUCUUCUGGAUAGCAUUUGUAUGUUGAAACAUCUGGAAGUUCUUCAACUUAAACAUUGUUGGAGUCUUGAGAAGUUACCUGAGGAUAUUGGUCGAUUAGAAUGUUUAAAAAAUCUGACUUUGUUAGAUACAAAGAUUAAACAUCUUCCUGAUAGCAUUUGUAUGUUGAAACAUCUGGUAUUUCUUGAGCUUCGUGAUUGUUCCUUUCUUGAGAAGUUGCCCGAGGAUCUUGGCCAACUAGAAUGUUUAGAGACGCUAUAUUUGUUGUAUGCAAAGAUUGAACAUCUUCCAGAUAGCAUCUGUAUGUUGAAACAACUGAGAACACUCGCUGUUCAUUGUUCUUCACUUAAGACAUUACCAAAGGAUCUUGGCCAACUAGAAUGUUUAGAGACGCUAUAUCUGUCAUACUCAGUGAUCAAGCAUCUUCCGGAUUCUAUUUGUAUGUUGAAAGAUUUGAAACAGCUCGAUCUGAUUCAUUGUUCAUUACUUGAGAAAUUACCAGAGGAUCUUGACCGAUUAGAAUGUCUACAGAGACUAUCCCUAAGGAAGUGCAAGCUUUUACGAGAUUUUCCAAUCAGCAUCUGUAAGAUAAAACGUUUAGAAAGUUUAGGGGUAGAAGGUACAUGCAUAAGUCAUCUUCCACAGGACAUUUGUUUUAUGAAAGGUCUGCGUAUUUCAGGGUCGAGAGGCCUUCUUGAAUCCUGUGGUUUUACAUCCGAGAUACAAACCGUCUCGUACGAAGAUACCUGCUUUGUAGAUGUGUGAAUAACAGUGUAUUAGAGUCCCAAAUCAGUGCGACAUGAUUGAUAUAUGUCUCUAUCUAUGAUGGAGUACUCUACCCUAGAUCCAUAAGGGCUCUUCUGGAGAGAAAAUCAGGACUAUAUAUGGAUUAUAUAUAGCUCUUUUGGAGGGUAUAUGCUUUUGUGAUGCUCCGAAGGCCUAGGAAUUCACAAAGAACCAUUCUGAUAGGUACUUUUUUUUGCUUUCUAUUUGAUCAUCUUAUUUUGAUUCGAAUUUUGAAAUCAGUGACAAUAAUUAAUUCUCUUAGCAAAAUUCAGUAAUUAUACUUUAAAAAACAUACUAGUACUUGCAUAAAAGAAAAAUCCCUGUUAUAGUUUUAGCUUGGUUUUAUAGAGUGGCUUAUUCACUGUUUGUGUUAAAUUUAGAAUCUUACCGAGUUAAAACCAUCAAUGUCUUGACAGAUCCAAAUACAAUGUCAGAAUUUAUCAAGAACUUAAUCAAAAAAAUCCGAGCAACAGAUGUGGAUUUCAUGCAAAUUGUACUUAACAAGUAAAACUUGUAUUCCCUUCUAUUUCCCAUUUUUUUUUGCAUCAUUAUUGUAUUUGUGUUGCUAUUGAUCCUAACAUUUAAAUCAUUUCUUGCAAUUUGGAAUUUGAUGUCCAAAAACCAAUUGUAACACAUGCGAAGACUUUGUGAAGCUAUUGGGUAGAGAAGGAAACAUCACAGGGUUUUGAGUGGGAAUUGAAUAAGUCAAAUUACAACGACUUUUGUAGAAAGUUUUGAUGAAAUUGGUGGGAACUUUGAUAUGAAUUUUUAAACGGUCAUGUUAAUAAUAUGUGAAGGAACAUUUUUUGCAUAAUUUAAAAGGUAAAUAUCAUAAAAGACAUUAAGUUUAUUCCAAAAUUCUAAUUUGACAGUGUGCUUUUUUUUUUUUUUAUCAAAUUUAACACUGGGUUAUCCAAUUUUUUUACAAUUCUGAUAAUUUGACUGGUCAAUCAGGUUACCUGUUGAUGUGACAUGACGACGUGUCAAUCAAGUUGUUGAUGUGACAUGAUGACAUAUUAGUUUUAAUGACGUGGCAUGUUAAGAUGACAUGCGAACGGGUUAAAAUUGAAUUUUUUUCCCACAAAACACACUAACUUUUCACUUUUUUCUGAUUUUGACAUUAAGUUUAUUUAUUUAUUUUUGCAAUUUUGACAUUCUAUUUUUUUAUUCCAAAUCGAACAUCAUUUUUUCCAAUUUUGUUCAAUGUUGACAAUUUUUCAUUUGAAACCGCAUAAAUAUAUUUUUUAUUACAUUUUUAAUCAUAUAAAUACAUUUUUUCGUUUAAAAACCACAUUUUAUAUAAAUACAAAGUCUUUUUUUUACUUCCAAAAGAUAAUGUUAUGCAUAAAUAUGCAUCAAUUAUAAUAUGAGAAUCAUACUAACCAUAAGUUUUGAAUAAGAUGUAAAAAUUUCACACGUUACUAACAUGACUUCUGUACCAUGAUCGACUACACGCCUCAAAACCUUCAAAUUCAUUUUAAAGUUGUGUAUUUAAUAUAAAAUACGGUUUUUAUAUAACUAAUACAUAUUUAUACAUAAAGUUAUGGUUUGAAUGUAAAAAAAACCUUGUAUUUAUACAAAAAUAUGGGUUUUAAAUGAAAAAAAAAUGUAUCUAUACGGUUUAAAAUGUAUUAAAAAAAUAUUUAUAGGAUUUUAAAUGGAAAAUUAUAAACAUUGAACAAAAUUGGAAAAAAAAAUAAUGUUCGAUUUGGAACAAAAAAUAGAGUGUCAAAAUUGAAAGAAAAAAAUUCAACUUAGUGCCAAAAAAAAGUAAAAACUUAGUGUCUCAUGUGGAAAAAAAAAUUCAAUUUUGACACGUCAGCAUGACACGUCAUCAAAACUGACACAUCAUAAUGUCACAUCGGUAACUUGAUUGACUGGUCAAGUGGCCAGAAUUGUAAAUUUUUUUUGAAAAUACAGUGUCAAAUUUGAGACAAAAACAAUAUAGUGUCAAAUGAGAAUUUUAGUGCAAACUUAAUGUCUUUUGUGCUAUUUACCCUAACUUAAAAUCAUAAACAAGUUUUUGUUUACAAAAAUUUGUUGGGAAUUAGUAUGGAUUCAUUAAACGAAAGAUGUUUGACUUUUGAGUUGAACUAUAACUUUCGUCAUUUACUGAUUUUAUUCAUGAAAUUGUAUGGAACAAUAUAUGUGAGUAAACUAUGUGAGUGUUUACUGGUAUUAUACUAAGCUAAUGAAUAUGCUUAAAUAAUAAGAUUAUUUGAAAAUUACAAAUUCCAGCAAAAUGUCUAAAGCUGGAACAGAGGUUUUAAACUUGAAAUAGCCAUCGGUCAUGUAACGCUCGGUAAUUCUCCAAGGCCUCUUGAGAGCAUUUUGAUGUUUUGGAUCCAUUCUCCACAGAUGUAGAGGUCAAAGCAAGGUGGUGGUACAAAUGAGAAGUUGUAGAUUUGGGAUUGUUGCUUCAUUUAAGACCUUUUCAAGGUAUAAAGUCUUGAACUUAAUCCAUGAGUGCUUAAAUCUCUUAUGCUGAGUUUUUGGACCUUUUUGGUCCCAAGGAUGAAGCUUUAUUGCUCAAAAUCGAUUCAUAGGCUUAAGGUUGUCACCCUGGGUGCUAUUUGAGUCCCUAAGUCAGAAAGUUGUUAUCUUGAAGGUCUUGGAGAGUUUAUGCAUGAGUUUUGGCCAUUUUCAUAAAAGUAGAUUGUCAUAUUCCAAGCUUGGACCCAUUUGGUGGCUUGCAAGCCACCAAGUAAUCGACUUUAUGGGUUAAGAUGCUUUAAUGGACUCAUAUAUGUGUUUGGAGCUUUAGGUCUUAAGUGGUUAAGCUCUUUUUGAGAUUAUGUCUUAACAGAGGAGUACGUUGAGCGUACAAUCCCGUACGCACAACGUACAAGUCAUGCAACCUGUACACUUUGCAUACAAAUGAGUACGCCCUGUGUACUCAGUCAGAGUGGGUUUUUUGUUGUUGGGCCUCAGUUUGGGCCAUUUCCAUGGAAUAGUGGCUUGGGUCGAGGUGGACCACCUAGAAUUUGGGCUAAUGGGCUGAAGAAAUAUUUUAGGACAAUAGGCUAAGGCACUAUAAUUCGACCUGUUCAACAUGGGAUAAUGAAGUGUUACUUGUCCGUCCUUCUCACUGUUUCCAUUUUUGCCACUGCUGCCAAUAGUCAUCUCCUCACAAGAUUGAUAUUUUGGCAUACACCAGGAAUGCUCUGAUACCAAAUAUUGUUUGUAGAAUGGCUGUUUUACUUCUUGUGAUGGUGAAAUUGACAGAUAAAGAAGAGAGGCAAUGAGGCAAAUGCUUAUACGUUUAUUCAGAGAGAAAAAUAACAUAGAGAAUAUCAUUACAACGUCACAUUUGCCUAUCUAUUUAAAAGGAAAAGUGGCAUAAUAACAGGAACUAAUGGCCAAAAACCAGGAACCACCUUCCAUACGCCUUUGAUUUAUUCUUUUAGAAAAAUAAAAUGUGCAGAAAUAAAUAAAUAAACUCUGAAUUAUUUUCAACAUAUAGGCCGCCGGAGCUCCACCACCCUCAUGUCAUCGCCGACUUACUCCACUACCUUCACUUGUAUUGAUAUUUUGACCACCACAAAUCAUCCUCACCACCACUGUGAGUAACCAAUCACCAUCAUUCUUGUUUUAAUUGUCUUGAUUUGGUGGAGUCUGAAAUUGACCAGUCGACGAUGAAGCUUGGUAUAUGGGUUUCGUUUUCAUUCCUCGCUGUAAGUUAUGUUAUGAACGAAAAAGCAAAAUAAUUAAAUGUAACCCUUAAGUUUGCUGAUUUGUACGAAAAAGGUCCCUCCCUUAGAAAUAGUUCUUAACGAGGCCAAACUUUCUUUCAUUUAAUCAGAAACAACCCAUCAAUGGACAAUUAUCCUCAGAACUGAUCCCAUUCUCAAACUUGGGUUUAAAAAUAUUCACUUCAGCCCCCUAUUUCGGAAAUAUAUUACAAUAUUAGUCCUUUGGGGAUGAUUUUAACAAAUUGAUCCCUAGAACUUAUUUAUUAUAACAAGGACCACCCUAUACUUAAUAAUUAAUACCAAAACUACCCUUGGCUUAUUAGGUAAUAUAAAUGGACCCGGUGGUUCGUUUUAAGAGCAAGGAACAUCACAUAGCAAUUUCCACGACAAGUUUCACACCACGAACUUCGUUCACGCAUCAAGGGUAAGUGUAUGACCCCCUUUUUAAUAUUUGUAUGCUUUGGGGAAGAAUACAUGUGUUGUAUAUAUUUAUUGUUCGUGAUAAACACUUACCGAUUUCAAAACUAGUUUAUAAAUAUUAUUUUGGUAAAUAUUACUUCAUUUAUAGAUAAACUAGUGAUAAGUAUGUUCUAUGUAUAUAUGUUAUAGUUAUUUUUAAAUAAUGCAACUAGUCAAGACAACAUAUUAUUCUACUACAAAUAUAUUUUGAUUUUAUGACAAAAUAUUUUAUAAAACUUACCACCUUUGUAGUAUUUCAAGUUCACAUCAUUCAUAUAUAUAUAUAUAUAUAUAUAUANGCCCCCUGUUUCGGAAAUAUAUUACAAUAUCAGUCCUUUGGGGAUGAUAUUUGUGUUAACCAAAACCACCCUAUAUUUAAUAAUUAAUACCAAAAUCACCCUUUUGAUUUUAUUGGAAUAUUUAAAUAUACCUGGUGGUUCGCUUAAAAAUAAGGAACACCACGUAACAACUUUCACGACAAGUUUCACACCACGAGCCUCGUUCACACUACGAAAGUGAGUGUUUACGGCCCCUUUUAAUACUUUUACGCUUUUGGGGGGAGACUACAUGUGCUAUAUAUAUUUAUUGAUCGUGACAAACACUUACCGAUUUCAAAAUUAAUUUGUAAAUAUUAUUUUGUUAAAUAAUAUUUCAUUUACAGAUAAACUAGUGAUAAUUAUAUUCUAUGUAUAUAUAUGCUUUAGUUGUUUUUAAAUAAUACAACCAGCCAAAACAGCAUAUUAUUCUACUAUAAAAAUAUGAUUUUAUGACAACAUAUAUUACAAAACUUAUAUCAUAAAAAGUUACUACCUUUGUAGUAUUUCAUGUUCACAUCAUUCAUACAUAUACGAGUUAUCAAACUCAUAUCUUGAAAUCAUUUAUGUACUUGUGUACACUACCAUGGGAUUUCCUACUUAUUUGAGAGAGUAUUAUACACUUUUAUGAAUUUUCUUAUCGAGCAUACACGGCUUUUCAUGAUAAAACUUAGUUAAGGGCCUUAUGAGUGAGACAUUAUUCAUUACCUAAGUUCAAAAAUACUUAGAAGACCCACACCACUAUAACCAUUAAUCUUCGAAGUUGAGAUACGUAUGUAUAGAUCUAUGCGCGUUCACAUCCCCACCUGUGGUUGUUAGCUACAACCUCGACCAAUCAAUCGAAGCGGGUGAUAAAUAUCUUAUUCAUUUCUACAAUGUCCAAUGAAGCGUUGUAGGGGGACUUCAGUCACAUAGUUCGACAAGGUUCAUGAAGGUGUUUGUCGGUCUUCUUCAUCUGCAUGCCGGAAUUACGGUCGAGAGGGACAUUUUGUUAAGGACUGUCAUCAGUAGGCUCCUUCACUGAGUAGUAGGAUCUGCUAUCAUUGUAAUCAUUAGGGUCACGUGAUUACAGAUGGACGUCGGGGUAGGGUGGAGCCCCCGAGGGCUCGAGGUCGUGCUUUCCAGCUCACUGUAGAGGAGGCCAGGGUGGCAUCAGACUUCAUUACUGGUAUGCUUCUAUUUAUUUUUUUGCCAGUUAUGUUAUGGUAUGCAUAUGUUUAUGUUUCUGGUAGGUAUCUUCUUAGUGAACUCUUUUCCUUCUCUUGUGUUAGUCGACUCGGGUGCAAGUCGGUCCUUUGUAUCCCAGUCUUUUAGUAGGGGUUUUAUAUGACCCUUGGAGAGUUGGAGUGUCCGUUGCGGGUUUCUAUCGCUAACGAACAUGAGAUUUUUACAUCAAGUGUUUUCUGGGAUUGUGUUUUGGAGAAUUUUAUGGUACCUUACUCAAUUGAUUUGAUCCCAAUCCCCAUGGGAGACGUGUGUGUGAUCUUAGGGAUGGAUUAGGUAAGCAAAUUUAGGGCUAUGAUCGAUUGCUAGGGUCAACAGGUGAUAGUUUGAAUCCUAAUUGGGGGAGAUUUGGUUAUUUAUAGAGAGGGUACCAGAUUGGGAUCAACCUUUUGUUCUGUUGCCAGAGCUCAACAGUAUAUUCAGCACAAAUGUAUGGGUUAUCAUACUUAUGUGGUUGAUACCCAAGUUAAGAAGCAGGUUUCGAUUUCAGAUGUGCAAGUGGUUAGAGAAUUUGCUUAUGUGUUCCCAUAGGAGUUUCCUGGUGUGCCUCCGGAGAGGUAGGUCAAGUUCAGGAUUGACUUGAUUCUGGGUGCGGCCCCUAUUUCUAAGGAGUCGUACCAUUUGGCACCACCUGAGAUGCAAGAGUUGUCCUCUUAGCUUCAAGAACUCUUGGUCAAGCAAUUUAUCAGACGGAGCAAUUCGCCGUAGGGAGCACCGAUUUUGUUCAUCAAGAAGAAGGAUGGUUAACACCGGAUGUGCAUUGAUUACCGGGAGUUGAACAAGUUUACGGUGAAAAACCGCAGAUUGAUGACCUCUUCGAUCAAUUUCAUGGUGCAUCUUGGUUCUCCAAGAUCGACUUUAGGUCAAGGUAUCAUCUGAUGAGGUUCAGAGAGGAGGAUGUGGAGAAGACCGCAUUCCAGACUCGUUAUAGUCAUUACGAGUUCGUGGUGAUGCCAUUUGGGCUCUCCAAUAUGCAUGCAGCUUUCAUGAAUUUGAUGAAUUGGGUAUGCAAGUCGAUGCUUGAUAGAUCAAUCAUUGUUUUUAUUGAUGAUAUAUUGGUGUAUUCCAAGACUAGGGAGCAGCAUGAGGAGAACCUUUAAGAGCUUAUAGGAGUGUUAAGGUGAUAAUGAUUGUAUGCCAAGUUCUAGAAGUGUGAGUUUUGGUUACGAGAGGUCCAAUUCCUACGAUGUCUCGUUAACCAAAAUAGGAUUUUAGUUGAUCCAGCCAGGACUUAGGCCGUGAUGCAGUGGGAGGUUCUGAAGUCUUCCUCUAAGAUCAUGAGUUUCUUGAGUUUAGUAGGAUAAUAUCAGAGAUUUAUUUAGGAUUUCUCCAACAUUGCAGUACCCCUCAUCCGUCUGACGAGGAAGGGCAUGAAUAUUUAAUGGGGCCCUAAGCAGCAGGUGGCAUUUGAGACUAUGAGACGGAGAUUGUGUGAAACCCCAAUGUUGACCCUCCCCGAGGGUGUUGAGGAUUUUGUCGUGCUUUGUGGUGCAUCUAUCACAGGUUUAGGCGCAAUGCAUAUGCAACGUGGGAUAGUUAUUACUUAUGCUUCACGACAGCUAAAGCCGCAUGAGGGCCAUUAUCUGACUCAUGAUCUGGAUUGGGGGCAGUAGUAUUUUCUCUCAAGACUUGGCGGCACUACUUGUAUGGGGUAUGAUGUACUAUCUACACGGAUCACAAGAGUUUGCGAUAUCUUAUGAACCAACCGAAUCUGAACAUGAGACAGUGUAUGUGGCUUGAUGUGGUAAAGGAUCAUGACUAUGAGAUCCGAUAUCAUCCCUGAAAUCCAAUGUGGUGGAUGAAGCUUUGAGCCGCAAGGCGGCUAGUUCUGCGAUUGGAGGUCUGUGUAUGAGGAUUUCGAUUGAUUCGACAUUGUUGGGUUUUAUCAGAGAAACUAAGGCCGAGGGAGUCAAGGAGGAAAUUUGAAUUAAGAGAGACUUAGAGGUAAGAUUGACAGGUUUGCUACUGACUGCUACGGUUUAUUGACCCGAUAUGGACAGUUUUAGGUGCCAAAUUUCAGUGGCAUUAGAAAGACUAUACUGGAGGAGGCACACAAGUCCAGGUUUUCGAUACACCCCGAGGCCACCAAGAAGUACAGGGAUUUGAGACUUAGCUACUGGUGGUCGUACAUGAAGAGGAAGAUAGCUUGGUAUGUCGAGAGGUGCUUGACAUGUUGAAUGGUCAAGGCCGAACACCUGAGACCGCAUGGCAAGUUGCAUCCAAUGGAGUUCCCAUGUGGAAGUGGGAACAUAUUACUAUGGAUUUCAUUAACAAGCUACCUCGGAUGGCUAAGAGGCAUAAUUAAUUUGGAUGAUAGUAGACCAGUUGACCAAGAACAUCGAUUUAUUAGCUAUCUACAAGAGCUCAUUAGCCGAGAAAUUGGCCAACUUGUACGUGCUCGAGAUCGUUGCUCGACAUGGUAUUCUAGUCUCCAUCUUAUCUGAUUAAUAUGGUAGGUUCACAUCUUGUUUCUGGCAGAAGUUCCAUGAGGAACUAGGUACAAUACUUCAUCUCAGGACGACUUAUCAUCCGCAGACGGACGGUCAGAGUGAGCGGACCAUUCAGACACUUAAGUACAUGUUGAGAGCCUGUGUCAUUGAUUUUGGUGGGAUUUUGGACAACUACCUUUAUUUAGCUGGGUUCUCGUACAAUAUCAGCUACCACUGUAAUAUCGGUACACCGCCUUUCAAGCUUAUCUAUAGAGGAAGUGUCGCACCCCAGUGUGUUGGGGAGAGGUUGGACAUAAGGUCAUGGAAAGGACCGAAGUAGUCUUUCAGGCGAUAGAGCUUAUCCAACAGAUCAGAUAGAGACUUCAAAUAGCUCAGAGUCGGUAGAAAAGUUAUGUUGACAAUUGAUGAUCCGAGUUGGAGUUCCAAGUCAGAGAUAUGGUUUCAUUGAAGGUAUUGCCCCGGAAGGGUGUAAUAUGCUAAAGGAAGAGGGGAAAGUUGGGGCUCCGAUAUAUUGGGCCAUUUUGGGUGAUAUCCAUGGUUGGCAAGGUAUCAUACAUAUUGUAUUUGCCUAAGGAGCUUAGCCAGAUCUAUAACACCUUCCAUGUAUCUCAACUUCGGAAGUGUGUAGUUGAUGAUUCAGUGGUUGUUCCUUUAGAGGAUGUUCAGGUUGAUGAUCACCUGAAUUACAUUGGGAGGUCGGUGGCGAUCUUGUAUCAGAAGAUGAAGGCUCUACGUAACAAGGUGGGGGAGCAUUACCCGUAUUUGUUCACAGUAGGGGACUUUGAGGACUUAGUCUAGUUCAAGUGGGGGAGAAUUGUAACAUCUCGUUGAUGAGGUAUUUUUAAUUCUAACCCUAUAUAUGAAGAAAUAUUGCAUUUUAGCCCUUGUGCAUGAGAAAGAUUGCAAAAUGGUCCAUAAUGGCAUUUUUGUAAUUAUGGUGGCAGGCUCAAGUACAUAGGGCAUACUCCCAGCGUACGUAGGGCGUACAUGGGUGAGCCACAAACCCUAGUUUUUAGGGUUUGGACCCUAUAUAAACAUCAUUAACCUUCAGGUGCUCAUUCCCUCGCCAGCCUCCAACCCUCAUUUCGUCAUUUGCAAACCCUUAAUACACUUUUGAGCAUUAUUGAGCUUUGUAUUUGUGUUUUGGUCACCUUGAAGGAGAAAGGAAGAAGAGAAGGUUAGCUUAGAGAAGUAGAAGUCUUUGGAUCCAGGAUCUCAUCACCUUUGGGCAUCAAAUGGUGGUAAAAAGAUUUAAACGUGAUGAAGUUAUGCAUAGAUCUAAGUUAGCCAAGAAUAUGGGUUCUCUUGGUCCCAUUAAUUUGGUAUUUUGAAUAUGAGUUAUUCCAAUCCAUUUAAGUUGUCCUUUCAAACGUCUAGAGUUGUUUAUAUGCAUAAAAAUGUGGUCUUGAUCAUUUCUUCCCUUCCAUGCGUGUUCUACAAGGUCUUAAUAGGUUAAGUAAUUAAGGUUUUUAGUAUUGAGCGCUUUUUGGACAUGCAAGACCAUAAAGUUGCAACUUUAUGGUCAAAUACGUCUUUUGGGGCUUGUAUCAUACUUUCGACGUAAGGUCUUGAUGUAUUAAUCUCUUCAUGAGAAAAGAGAUUAACCAUGUGCGUACGUUGGGCGUACCAAAUGGUACGCAACACGUACGCGGUCAAAGCCCUGUCUUUUGGUCAACAAGCGAGUAUGUCCAACGUACUGAGGAGUACGCCCAACAUACUCGACUGGGUUGGCUCGGCUGGGUUGAGUCGGAUGGUUUAUUGACUUUGACUUUUAACCAAGUAUAACCUGAGGGUAUUUUAGGUCAAUUGAGUGGUAUUUGAGAUCAGUCAUUGUUUUAUGUUUAGGUGAUCCGUUGGCUUGUUAUUUGGAGUUGUGAUCUGCCAGACAUCUUGUAGACUAAGAGGUGAGUUAUCCUCACAGUAAUUACGGGUCAAAGGCACUAAGGCCGUCCCAAUGGAUUGAUAUCCUGUUAGAUACCGAGUUAAGAUAUGUUGAACAUGUGAUAGACCCGUUCGAUUACCUGAUAGUUAUUGAUAUCUGUUAGACUGGUAGAUCUGUAGGACUACCUGUGAUUAAUGACGGUAUACUUAUAUGCUUGUUGAACAUGUACAUUAUUUGUUAUAUGUCGACAUAUUACAUUGGAGUUGAGACUACUGUGUUGUGCUGUCAGUUAACAGACUGGUGGAAUCCAACCAGGAGGUUGUGGGCCAGGGCAUUCCAACCGAUAGAUUGUGGGCCAAGGAUAAUCCAACCAGGAUGUUGUGGACCCAAUAUGUGGUAUGCCAGACAAUCCAACCGGCAGGUUGUGGGCCAGGGUAAUCCAACUGGGAGGUUGUGGACCCAAUACGCUAACCUAUGUAUUUUAUAUCUUGUGUGAUGGUACUUUGGGGGAACUCACUAAGAUUUGGCUUACAGUUUCAAUUUAUUAUUUUAGGUACUUCUGAUGAUCGCAGGAAAGUGAAGACAUGAUCAUGCACAUCUUCCUGUUUUGUGUUAUGGGAUCUUGUGAAAUCUCUGAUUUUGAAUAAUACUUUUGAAACAACAGUUCUUUUUGUAAACAAUGAUGGUUAUUGGUGGCUUUUUGUAACAACCCGAUAUUUUAAGUCAAUAUAUUAGUUUAGGUCAAAUUGUGACUUGUUUUAAAGUAAUAAAGAAAAUUAACCUUAAAAAAUGUUAAAUAAACUUGAUUUGAAUGAAUAAAGUGGUAGAGAUCGUAACACGGUUUCCAAAAAUAUAAAGAACAUAGAAAUAUGAGCUAUAACGAAGAAGAUAUGACCUAUCGAAGAUCCGUGACAAAACCGGCAAAACACUAUGUAGCGUAAAGAGUGAGUUUUCAAUAAAAUGCUUUUUAGCCUUAACAAUCUAAAUGAAAUUCGUAGAAUACAUUAAACCAAGAGUUUACAUAAAAAGAACGUCUAAAUAUGACUUUGUAUGAGGAAGUUAUGAUAUUUCUAAGAUUCGACACAACAGUGUACAUCCCAAAAAUCAAACUAAAGAUUGAGCUAUUUUUAGGCAACACAGCCUAAACAACAAUUGAAGAUCUUGUCAAUAGUAGUGCAAUGGUAAAAAAACAGACAAAAACAGAUGUCGAAUGAAAAUUUUAUGAAUUUUUAACGGACUUUUCCUGUCCCGGCCCGUUAAAAAUAUAACAUUAAAAAUAAAGUCAAACUUAGCCGACGGAGUCUAAAUGGAAGUUAUAGAGUAUAAUCUCACAUAUGCGUGGAUAUAAAGAGCGUAAAAAACGGAGCUUAUAUGCAAAAGAUAUGUAAAUUUGAUGUUCUGGGCACAAAAUACGAGGUCGGGUCGAAGCCGUACGCCCAACGUACUUCGUAUGUACGCCCAUCGUACUCAGAAACAAGGUCCGGAGUCGGCCAUGUUGCCCUUCCUUCUCAUAUUGACACAUAUCAGCCACGUUCGAAGCUCAAAUACCGAACACGCGCCAUGUAGCUUGUACGCCCAGCGUAACGAGUACGCCCAUCGUACCGAAGUUAUGCCCAACGUACUUUGAGGUUUCAGCCAACUAUAAAAGGAAUGUGAGGUCUUUGGAUUUAUGUUACAAAUUUUCUUAUUCUUUCACCCUAAACCCCUCUCUAACCACUCUAAACCACCCCGAAGCCUUGAGAACACCCCUAACACCCGAAGAAAGCCCGAAACCCCGAAGUCCUUGAGAAAAUAAUAUUUUCCUGUUGAAACUCUACCCGCAUAGAUCCCGGUUUUUCAUCAGAAACUCAUGGUUUCUUCGAGAAAGAUCAUUUAUAGAAACGAAACACUGCCCAAAUCACCAUUUAUCAGGUGAUUUCAUACCCCUAUACUAUUCCAAAAUUUUCUAUGUUUUUAGGGGGGAAUACAAGUAAAAACACAAGUAAUAUUGUGUUUAAAAUACAAAUUGUUUAUUUCGCUCUUUUAUAUAUAUUAUAAACAUUGUACGCAAAAAUACUAACUAAAUUUUUUUGUUACCAAACUUAUAAACUCUCCAGGUUGUUAAAAUACAAUAGGCUCAUGUUACGUAAAUUACACACGUAUAAACUAUAAUGGGUACAGUUUAUGGAACUUAUGAACUAUUUUACGAAGUCCAGGUUAAAAACAUGGAAAUAAACUUAUAAGCUAUAAUAGGUACAGUUUAUGGAAUAAAAGGAUCUUUUUUCAAAACUACUUGUUAUUUACAAAAAGAUUUUCUGCUUUAUUACUAGUAAAUUCGUUGAAACAAUUUGUGAGACGCCUUCAUGUACUUAUCUAAGUACCCAUUAAAUUCUUGACUUAUAACUAGAGUCUCCCGGAGGGAGAGCAUGAGUUUGUGUAUAGAUCUAUACGGGACUGACAAUCCCGCACCAGAGCUGCUUGCAACACUAGGUCGGCAGACCUGUGGUGACAAAUGUCAUACCGAUUCCAACGCCUGAAGAACGUCGUUUUAGGCCAUCUUAGGUCAUCAAGUAUGGUUAUGAGAACUCACAAGGAGAAAACAAUGAUAUAUUUACGUAUUAAUAUACUUUCCUUAAACAAUCUUAAAGGAUAUUAACUAUAUGAUUACUCAGUAUAUACAAUAGUGUUAGAUAAAUUGAAGUCCGGUAGACAGUGGAAUUUGUGAUGUCCGCCUUACUUCCUGUUCCUUUUUUGGUUGUGGGCUUAGGGCAGAUUCACCCAUUCAACUGUCUGUUUGAUCUCGGUCAUAUACAACUCAUAUGUACUAGCUAAUCAUAGGAGGGUAGUAUCGUUGUAUUGAGCUUUCAGGGUAAACACAAUUUCAGCUAGUUUUAUAUUUAAAUAAAACUAGGUAUCGUUAAACUAAGUAUGGUAAUUAUACAUAUAGUUUUCGGUCAUGGUUCAUAUUAGAUCACAGUUCAGUUCAUAGUUCAGUUCACAAUUCAGUUCAUAGUAAACAGUUCAUGAUUUAACUUGCUGAAAACAAAAACGAUUAAUUAUUGAAAACAAUGUUUUACAAAUACGAUAUUAGUUUAUAUAUAUAAUUAGUAUAAACUAAGUAAUCAUAGAAGGAACAUGUAUGGUCAUCUUACUCAUUAAGAAAAUAUAGGAUUUUCUUGAGGAACAUGCGAACUUUUCCAAAGAACAAAGAACAUACUUUUUAUAACAAAAUCACUUAUGAACUCACCAACUUAAAUGUUGAUACUCUCUUUUCAAACCACUUGUAUUCUCAGGAAAGUUAGUAGCAGGUACUCUCUUGGGCGUUAUGAAGACAGAGCAUAUUUGUAUUACGUCUUAUCUUUUGGCUAUAGUUUUAAUGUAAAUCAAUCAAUGCUUUAAACACAAUGUCAAUUUUAUAUUAUGAAUACAAUGGUUGUUCUUGCUUUGAUUACUAUUAUACAAUGGUUGUGAUAAUGUGCAUGAUGUCCUCGGGCCCCGAAUGUUUCCGCCGUUCAGGUUUGGGGGUGUGACAGAUUGGUAUCAGAGCAUUGUUUAUAGUGAACUCAAUAUAUCAACCCAUAAAAGAUAUAUAACUACAAAUACAAUGGGAUAAAAACACUCAGACCAAGAAUUAUACUUGUAUUAAAGUAUACAUACGUAUAAAUAUAUAUAUAUAUACAUAUACUAGAAGAAGUAUUACAAGAAGAACAAAACAAAAGUAUUUAGAUGUUGGACACUACAGUCAAACCUAGACAAUUAUGUAAUCAUAUCUGGGAUAAAUAUAGCAUGAUCAACUAUAUUUAUUUGAGAUACGAACAACAUGCGUUUGGGAGUGAUGGUAGUGUUGCAGCGAGCCUAAAACUUACCAAAAGCCAAUAUACGAAGGAUAUCUAGAACAAAACACAAAGUUAAAAUGCUAUAGGAGUAUUUUAUGAUACUAUACAAUAACAACAAGUCUAAAAGUUUACCAAAUUCUUAUACCAAGAAAACUCUAGAAUCAAACAUGCAACUAAAAUACUACAGGAAUAUUUUAGGUACUAUAAAUAACUUAUGUGAAAACUAAAAGACCCUUACUGGUAGGCCUACAAUUGUUGAGUGUAUACAUUAAGUUUAUAUAUAGUUGAGAUUUUAUAGACUUAAAAUUUGUGAUUUUCACUCUACUUCCUGUUCCUUGUCUGGUUGUGGUUUUAGAGUAGGAUCACUUAUUCGAAGGCCUGUUUGAUCUGGAUUAUAUAUAAUCUAUAUACACUACGUGAUUAUAGGAAGACCGGUAAGGAUCAUCCUCGUAAAAAUUUAUUUUUAAAUAAAAAUGUUUUAUUAAUCAUAUAGAUUCUUUAGAUAUUCCCAUUCUCGCACAAACCUCAUAGAUAGAUGUAACUACUCCUUUACAACAACAAUAGAGGAGUCAAGGAUGAUCAAGAAGAGAUUCAUAAGGAGGAUUCUAAGAAGGAAAUAGACGAGUAAUAAGGAACUAGAGAAAUCAUCAAGGACCUUUAACCUAUCAAGAACACAUAUGAGAAGCUCACUCAAACAUUUAGGUUCAAAAUCGCCAUUAUGAAGUAAUGGGGAUCAGUGUUAAAACCUUAAGCAUGACAGAGCGGAGAUUCAACAUGCCUACGAAGAUCAAGGACACCAUAUAGAUACGAGGAGAUAACAAAUCAUUACCACCAAGAGUAGGAUAGAGAACAGAGGAAACCACUCGUGAGACAUGCAAGGUGGUAGAGUACCUGAUGCGUCAUACUAACAACUAAUAAUUAAUAUAACCUAGUGAGUUGGUGAUUACACUACUCACCCUAUGUGUUAGGCUUAUCGCCUUUUCUGUCGCAACUAAUAACAGUAAAUCGAAUCAAGAAAUCCUAUUUGAGAGUGAUUACUACUAAAAAUUCAUAAGUUUAUUUUAUAUAGACCUCUGUUAUGAAUUGUUUACAAAGCUUUUUGAAAGUUGGAACAUGAUACCCACUGACCUAAGAUAACUUAGUUCAGACGACACUCGGUUUAUAAAUAUUGCUAAAGACUUACCCCCAUUUCAUCAUUUAAGAAACUUAAGGUAGAAAGGAUGUCUCCCUAUAGACAUAUACAGAUCCAUGCAUUUUAGGAUGCUUCUUGCCUGUCAUCUUCAUAGGUACCGUCCCUCUUAGAAGGGAUUGCCUAAAAACAAUGUUUGUAGCGGUUGCUAUCGAUGGGAACAACUAGACCCUCCUAAUAGCAUUUGGUCUGGCCGUGGAAAAUAAUCUCUAAUUUUGUACCUGGUUCCUUAUGAAGUUAAGAGAAGCUCUGAGACAGGGUAGGGAAGUAUCGUUCAUAACAAAUAUGGACGAUGUCGUUAGUUCUUGUAUAAAGCAUGUAUUCCCUGAUUUUUAUCAUUGGAUACUUCUAAAAGUGUGUUAAGGUAUAUGUACACAAGAGGCGUCUCUAGAAGAACAUUACAAACUUUGUUCUGGAUGACAUCCAACUCUUAUAUUGUGUUUAAUUUUGAAGAAAACUUUCGUCGGCUGACCCAUGAUGCUCGUGAAAUGCUUGCCAACAUCGGUCAUGUGAAAUGGGCAAGUGCCUAUUUUCCUAACAUCUGUUGGAAUCUAGUUAACAUUGAUGUUCUUGAAUGUUGUUGUGUUAUCGAUAAAUCAACGUAAUGUACUGAUACUAAUGAUUACCGAGGCAAUUCUUGACUAUGUUCAACGGACUUUCAAUGAAUGCAGAUUAAUGGCAAGUAAAAUGCCGGGUGAAAUAUUAAAUUUAUUUAAAUACUUUUACAAGAACCUCAUUUGAUCAUAUUUACUUUUCAGCAAGUUUAACUACCCUACUCACCCCGUAUGCGGAAAUGUUGCUUCAUAAAUGGAUGCAAAAGUCUGUUCGGUGGAAAUCAACAAAGAUCCUGCCAGCGAUCUUGUCACCGCUCCCGUCCGACAUUUAUCGAGUUUUUGAUUUUAAAAAAACUUGCAUUGUUGAUCUGAACUGUCAUACAUGUUCAUGUGGGAAAUGGCACAUUUUAGGUAUAGCUUGCGGUCAUGCUGUUGCGGCAUCACGUCAUUCAAACAUCCAUGAAUAUGGUUCAGAUAUAUUAUCGGGCUGACAUGUUUCAAACUUCCUACUAGACAUAAACUAUGCACCUUCUUCCCCCUUCCAAAUGCAUGAGAAAUACCAGACCCUUUGAUUGCAGUUUUAUUGCCAAUCUAAUUACAAUUAUUUAUGUUUGUAAUUGAUUUGUAGUGUGUAAUGAAAAAUAUUAUUAUUUCCCUAAUAUUUGUUACAUAUUAGAAAGAAAGAAAAAACAUAAUUUACAUGUACCAUUGUAAUACUAACAAAUAACAAAACAUUAAAGUUUCUUUGUCGAUCGAAAUAAGGUACUGAUUAUCACCAAAUUAUUGUCUUUUGUUUUGUCAACCCAACAAAUAAACAUAGACUGUGGUCUCUGAAAAUUAAAGAUCAAACACAUGACGUAUAUUGUGGAAAUUAAUAUUAAUUCAAAGAAAAAUAAUAAAAGGAUAACGACAUACCUCUUUAGGACAAGCGUAAAAAAGCCGUCCAUGGUUAUUUCUAGUAGUUGAUGUCCUUAUAAUCCCUUCAGAGUCACAAUCGCAGUAUGCCAUUUCUUUGGAUUAUAAGAAAUGAAUUUUUAGUAGUAAAUUUAACAAGGUAAUUUGGACGAUUGAAUUCCUUUAUAUAAUGUCAUUUACUAAGGUUAUGGUUCCUGACACUAUUACAGAAACACAUUCCGGAGCAACAUUUCAGAAUUGGUAUUUCAAAACCCCAUUUCCAGAACAAAAUUAUUGUCCUAGAUUCCUGACACAUGAGUAGUCAUUCUGAAAACUAAAAGUCAAAUAUUCCUGCCAUUAUGUGUAGUCAUUCUGAACAGUAAAUGUCAUAGAUUCCUGACAGUCUUUCGGGCCCUUAUUCCGGAAUCCCAUUCUGGAUCCGGAGUCACUUUCUAGCAUGGCUAUUUCAGAAACUUGCUUUUUGACCUUAAAAUGCACCUAGCAUGAAACCUCAAUGUUGAAAUAAAAUUGGAAUGAGUUAAUCUCAUGAUGGUGUUUGGCAUUGUGAAUAAGAAGAUUGUUAUGUUUGUUCAUAUAAUAACCCGUUUCUGAAAGGCCCAAAUUUCACACUCUCGGAUAAAAUGUUUGAUGAUGUUUUCCAAGCUAUGAAGGCUGCUGAAGAAGCAAAUGAAAGGGACUCUAAAAAAAGUCGCACAAUAAAUCAACAUGCACACGAUCUAGUGGAACAAGUAAAAGAAAAAGAAAAAUGGGUUGUAGAAGCGAUGAAAGAAGUGAAACAAGCUAAGAAAUGGAUUAAAAAUGCAAAUAAGGAGAUCAAUAAGUUGUGUGCAGAACGGUACCGUCUAACAGAUGUUGUUAGAAUUGGAGAAGAUUUUAUUGACAGGGAACAAAAUAUGUAUCCCUUACAGUUUCCUGAUUUGUGGAAACCAAUCUAAGUAUGUAAUAGGUUAAAUAACGCUUUUUGUAAUAAUGUAAAAGAAAAAGGAUAAUUGUCAUUUUAGAUAAUCAUACCGUUCAUUUUAUAAAAUUCAGUUUGAAAAGACAUUACAAUAUUCAUAUUUAAAAUUAGAUGACAUUUGUGGCCGAUAACUGGGAAGUUGCAUCCGAUGCAAACUAACUGUGUCUAUAUGGUUUUCAAACAAUCCCAUGUAGGUCUCAGCUAGUUCGAAAUCAUUAUCAGUCAAUUCAACUUGAUCUUCUAUUGUUGGAGUUGUCCUACAUGUUCCGUCGAUGAUGUCCAUUGUGUUCACAAAUUGCCAUAUAUCUUCAGACAUGGUAAUAAGGAGCAUUUACAUCUUAUCCAAUGCUACUUUUCUCCGGUCCCCAGCCGGUGAAGGUAGUAAUGGGAUAUUUAGUAUUACCAUUCGUUGUUUAGCACAUUAAUAAUCACGAAUCAUGUCUAAUGCAAUCACAUCAACAAGACGUCGUUGCUUGUCUUCAAGACGUGCUAUAGCAUAUUCUAUAGGCAACUCAUUCUGAUUGUUCGAGUCACUGGAUGUUGGAGACUGAAAAUAGAAUACACCUAAAUUAUAUUAAUAUAUUAGUUAAAAAUCAAUGUGCAUAAAAGUAUUUAAUAAUAAUAAUAAUAAUAACAACAACAACAACAACUUCCUGAAACAUAUCAAUAACAAAAAUAAAAUCAUAAUUGCAACUAGUCUAUCAUAAUUGGUUUGUCUGUGAUGUGCACAAAAGUACCCACUAAUUUUAAUAUUUAUAACCUAACAAACUUAGACUAUCUUUGCACUUAUAGGCAGUGUACCUAGUCAGAUUACAGUAUAGCUUAGGUAAGUCGGGUGUUGAUCACAGGGAACGGUGGAUUAAUUUAAUAUAUUUGAUUAUAGGUUACAGGUUACACGAAAAUAAUAAAUAAAAUGGUUUAAUAAAUUUCAAACUAGCAAUUAACAACUCUCGAUAAACUAACAAGGAAAGCACAUCUCUUCAGGUACUUUGGUUUAGAUAAAUUACACUUUAAAAACAUAGACAAUUGCAUACACAAAUUCAUUUAUUCAUGUUCACCGAUUCCUAAAAUGAUUAGAUUCGCGUUCACUAUAACUAAUCCUUUAGCAAACAAGUCAAUUCAAACAGUGAUCAGUUGAUUAAACUAACAUGUUUCCUAGUGUUCAGUUCGUAUCAAGCAAGACUUGUAAAUAUAAUUAAUCAAAUUACUAAUUCAAUUUAACCUAUUGUUGAUGGUCAUCAAACAAGGCUCACACAUUAACUUACUUAUUCUCAAGUUAAUCCUAGUUUCACAUUCGUUAUUUCUAGUCUUAUAAUCUCGAUGGUCAUCAAAAAUCAUAAGAGACAAGCAAUCGAGCAGAUGUUCAAGCAACUCAAUUCACUUAACAAUUAACAGAAAAUAAUCAUCAUUAACACAUGAGGAUCUUUAAACAAGCUUGGCAAGAUAAAUUAAACACAAAUAAACUAUUUAAUAUAGCAAUUAGUCUAAUAAUCAAAGCUUCAUUCAAUCAUAAACACAAAGUAAAAGGUUUUUACACCCAAAUCAGAAACUAAAUACAGAAAAGUACCACAAUGGAAUGCUAAACAUGGUCACGUCAGCAAACCAUAUGAUAAUCAACAUGUAUCCGCUCUCCAAUCCUUCCGAUCUCCGCUCCCGUUAGCUUAACGGCCUUCCGGCCGCCUUCUAGACCCUCAAAACGGCUUAACGGAAGUUAAUUGUCGACUAAAUUAUGUUAGAAGUCGAAUCCCCCCUCCUGGUUAGCUAAAAAUCGAUAUUUAUAAUCUUUGUGGCCGACCUAAGUACGCUGGGCGUACUUAGGAUUACGCAGCGCGUACUCAAGAUAAUCACGCGAUCAAGUAUAUCUGGCACAAGCAGGUACGCGGGGCGUAACCUUAAGGUACGCGGGGCGUACCCGCUACCUCAGCAUUCUUUUCUUUCUUUUAGCUUCUAAACCCGGUUUCCACUUCAGUCUUUUCUUUUGUGCUUUAUCGACAACAAAUAGCUGCAAAACAUAAUUUAAAGUAUUAUGAGUACUUUUUAGUUCUAAAAUAGAGUAAAUAAGGCCAAAAUAUUAAGAUAAAGUGCAUAAAAAUAUAUAUAAAAAUACACAUAUCAGUCUGCACUUGCUUCGGUGUCAUUUUUCGGAGUCGUAUCUUCUUCCAAUUUAUGUUUUAACACACUUUCUGAUUCCUUUCUUAAUUAUAUGGGUGUCUUUGUUGGUUUGUUUUAUCUUAUUUUGAAACUCAGCAUCGUCGUUUGUUUGCCAAAAAAAAAAUCAAUCCAAGAGCUUUUAAUACAUUACCGUAAAAAUAAAUUAGAAUUAUAAAAUUAUGUUUUGUCGAUUUUACCUUUAUCGGACUCAAUUCCAAAAGCUUCUCUAAAUGGAAUAGAACUUCGUUGUUCGUAAAACCCACUUUUUUUUAACAACAUCCACAUUAACUCGUCUUUGGAUUAACAUGAGUUAUUAAAAAAUACUAAGAAAAAAAUUGUAUAUUAUAAGUAUUCAUGAUCAUCAUUCCGGAAUAGAUCAUCAGGUUCCGAAUAACAUUCAUCGUAUUUCGGACCUACAUUACCAUUCUGGAACCCCUACAAUACUUAAUUUCAGACUAAAACAACCGAUCAGAAACACAUUACAAAGUACUUACAACUUGGUUUGAUGAAUCCAUGCUGAAAAUUUGGUCUGAAAUAUGGGUAGAUGGUGCUUAAACGUAUAUUCCAGAUUUUUUUUUGUGUGGGACCUAUACACACACACUAUUGGGCUAGGGCUAGUUUUCGGGUCCGAAAUGACAUAUUUCGGAACAAAAGGGUUAUUUUUUUUAAAAAAAAAUUGAUUAUAUUUUAGUAAAAAAAACCCAAAAAAUAUUAGAUGUCAUUAUAAUAUAAAUGAAAUGAUAUUCCUACAUAUCAUAUAUUAUGUUGAAAGUCAUAUCAUAUAUUAUGUUGAAGUCUUUAAUAUUUUAAUAAACGAAUAAUUCAUCAUGCGAUAAUUAAAAGAUAUUUUGUAAUUUUUUUCACUAUUAUUUUCCAAGAUUAUUAUAUAUAAUCCGUAUGGACCAUUUUAUUAUAACUUUGCUAUACAUAGGAUUUUUAGUAUGUUAUUAUAAUUUAAAUGAAAUGAUAUUCCUACAUAUUAAAAGGGGUGAGAAUGAACUAAACAAGUAAGAUGAUGGGGGGAUUUGUAAAUUCAAAUAUAUUCUUAAUUUUUUUUUUUUGGGUUUAUUUUAUUUUUUUGUCAUCUUUUUAAUUGUCAUCGUACAAUGAGUGGGAUGGAAAACGGGCAAUAAGUUGUGUCGCUAAGCCUUUUUGAAUGGUAAAACAAAUUCUUUUAAAGACUACAUCCGAAAAUAUAGGGGAUAUAACAUUACUAUGUAUGAUUCGUUGUACUCUUUUAAGAAGCUCUACCGCAUCCGGUGCGAGGAAACCAAACAUAUCAAAUGCAAAUGGUAUGAACACGUGUUGAUUUUCCAUGCACGAUCUCUCAUGUUUUGUGACUUUGCCUGUGGCUGCUUUUAAAGCAGCAUGUCCCGCUGUGAAACCCCCAGCCCUCAAGCCCACGAGAGAGGAUUUAUUUUGGUAGUUUUGAUUCCUUCGGUGAUUAUAAGAGACAAAUUACUUUGAAAUAAUAUCUAUAUCAAAGAGUAAAUAUACAUAGUUUCAUUCUCUUUUUUAGAUGACAUAUUCUUGUAUAUUAUGAUAUGAACGAAUUGAUAUCCUUACAUAUUUAAACUUUUGUUUCUAGACUACGUACUAGGCUCUCUAGAUGGCAAAGCAGGAAGAGAAUAGCGGGCUUCUUUUAAUCUUGGGAUAAUGACUUAGGAGGGUAAUAACGUUUCCUGUUUGUCCAUUUUAAGUCCCUAACGUAUUUUUUGUGCGUAUUACACCAUUAAGGUUAUUAUAACCGUUUACAAAUAGUCCUUUUAACAGGAAGAAGCCGGUAAAAUGAUUAUUUAUAAACGGUUAUAACAACCUUAAUGGUGUAAUAUACACAAAAAAUACGUUGGGGACCUAAUAUGGACAAACUAGAAACGUUAUUACCCUCCUAAGUCAUUAUCCCAUGAAACUAUAAACCCCUAUAGUAAAUUUUUACUUUUUAAAUAAGAAACUUGUAGGUCUUGAGGUUACUAGUUUGGAUGUUUUAACCUCGGCCUUCUUUAUAAAUGGAAGUGGCGGUUUCUUAAUGACAAGGGAGCUCUUCGGGUUAAAAUUGUCAAAUUUUGUCAUGGGGAAGGUGGUGGUUUUUCGGAAGAUUCGAGAAUAGAAAUUGGAGGGGGUGUUUGGCAAAAGAUUGUAGGAUCCAUUAAUCACCUCCAUGAGAAUGGUUGUAUUCCUUCUAAUUACAUGUUUAGAGUGGUGGAGGGUGAGACUCAAACGAGGUUCUAGAAUGAUGUUUGGUGCUUGGAUAUUCCUCUUAAGGAGCGGUUCGGGAGGCUCUUUGCUUUGGCCUUUAAUCAAAAUGCUCGAGUAAGUGAAUAAUGGGAUCCGGAGGGAUGUAAUGGGAUCCGACAGAGGUCCGGAAACAAAGCGGGGCAGUGGGAAAAGCUUUUGCUAAACAUGAAAAUGAUGAAGCUGCUGGGAAAUGGAAAGAGGUUCUAAAAGAAGCGGCAGAUCUGGCUGGAUGGGAGUUGAAGAACACUGCAAAUGGGUAAUCCUUCCUUCAUCGAUCAUCAUAUCUUUGUAUAAUUAAUCUUUAGUUUGGACCCGGUUGUUAUACCUGACCCAAUUUUGACCUGCCGGGACCCCUUUUUUCUUAUCAAUUUUAACCAAACUUACGACUUACGAAUAAUUCCUAAUAAUGUCCAUUGCAACUCAGUUUACAAUUUCAAUAUUCUAAUAAUUUCACAAAAGAGGUCUCUGUUUUUUUUUUCCAUAAUUCAACACUAAGGAAAAAAGAAGUUAUUUGAGCUUAUCUAUUAGUUUAAUUUCCAGUCUGCACGGUUAUCACUAUUCUAUUAUCAUAUCUCUGCAAUAUUCCUUGAUUUUGUUUGUUAGUCAUCCAAGACAUCUCAUGUUGUAUGGUUAUGUUAUUAUUUCAUGUAUAUUUUAUUAUAGUUCACGUGGGAUUUUGAGCAAACUAACUGAAUCUUCUUUAAUAUAUAGGCAUGAAGCCAAACUUGUCCAAAAAUUUAUUGAAGAAAUUUCACUACAGUUACGUUCCAUUGAUUUCAAUGCUGAUGAAAAACUAAUAGGCAUGGAGACCAGGGUAAAGGAUGCUGUAUCAUCUUUAGAAAUUGGUACUGAUGAUGUUCGUGUAAUCGGUAUCAAGGGGAUGGGAGGUGCUGGGAAGACAACUUUGGCCAGAGCGGUUUUUGAUCAAAUAUCCUUUCGGUUUGAAGCUAAAAGCUUUGUUGAGAAUGUUAGGGAAAAUUCAAAUACUUCUUUGUCUGGUUUGAAAUCGUUGCAAAAUCAAGUCCUUAAAGAUGUCUUAUUUGAUCAAGGCAUCAAUGUGAGUAGUGUGCAUGAUGGGAAAAUCAUGAUGAAGAAGAAGAUGUGUAAUAGAAAGGUUCUUGUUGUUCUAGAUGAUGUGGACCAUAUAGACCAGCUUGAGGCAUUAGCUGGUGAUCUUAAUUGGUUAAAACCGGGAAGUAGAAUUAUCAUUACAACAAGAGAUGAGCAGGUGCUCGUGGCACACCGGGUGAAGUUGAUUCUUGAUGUCAAUCUGUUAUCAGAGGAGGAGGCGAUUGGGCUCUUCAGUAGGUAUGCAUUUGGGGGAGAGAUUCCAAUUCAAGGGUAUGAAAAGCUAUCAGGAGAAGUUAUAUGCUAUGCUUCUGGUCUUCCCUUAACGAUAAAAGUUGUGGGUUCAUUUCUUUGUGGUAAAAAUAAGAGUGAAUGGAUAGAUGCACUAGAAAGAUGAAGGAACUUAGAUUUCUUCACAUAUCUCAGAAUACAAUAUAUAAUUUUGCAGAAGAAAAGAAAUAUGAUAAUGUCAGCCAAUACUUUCCAAAUGCUUUACAAUAUCUGCAUUGGUACCAGUACCCUUUCUGGUGUUUACCCAACACAUUUCAAGCUAAUAAUCUUGUUACGCUUAAGAUGGAAAGUAGUAAUAUCAAACAACUUUGGGAAGGGGCAGAAAGAAAGGUAGAUUAUUUAUAGUUGAUUGAUUGUUUUACAUGAUGCUAUACAUCCAUUGCUUUGUAAUUAAAGCAAUAUUGAUCUUGUUCAUUUGUUUAUGUUAGGUUCUUAACAAGCUCAAGAUUCUUGACCUCAGUUAUUCAAAGUUGACGACCCUUGAUCUUGGGUCUAGUCCAAAUCUCGAGGCCUUGUCUCUAAGAAGAUGUCGUGACUUGGUACAACUUCACAUGCUCAAUGGAUGUCCAAAGCUCAAGUCCAUCGACCUCAGUCAUUCAAAGUUGAAGACCAUUGACCUUCAUUCAUGUGUGAAUCUCGAGCUUUUACAUCUUAAAGGCUGCGACGCUUUGGUAGAACUUCACAUGCCUGGUAAAUGUCUGAAUCUCAGAUCCUUGACACUCACUAAUUCACAGUUGAGGACCCUACACAUUGGGCGGACUCCAAAUCUGAAGGAUUUAGAUCUUAACAACUAUAAUGAUUUGGAAGACCUUCAUAUGGCCGAUAAAUGCCCAAAGCUCACAUCCCUCAACAUUAGUUAUUCAAAGCUGAAAACCCUUGACCUUGGGUUGACUCCAAAUCUAAAGAAGUUAGAUCUAAAAGAAUGUAAGAAUCUGGUACAGCUUCAUGUUCCCUUUGGAUGUCUAGAAAAUCUUGUCUACUUGAACUUAAGUGGCUCUUUGGGGUUUACAUCUUUUAUGUUUGACGAAAGGAAUGCUACUUCUAGUAGAAGGUAUGAAUCAAUCGAGGAUGGUCCUUUAGCUGAGUUACAUCUGAUUGCGGAAUCCAUAGAGAGAUGCCCACUUCACCCCGACAAGACUUUGCGAAAGUUUCAGUUUGAAUGUUUUUACAAAGAUGAUCCCUCAGUGACUGGGAAUCUUGAGAAGCUUAUUUCUGAAGGUCUGUGUGCUUGCACAAACCUUGAGACACUUUCAGAAAGCAUUUGUGGGUUACAGCGUUUAAGAAAGCUUAAACUCGAAGCCUAUCCGGAGGCUCCCAAGGACCUUGACCAGUUAGAAUGUCUAGAAGAGCUAUGUUUUUAUAUGACAAAUAUGAAACAUCUCCCGGAUAGCAUUUGUAUGUUGAAACAUUUGGUAUAUCUUGAGCUUAGUGAUUGUUCCUUUCUUGAAAAGUUGCUCGAGGACCUUGGCCAACUACAAUGUUUAGAGACGCUAUAUUUGUUGUAUGCAAAGAUUGAACGUCUUCCAGAUAGCAUCUGUAUGUUGAAACGUCUGAAAACACUCACUCUUCUUUGUUGUUCUUCACUUAAGACAUUACCAAAGGAUCUUGGCAAAUUAGAACGUUUAGUAAAGCUAGUUUUGUCAUCCUCAAAGAUCAAACAUCUUCCGGAUACCAUUUGUAUGUUGAACUAUCUGAAAUGUCUCGGACUUGAUGAUUGUAAAUUACUUGAGAAAUUACCGGAGGACCUUGACCGAUUAGAACGUUUAGAGUGGCUAGACCUAAGGGAGUGUAAGAUUUUACAAGAUAUCCCAAUCGGCAUCUGUAAAAUGAAAUGUUUAAAAUCAUUAGAUGUAGCAGGUACAAGCAUAAGUCGCCUUCCGCAUGACAUUUGUUUGUUGAAAGGCGUGUGUAUUUCAGGAUCGAGAGACCUUCUUCAGUCUUUUGGUUUCACAUCCGAGAUACAAACCAUACGCAACAAAGAUACCUGCUUCGUCUAUGUGUGAAUACCACGAGGAAAGAGUCUAUUAGUAUUAGUGUCCCACAUCAUGAUCCUCUAUGUCUCUAUUUAUGUUGGAGUCUACCCAAUCUUUCUAAGGGCCCUUUGGGAGCAAAAACAUGACUACAUAAAUAUCAAUGUUUGUGGGGGCAGUGUUAGUGUUCCACAUGGUUCGAUAUGUCUCUCUAUAUGUUGGAGUUAUCAUCUCUCCAUGAGGAUUUUUUUAGGGUAUAUGAUUUUGAGAUGCUCCCAUGGCCUAGGAAAAUCCGAUUCACAAUGAACUAUUCUAAUAGGUACUUUCUUUGUUUUCUAUUGAUGAUUUGCAUUUUGAAUCAAUGACUAUAACUAAUUCUCUUAGCAAAAUUCAGUAAUUGUAUUUAAAAAAAAUACUAGUACUAUUAUGCAUAAAAGAAGAAUCCAUGUUAUAGAUUUAAUUAAGCAUGGUUUUUAUAGAGUAUCUUAUUCAUCGUUUGUGUUGAAUUUAGAGUCUUAUAUUUGAGUUAAAACCAUCAAUGUCUUGGCAGAUCCAAAUACAAUGUCAGAAUUGAUCAAGAAUUUUAAAAAAAAAUCUUACAAGCAGAUGUGGAUUUCAUGCAAAUUGUAAUUCACAAGUAAAACUUGUAUUCCCUUCUUUUUCCCAUUUUUGCAUCAGUAUUGUAUUUGUGUUGCUAUCGAUCCUAACAUUUAAAUCAUUUCUUGCAAUUUGGAAUUUGAUGUCCAGGAAGCAAUUGGAACACAUGCGAGGACUUUGUGAAGCUUUUGGGUAGAGAAGGAAACAUCACUAGCUUUUGAGUGGGAAUUUAAUAAGUCAAAUUACAAUGGGAUAGGUUGAAGGAUUCAAGUCAUUGCGACUUCACUAAUUCAUGGUUUUUAGUGAACAGAGUUGACUUCUUUAGAAAGUCUUUGUAACGACCCGUUCCCGGUAUGUUAGUUCAUUGGUAAUUGUUGUAAGUUUUGCAAGAGGGACUCGGCGAGUUCAUAGCCUGACUCGCCGAGUAGGGUCGCGACUGUGAGCACGCGUGAGCCGGGGACUCGGCGAGUCCAUAUCCUGGACUCGGCGAGUCCAUCCGUCUGGGUGAAACCCUAAAUCCCCGGGUUGCCCACUAUUUAAACCACCUUAUAACCCCAUUCUCGCCUCCCUCACCCUGAGAACACAGUGAGAAAACCCUAAUCCUCCCUUGAGGGCUUAUAAGUAUUUUUGGUGCCAUUUUGUGAAGGUGUGAAGAAGGAGAAGAAGAAAGAAGCAAGGAAAAGAGUUGUAGUGCAAAGAUCCAAGGGCAAAUCUGAGUUAUUUGAGGUAUUUUCGGAGUUCCCUCUUGUUAUAUGCUUUAAACUUCCAUUAGGGCUCUCCUAAGAGCUAGUUGAUGCUUGUUCCAAGCCUUAUGUUUGCAUGAAUGCCUUAAUAAGUCGAGAUAUCUUUAGAUCUGAAUGAUGGGGUGUUGUAGAGCCCAGAUCUACUGUCUUUUUGGAGUUACUUUGCAUAUUAAUCAUAGAUCUACCCAUUUUAUGCAUCUUUUAGCCUUAUUUCCCUUAUUCAUGAGGUUGUGCACGUAAAGUUGGAAACUUUACGUGGUAAAUCAGCUUAUUGGACUCAGAUCUAUCAAUUGUAUGUGUUGGAUUCAAACAAAAUCGAGUAAAAAUCAGUUGCAUGGCGGCAACUCGGCGAGUCGGGAAGAACGACUCGGCGAGUUGGGUCGCGAGUUCCCGAGUCCUUCAUUUUGAUCAGUGUCGAGUGAAUCCAGUGAGUUAGAGAGUGGACUCAGCGAGUUGAGGGUAGACUCAGUGAUGGAGGGACUCGGCGAGUUGUUCAUACAACUCGGCGAGUCCAAGGCAAUCUUCUUAGGAUCAUGAACAACUCGUCGAGUUUGUUCAUACGGCUCGGCGAGUCGGAUGAAGAUUGUCUGAGUUCUUGGAUCAAGAGGGUACUCGUCGAGUCGAUGCCACACUCGACGAGUAGCAGCGUGUAGAACUGAGAAGUGAGAGUAGGACUCGGCGAGUUGGGUGGCCCAACUCGGCGAGUCAGCCCAAAGAGAGUUGACUUUGACCAAGGGUAAAAGAGUCAUUUUACCCCAAGUGCAGUGUUUAGUAUUUGAUUGAGUGUGCUUAUGGACUUGUAGCCGAGGAGAUUCAGGAGCAGCAGCCGUUAGCUUCCCGAGCCACACACUCAGCAGCCAACUUUCGAGGUGAGUUUCCUUCAAGUAGGGACGGGUCUAAGGCCACAAUGCCGGCCCGUCCAGUUAGCAGUAGUUUCCGGACUUCGGUCCGAUGUAGCAGCUAGUAUGUUUGAUGCCUUCGUGGCUCAGACAGGAUUUAUGUGCUAUGUUUUAUGUGUUACGUGUUAUGUGUUCCGGGCUACGGCUCGAUGUAGUAUGCAGUAUAUGUGUUCAUGCUAGUUGAUAUGCUAUGAUAUGUUCAGUCAGUUAGUUCCGGACUCCGGUCCGAUGCAGGGGACAAGGUCCCAGUUAGUUCCGGACUUCGGUCCGAUGCAGUUAGUUCCGGACUUCGGUCCGAUGCAGUUAGUUCCGGACUUUGGUCCGAUGCAGGGGACAAGGUCCCAGUCAGUUCCGGACUUCGGUCCGAUGCAGUUUCCGGGCUUCGCCCCGAUGCAGUGGGCAAGGCCCAAUAUGUGUUAAAUGUUAUUGUAUGGUAUGUGGUAUUUUGGGGGAGCUCACUAAGCUUCGUGCUUACAGUUUCAGUUCUGGUUUCAGGUACUUCCGCAAGCAAAGGGAAGAGCUCGGGGUGACAACAUCGCACACACCACAGCUUAGCUUUUAUCCUGGGGAUGGUUUUAGUUGUUUUGGAUUUGAUGUAGUAUGAUACAGUUUUCCGCACAGUAUUUUAUUAUGAUUGGGAUACAUCGCGUAUGUUUUUAUGUUAUGAUACUCAUAUUAUGGUUUUGAUUAUAUUGAAAAAUGAAAAUUUUUGGGUCGUAUUUUUGGGUCGUUUCAGUCUUGAUGAAAAUGGUGGGAACUUUGAUAUGAAUUUUUAAAAGGUCAUGUGAAUAAUAUGUUAUGGAACAGUUUUUGAGUAAUUUAAAACCAUAAACAAGUUUUUAUUGACACAAAAUUGUUGGAAAUUAGUAUGGAUUCAUUAAACGAAAAGUGUUUGACUUUUGAGUCAGACUAUUACUUUCAUCAUUUACUGAUUUUUUUCAUGAAAUAAUAUAUGUGAGUGUCUACUGGUGUUAUACUAAGCUAUUAAAUAUGCUCAAAUAAUAACAUUAUUUGAAAAUUACAUAUUUAAGAAAAAUGUCUAAAGCUGGAACAUGGAUUGAAAUAGCCAUCGAUCAAUCAGCUUCUAGCUGAAGCCAUGUAAUAUACUUCAAAUACCAGCAAAAAACAAGUUCAAACAUAAUUAAGCUUAUUAUAAAACUAGUUGUGAGACCCGUAUGCUAUACGGGUUGAUUAAAAUAAAAUUUUAAAUAAGAAUUAUUAAAUGGAAAAAUUAUUUGAAUUUGAAAUCUAAAAUAAGUAAAAAUUAUGAAUAAAAACAUGCAAAAAAUAAAUUAAUUAAAAUUAUGUGUUUAGUUGUUACACCCGUGUACUAAACAAAUAAACAUGUUAAUUAUAAUAAAAUAUUAAAUAGAAAGGUUUAAAUUAUAAAUUUAUUUGAAACUGAAAUUGAAAUUUAAAAUUAAUUAAUAGUUAUUAUGGUACUUUAAUUAAUGGAAACUAAAUUAAUGAUAUAUUGGAAAUGAAAAGUGAACUACAUGACAAGUAGAAAUAAAUAUAUCUCAAAAUUAUAACAAAAUUAAAUGUGACCAAUUGAAUAAGAGGAUAACAUAUGGCAAAAUCAUUUUUAUUUAUUAGGGUAGAUAUCAUCAAUAUACAAAUUACAAGUGUUGUAUGUCAAGUAUGGCUCAAACAAGUGAUUAUAAAUAUGUUAAAAGGAUUACCUUAAUUGACUGUGCACUAAUUAUAAAGGAAAGGUAGAGGAAUUAAAAAUUUAGAACACACUCAUUUUGAGAAGAUGGCUUCCGGUGUGACAUCAACAAAUGUGCAUCGAUCAUUAAAUAGAUAAAUACCAGCAUAUUCCAUACUGAUAAAGAGCACUUAUUGAUAAAGAACACUUGAUAUGUGUAUUAUUCUAUUAUUAUUUUUUUACUUGGGAAAAUGACUUAAAAAGGUAAUGAAGUUUAAAAAAUGUACAAAAAAUACCAUUGUUUUAUUUUUAAUACUCAAAAUACCAUUAAAGUAUAUUUUUUAUACACAAAAUACCAAUGAAGUACACAUGUGUUCAAAUAAAACCUUGUGGGUAACCUACAAUAGCCGGUAAAAUGGUAUCUUGUGUACAAAAAAAAACAAUGGUCUUUUUUUGUAUAUUUUUGAAACUUCGUUACCUUUUUAAGUCAUUUUCCAUUCUUUGAAUGUAAUGGAAAUUUAGCUACUUUUUAUAAAGAACCCUCCACUUCACUUCGGCCACUAUUGUUCUUCAUCGCCACCCUCCACCGCUAUGGCAAAACCCUUUUUCUUAUUCUUCCUCCUAAUCAUCUGCCUACUUUCAUCAACACCGGAAUCUCGCUGGCCACCUCCAUUUCUCGGCAAAUCCCCACGGCUUCUCAAAACCCAAAACAUUCUUGUUCAGCCGAAGUACACUUACGAGACACGAUACUUUGAUCAGACUCUUGAUCAUUUCAGCUUCAAUGGUCUUCCCAAGUUCCAACAACAUUAUCUCAUCAACUCCGAUCACUGGGUGGGCGCAGGCCCUAAUCGUUUGGGUCCAAUCUUCCUUUAUUGCGGCAACGAAGGCGACAUCGAAUGGUUCGCUGCCAACACCGACUUCGUUUGGGAACUCGCCCCUCGUUUUGGUGCCAUGGUCAUCUUCCCCGAAGUAAAAGCCCUAAUCACUCUACUCUACAUUAGUUUCUUCACUUGCAGACCUUUAAUAAUACAAUUUUAUCAAAAGCUGCGUGAUUUGAUCUAGCAUCGAUAUUAUGGUGAAUCGAUGCCAUAUGGAAGCCAGAAAGAGGCAUACAAGAACGCUUCUACUUUAGCCUAUCUAACAGCCGAACAAGCACUUGCUGAUUACGCUCUUCUCAUCACCGAUUUGAAGAGAAAUUUGUCAGCCGAAGCGUCACCUGUAAUCUUGUUCGGCGGAUCAUACGGUGGAAGUAAGAUCUUUUCCAACAAUUUCAACAAAAAUUAAACAAUCUCAUCAAACAAGCACUUGCUGAUUACGCUCUUCUCAUCCCAUUUACCUGAAGUACCUGGUUACCACAAUGUUUUAGUUGAACACAUGUGUAUUUUGUUGGUAUUCUGUGUACAAAUAGUAACAUUAAUGAUAUUUUUUGUACUAAAAAAACAACAAUGGUAUUUUUUGAACAUUUGGAAACCGGAUAACCUUUUUUGUACACUUUUUAAACUUGGUUACCUUUUUAAGUCAUUUUCCCUUUUUACUUAUAGAAAAGUAAAUCAUAGGGUAGGUAUCUUUCUUUUCUUUUUAAUGUAAAAAAAUUAUUGUUUUUCCUGUCUUUACCAAAGNNNNNNNNNNNNNNNNNNNNNNNNNNNNNNNNAUAUAUAUAUAUAUAUAUAUAUAAAGAGAGAGGUGGGUUUAAUUAAGAAAAUAAAAAAUGUUAAGAACGAGGGAAUCAUUCUCAAUCACUCAUUUAAUCUAAGCAUAAAAAGACACGGUGGCAAACUUGAAAAUAUGUUAAUAACCUUCAAUCUCAAAUACGUAACUAUAGAGAAUUCGAUAACAGUUCGUUCAUCAUCAAAAUUUCUCCUCCAACCUUCAACGAUCAUCCAGAUUUCUUCAACUAAACCGUCAUCAAUGUCAUCCAGUGUUAAUCAAUCAUCGAUAUUUGUGGCCGGGAUGUUUGCCGUUCAAGACAGAUUCGCAACCCAAAUUCAUCAAUUUCAUCGAUUUCUUUGUUGAAUACUCCGAAUGUUCGUAGCUUGCAAGCAUUUGUUAAAGUUCAUAACGGAUUUGGAAUUGGAAUUUCCCAGAUUCGCAAACGAAAUCAGUUGGAAUCGGAAUUUCUUCGCUAUUCAUGAAAUUGGAAUCAGAGUUUUGGACUCGCAGUCACAGUCGACAUUGAAGGACUCAGAAUCGGUACUCACAGGUUCCCGAUCGGAUUUUUGGAAAUCAAAAUCAAAAUAAGAAAUCAAUCAGACAUAGGAUGUCACAUCUGAAGUCGAAAUCGGAAGUAUAUGAUGAUUUGGAAUUGAUAACUUGAUGUUUUUAACAUUUUUAAAAUAGUUAACUUGUAUGCACUCCAACUGUUUGAUGAAAUGCAUAAACUAAAUUCCCACGUUAUAUUCACAUAUGAAUAUGUUUUCUCACCUGAAUCAGUAUAUGAUUAUUAAAAACACAAAAUAAAUAUGCAAGUCUGUAUGUUAUUCAUAUGUGAAUAACAUAUAAAAAUUAUAUAUAUUUGUGAAAAUACCUUCUAAUAUUCAUAAGUGAAUAUACCUUGUAAUAUUCAUAUGUGAAUAUAUUGUGUAAUAUUCAUAAGUGAAUUAAUCAUCUAAUAUUCACAAGUGAAUAUACUAUGUAAUAUUUACAUGUAAUAUACCAUGUAAUACUAUGUAAUAUUCACAUAUGAAAAUAUCAUUUAAUAUUCAUAAGUGAAUAUAUCAUCUAAUAUUCACAAGUGAAUGCAUCAUCCAAUAUUUUAAUAUGAAUAUACUAUGUUUAUUAUAUACUAUAUUCAUAUAUGAAUGAUACUUCAAUUGUAAAAAAAAAAAAUAAUCAUACUUUUUAUUCUUAAGUGAAUAACGAAUGUACUGUAAUAAAACCUGAUGCAUUUUUAUUCACUUAUGAAUAACGAUAGCUAAAAAUAUAAAAAAAAAAUUAUUUUAUCUUAAAAUUAUAUCAAUAUGGAUGUCUAUUUGUAAAAUAAUGAAUUUUGGUAUAUUUAAAAUCAUUUUUCCGAUAAAAAUAGCUUCGUAAAAAUUAAAAAAAAAAACAAAAAAACUAUGUUUUUGUAUAUAUUAAGGUAAUGAUUAGCAUAGUUUAAGGAAAUAUGUUUUGUUGGAAAACACAUUUCUAUUCAUUUUCCAUUUCCGCUGGUACGACGGAGGCUUUUGUAGCAAAAAUAAAUGAGUGACUGAGAAUCAUUCCCCCAUUCUCAACAAUUUUUUUUCUCAAUUGAACCCUCCCAUAUAUAUAUAUAUAUAAUAUUGAUGAAUUUUGGCCAUAAGAACAUCCUAUGUGCUCAUGCAAACCCUAAUGCUUGGAUCUAGGUUUCUCUAUUGUACAUGCAAUUCAUCCAAGACUUUAAACCCUAGAUCUAGCAUACAAUUAAUCAUAUUAACUUAUGAAUGGGGUUUAGAUCUUACCUUGAUUGUUAUGUAGCAAUAACAAUCUCAAAUCCUCCUUGUAAUGACUUUAGNGAGCUUAGAGUGACAAAUGUCACUCCUCUAAUGGCUUACAAACACCAAGAGCAAGAGGAUGGAGAAUAAGGAGAGGGGAGGCUACCCAAAUCGUCCAAAAACCCUAGUGGAACUCUUAGCCACGUUUUUGGGGCUUAAGGGUACUAUAUAUACAUGUAGGCUAUUAGGGUUUUAAACUAGGAAACCCUAAUCUGACUGCUUAAGCCCUAAGCAGCCCACAGAUUCCUUUGGGAUAUCCGUUGGACGAUUUCUAAUGGGCUUCCCCAUAGAAUUCGUCCAAAUUAUAUAUUAUUAAGUAAUCCAUAGCCCAAAUGCAAUUAUCUUAUAAUUACAGUUCCAGUCACUUAAGUUUAAUUAAUCUCUUUUAGCCACAAAAUUAAUUAUCAAUUAAUUCUUGACUAAUAUUAAUUAAACAAUAUGAUUUCUCCUUUAAUAUAUUAUUCUCAUAAUAUAUUAAUAAAUCAUAAUUAAUCCUCUCUCUCCAUAAUUCAUCCUAUCAAGUUGCUUUGGUGAAGGCAACCCAAAAGGACCAUGCACCAUCGGGUCAAGUACAUACCAAAAUAGUUAUGGACUUAGACACUAAUCCAACAGUCUCCCACUUGGAUAAGUCUAAUAACUAUUCUGCGUAUGACUUCAGAUCCUGAUCUGCAAUCAUAGAUUUCCAAAGCCGCUGUCAACUCUGAUCUUAUCAGAAGCAUGUCCUUUAGAUAAGGGAUCGUAUAUUCCUCAAUUCUAGAUAUCGUAUAGACUGAGACAUGGAUUUAAAUCAUUCUCUCUAUACUGUUUCCCGACUUUUGAUUUAUGAAGACUGACAACAGACUACAAUUGAUUACAUCAAAUUAGUCUCGGUUUGGCCAUGCACUUAUGUGCCAUCACUAAAUCAUCGAGGGGACCAAAGAUAUCGUUUUUAUCCUACCUUGGAUAAAAGGAACGGAUAAACUUCGACUCAAUGCUCGCUUGCACUCACUUACUGAAUCACACACAACAAUAUGUUUUAUAACACCAAGUUACUGGUACAUUUACAUAUUAUCAAUGUAAACGCACCAGUAACCUCAGUGAGUCAAAGUUGAAGACAAUCGACCUUCGCCCAGCUGUGAACCUCGAGCUCUUACAUCUUAAAGACUGCAAUGCUUUGGUAGAACUUCACAUGCCUGGUAAAUGUCUGAAUCUCAGAUCCUUGACACUCACUAAUUCAUAGUUGAGGACCCUAGACAUUGGGUGGACUCCGAAUCUGGAGGAUUUAGAUCUUAACAGCUGUUAUGAUUUGGAAGACCUUCACAUGGCCGAUAAAUGUCAAAAGCUCACAUCCCUCAACAUUAGUCAUUCAAAGUUGAAAACCCUUGACCUUGGGUUGACUCCAAAUCUGAAGAAGUUAGAUCUAAAAGAAUGUAAGAAUUUGUUACAACUUCAUGUUCCCAUUGGAUGUCUAGAAAAUCUUGUCUACUUGAACUUAAGAGGCUGGUUGGGGUUUACAUCUUUUAUGUUUGACAAAAGGAAUGUUGCUUCUAGUAGAAAGGAUGAAUCACUUGAGAUUGAUCCUUCAGCUGAGUCACAUCUGAUUGCCAAGUCCCUUGAAAGAUGUUCACUUCACCCGGACAAUACUUUGUGACAGUUUCAGUUUGAAUGCUUUUACAUUGAUGAUCCCAAGGACCGUGUGACUAGAAAUCUUAAGCAGCUUAUUUAUGAAGGUCUGUGUGCUUGCACUAACCUUGAGACACUUUCAGAAAGCACUUGUGGGUCACGAUGUUUAAGAAAGCUUAAACUCGAAGCGUAUCCGGAGGCUCCCAAGAAACUUGACCACGAAGAAUGUCUAGAAGAGCUAAGUUUUUCUAUGACAAAUAUGAAACAUCUUCCGGAUAGCAUUUGUAUGUUGAAACAUCUGGAAGUUCUUCAACUUAAACAUUGUUGGAGUCUUGAGAAGUUACCUGAGGAUAUUGGCCGAUUAGAAUGUUUAAAAAAUCUGACUUUAUCAGAUACAAAGAUUAAACAUCUUCCUGAUAGCAUUUGUAUGUUGAAACAUCUGGUAUUUCUUGAGCUUCGUGAUUGUUCCUUUCUUGAGAAGUUGCCCGAGGAUCUUGGCCAACUAGAAUGUUUAGAGACGCUAUAUUUGUUGCAUGCAAAGAUUGAACAUCUUCCAGAUAGCAUCUGUAUGUUGAAACAUCUGAGAACACUCGCUGUUCAUUGUUCUUCACUUAAGACAUUACCAAAGGAUCUUGGCCAACUAGAAUGUUUAGAGACGCUAUAUCUGUCAUACUCAGUGAUCAAGCAUCUUCCGGAUUCUAUUUGUAUGUUGAAAGAUUUGAAACAGCUCGAUCUGAUUCAUUGUUCAUCGCUUGAGAAAUUACCAGAGGAUCUUGACCAAUUAGAAUGUUUACGGAGACUAUCCCUAAGGAAGUGCAAGCUUUUACGAGAUUUUCCAAUCAGCAUCUGUAAGAUAAAACGUUUAGAAAUUUUAGGGGUAGAAGUUACAUGCAUAAGUCAUCUUCCACAGGACAUUUGUUUUAUGAAAGGUCUGCGUAUUUCAGGGUCGAGAGGCCUUCUUGAAUCCUGUGGUUUUACAUCCGAGAUACAAACCGUCUCGUACGAAGAUACCUGCUUUGUAGAUGUGUGAAUAACAGUGUAUUAGAGUCCCAAAUCAGUGCGACAUGAUUGAUAUUUGUCUCUAUCUAUGAUGGAGUACUCUACCCUAGAUCCAUAAGGGCUCUUCUGGAGAGAAAAUCAGGACUAUAUAUGGAGUAUAUAUAGCUCUUUUGGAGGGUAUAUGAUUUUGUGAUGCUCUGAAGACCUAGGAAUUCACAAAGAACCAUUCUGAUAGGUACUUUUUUUGCUUUCUAUUUGAUCAUCUUAUUUUGAUUUGAAUUUUGAAAUCAAUGACAAUAAUUCAUUUUCUUAGCAAAAUUCAGUAAUUAUACUUUAAAAAAUAUACUAGUACUUGCAUAAAAGAAAAAUCCCUGUUAUAGUUUUAGCUUGGUUUUAUAUAGUGGCUUAUUCACUGUUUGUGUUAAAUUUAGAGUCUUACUGAGUUAAAAUCAUCAAUGUCUUGACAGAUCCAAAUACAAUGUCAGAAUUUAUCAAGAACUUAAUCAAAAAAAUCCGAGCAACAGAUGUGGAUUUCAUGCAAAUUGUACUUAACAAGUAAAACUUGUAUUCCCUUCUAUUUCCCAUUUUUUUGCAUCAUUAUUGUAUUUGUGUUGCUAUUGAUCCUAACAUUUAAAUCAUUUCUUGCAAUUUGGAAUUUGAUGUCCAGAAAGCAAUUGUAACACAUGCGAAGACUUUGUGAAGCUAUUGGGUAGAGAAGGAAACAUCACAGGGUUUUGAGUGGGAAUUGAAUAAGUCAAAUUACAACUUCUGUAGAAAGUUUUGAUGAAAUUGGUGGGAACUUUGAUAUGAAUUUUUAAAUGGUCAUGUUAAUAAUAUGUGAAGGAACAGUUUUUGCAUAAUUUAAAGAGUAAAUAGCAUAAAAGACAUUAAGUUUACUCCAAAAUUCUAAUUGGACAGUGUGUUUUUUUUUUAUCAAAUUUAACACUGGGUUAUCCAAUUUUUUUAAAGUUAUGACAAUUUGGCUGGUCAAUCAGGUUACCUGUUGAUGUGACAUGACGACGUGUCAAUCAAGUUGUUGAUGUGACAUGAUGACAUAUUAGUUUUAAUGACGUGACAUGUUAACAUGACACGCGAACAGGUUAAAAUUGAAAUUUUUUCCCACAAAAGACACUAAGUUUUCAUUUUUUUCUAAUUUUGACAUUAAGUUUAUUUAUUUAUUUUUGCAAUUUUGACAUUCUAUUUUUUUAUUCCAAAUCGAACAUCAUUUUUUCCAAUUUUGUUCAAUGUUGACAAUUUUUCAUUUGAAACCGCAUAAAAAUAUAUUUUAUUACAUUUUUAAUCAUAUAAAUACAUUUUUUCGUUUAACAACCACAUUUUAUAUAAAUACAAAGUCUUUUUUUUUACAUUCAAAAGAUAAUGUUAUGGAUAAAUAUGCAUCAAUUAUAAUAUGAGAAUCAUAGUAACCAUAAGUUUUGAAUAAGAUGUAAAAAUUUCACACGUUACUAACAUGACUUUUGUACCGUGAUCGACUACACGCCUCAAAACCUCCAAAUUCAUUUUAAAGUUGUGUAUUUAAUAUAAAAUACGGUUUUUAUAUAACUAAUACAUAUUUAUACAUAAAGUUAUGGUUUGAAUGUAAAAAAACCCUUGUAUUUAUACAAAAAUAUGGGUUUUAAAUGAAAAAAAAUUGUAUCUAUAAGUUUUAAAAUGUAUUAAAAAAAUAUUUAUAGGAUUUUAAAUGGAAAAUGGUGAACAUCAAACAAAAUUGGAAAAAAAAAAUAAUGUUCGAUUUGGAACAAAAAAUAGAGUGUCAAAAUUGAAAGAAAAAAUUCAACUUAGUGUCAAAAAAAGUAAAAACUUAGUGUUUCAUGUGGAAAAAAAAUUCAAUUUUGACAAGUCAGCAUUACACGUCAUCAAAACUGACACAUCAUAAUGUCACAUCGGUAACUUGAUUGACUGGUCAAGUGGCCAGAAUUGUAUUUUUUUUUUGAAAAUACAGUGUCAAAUUUGAGACAAAAACAACAUAGUGUCAAAUGAGAAUUUUAGUGCAAACUUAAUGUCUUUUGUGCUAUUUACCCUAACUUAAAAUCAUAAACAAGUUUUUGUUUACAAAAAUUUGUUGGGAAUCGGUAUGGAUUCAUUAAACUAAAGAUGUUUGACUUUUGAGUUGGACUAUAACUUUCGUCAUUUACUGAUUUUAUUCAUGAAAUUGUAUGGAACAAUAUAUGUGAGUAAACUAUGUGGGUGUUUACUGGUAUUAUACUAAGCUAAUGAAUAUGCUUAAAUAAUAAGAUUAUUUGAAAAUUACAAAUUCCAGCAAAAUGUCUAAAGCUGGAACAGGGGUUUUAAACUUGAAAUAACCAUCGGUCAUGUAACGCUUGGUAAUUCUCCAAGGCCUCUUGAGAGCAUUUUGAUGUUUUGGAUCCACUCUCCACAGAUGUAGAGGUCAAAGCAAGGUGGUGGUACAAAUGAGAAGUUGUAGAUUUGGGAUUGUUGCUUCAUUUCAGACCUUUUCAAGGUAUGAAGUCUUGAACUUAAUCCAUGAGUGCUUAGAUCUCUUAUGUUGAGUUUUUGGACCUUUUUGGUCCCAAGGAUGAAGCUUUAUUGCUCAAAACCGAUUCCUAGGCUUAGGGUUGCCACCCUUGGUGCUAUUUGAGUCCCUAAGUCAGAAAGUUGUUAUCUUGAAGGUCUUGGAGAGUUUAUGCAUGAGUUUUGGCCAUUUUCAUAAAAGUAGAUUGUCAUAUUCCAAGUUUGGACCCAUUUGGUGGUUUGCAAGCCACCAAGUAAUCGACUUUAUGGGUUAAGAUGCUUUAAUGGACUCAUAUAUGUGUCUGGAGCUUUAGGUCUUAAGUGGUUAAGCUCUUUUUGAGAUUAUGUCUUAACAGAGGAGUACGCUUAGCGUACAAUCCCGUACGCACAACGUACAAGCCAUGCAACCUGUACACUUUGCGUACAAAUGAGUACGCCCUGUGUAGUCAGUCAGAGUGGGCUUUUUGUUGUUGGGCCUCAGUUUGGGCCAUUUCCAUGGAAUAGUGGCUUGGGUCGAGGUGGACCACCUAUAAUUUGGGCUAAUGGGCUGAAGAAAUAUUUUAGGACAAUAGGCUAAGGCACUAUAAUUCGACCUGUUCAACAUGUGAUAAUGAAGUGUUACUUGUCCGUCCUUCUCACCGUUUCCAUUUUUGCCACUGAUGCCAAUAGUCAUCUCCUCACAAGAUUGAUAUUUUGGCAUACACCAGGAAUGCUCUGAUACCAAAUAUUGUUUGUAAAAUGGCUGUUUUACUUCUUGUGAUGGUGAAAUUGACAGAUAAAGAAGAGAGACAAUGAGGCAAAUGCUUAUACGUUUAUUCAGAGAGAAAAAUAACAUAGAGAAUAUCAUUACAACGUCACAUUUGCCUAUCUAUUUAAAAGGAAAAGUAGCAUAAUAACAGGAACUAAUGGCCAAAAACCAGGAACCACCUUCCAUACGCCUUUGAUUUAUUCUUUUAGAAAAAUAAAGCGUGCAGAAAUAAAUAAAUAAACUCUUAAUUAUUUUCAACAGAUAGGCCGUCUGAGCUCCACCAUCCUCAUGUCAUCGCCGACUUACUCCACUACCGCCACUUGUAUUGAUAUUUUGACCACCACAAAUCAUCCUCACCACCACUGUGAGUAACCAAUCACCAUCAUUCUUGUUUUAAUUGUCUUGAUUUGGUGGAGUCUGAAAUUGACCAGUCGACGAUGAAGCUUGGUAUAUGGGUUUCGUUUUCAUUCCUCGCUGUAAGUCAUGUUAUGAACGAAAAAGCAAAAUAAUCAAAUGUAACCCUUAAGUUUGCUGAUUUGUACGGAAAAGGUCCCUCCCUUAGAAAUAGUUCUUAACGAGGCCAAACUUUCUUUCAUUUAAUCAGAAACUGCCCAUCAAUGGACAAUUAUCCUCAGAACUGAUCCCAUUCUCAAACUUGGGUUUAAAAAUAUUCACUUCAGCCCCUGUUUCGGAAAUAUAUUACAAUAUUAGUCCUUUGGGGAUGAAUUUAACAAAUUGAUCCCUAGAACUUGUUUAUUAUAACAAGGACCACCCUAUACUUAAUAAUUAAUACCAAAACUACCCUUGGCUUAUUAGGUAAUAUAAAUGGACCCGAUGGUUCGUUUUAAGAGCAAGGAACGUCACAUAGCAAUUUCCACGACAAGUUUCACACCACGAACUUCGUUCACGCAUCAAGGGUAAGUGUAUGACCCCUUUUUAAUAUUUGUAUGCUUUGGGGAAGAAUACAUGUGUUGUAUAUAUUUAUUGUUCGUGAUAAACACUUACCGAUUUAAAAACUAGUUUAUAAAUAUUAUUUUGGUAAAUAAUACUUCAUUUAUAGAUAAACUAGUGAUAAGUAUGUUCUAUGUAUAUAUGUUAUAGUUAUUUUUAAAUAAUGCAACUAGUCAAGACAACAUAUUAUUCUACUACAAAUAUAUUUUGAUUUUAUGACAAAAUAUGUUAUAAAACUUAUGUCAUAAAACUUACCACCUUUGUAGUAUUUCAAGUUCANAUUUAUCAAACUCAUAUUUUGAAAUCAUUUAUCUACUUGUGUACACUACCAUGGGAUUUCCUACUUAUUUGAGAGAGUAUUAUACACUUUUAUGAAUUUCUUAUCGAGCAUACACGACUUUUCAUGAUAAAAAUUAGUUAAGGGCCUUAUGAGUGAGACAUUAUUCAUUACCUAAGUUCAAAAAUACUUAGAAGACCCACACGACUAUAACCAUUAAUCUUCGAAGUGAGAUACGUAUGUAUAGAUCUAUGCGCGUUCACAUCCCCACCUGUGGUUGUUAGCUACAACCUCGACCAAUCAAUCGAAACGGGUGAUAAAUAUCUUAUUCAUUUCUACAAUGUCCAAUGAAGCGUUGUAGGGGUACUUUAGUCACAUAGUUUGACAAGGUUCAUGAAGGUGUUUGUCGGUCUUCUUCAUCUGCAUGCCGGAAUUGUGGUCGAGAGGGACAUUUUGUGAAGGACUGUCAUCAGUAGGCUCCUUCACUGAGUAGUAGGAUCUGCUAUCAUUGUAAUCAUUAGGGUCACGUGAUUACAGAUGGACGCCAGGGUAUGGUGGAGCCCCCGAGGGCUCGAGGUCGUGCUUUCCAGCUCACUAUAGAGGAGGCCAGGGUGGCAUCGGACUUUGUUACUAGUAUGCUUCUAUUUACUUUUUUGCCAGUUAUGUUAUGGUAUGCAUAUGUUUAUGUUUCUGGUAGGUAUCUUCUUAGUGAACUCUUUUCCUUCUCUUGUGUUAGUCGACUCGGGUGCAAGUCGGUCCUUUGUAUCCCAGUCUUUUAGUAGGGAUUUUAUAUGACCCUUGGAGAGUUGAAGUGUCCGUUGCAGGUUUCUAUCGCUAACGAACAUGAGAUUCUUACAUCAGGUGUUUUCUGGGAUUGUGUUUUGGAGAAUUUUGUGGUACCUUACUCAAUUGAUUUGAUCCCAAUCCCCAUGGGAGACGUGUGUGUGAUCUUAGGGAUGGAUUAGGUGAGCAAAUUUGGGGCUAUGAUCAAUUGCUAAGGUCAAUAGGUGAUAGUUUGAAUCCUAAUUGGGGGAGAUUUGGUUGUUUAUAGAGAGGGUACCAGAUUAGGAUCGGCCUUUUGUUCUGUUGCCAGAGCUCAACAGUAUAUUUAGCACAAAUGUAUGGGUUAUCAUAAUUAUGUGGUUGAUACCCAAGUUAAGAAGCAGGUUUCGAUUUUAGAUGUGCAAGUGGUUAGAGAAUUUGCUUAUGUGUUCCCAUAGGAGUUUCGUGGUGUGCCUCCGGAGAGGUAGGUCAAGUUCAAGGUUGACUUGAUUCUGGGUGCGGCCCCUAUUUCUAAGGAGUCGUACCAUUUGGCACCACCUGAGAUGCAAGAGUUGUCCUCUCAGCUUCAAGAACUCUUGGUCAAGCAAUUUAUCAGACGGAGCAAUUCGCCGUAGGGAGCACCGAUUUUGUUUAUCAAGAAGAAGGAUGGUUAACACCGGAUGUGCAUUGAUUACCGGGAUUUGAACAAGUUUACGGUGAAAAACCGCAGAUUGAUGACCUCUUCGAUCAAUUUCAUGGUGCAUCUUGGUUCUCCAAGAUCGACUUGAGGUAAGGGUAUCAUUUGAUGUGGUUCAGAGAAGAGGAUGUGGAGAAGAUCGCAUUCCAGAAUCGUUAUAGUCAUUACGAGUUUGUGGUGAUGCCAUUUGGGCUCUCCAAUAUGCAUGCAUCUUUCAUGGAUUUGAUGAAUUGGGUAUGCAAGUCGAUGCUUGAUAGAUCAAUCAUUGUUUUUAUUGAUGAUAUAUUGGUGUAUUCCAAGACCAGGGAGUAGCAUGAGGAGAACCUUUAAGAGCUUAUAGGAGUGUUGAGGUGAUAACGAUUGUAUGCUAAGUUCUAGAAGUCUGAGUUUUGGUUAUGAGAGGUCCAAUUCCUACGAUGUCUCAUUAACCAAAAGGGAUUUUGGUCGAUCCACCUAGGACUUAGGCCGUGAUGCAGUGGGAGGUUCUGAAGUCUUCCUCGGAGAUCAAGAGUUUCUUGAGUUUAGUAGGAUAAUAUCAGAGAUUUAUUUAGGAUUUCCCCAACAUUGCAGUACCCCUUAUCCGUCUGACGAGGAAGGGCAUGAAUAUUUAAUGGGGUCCUAAGCAGCAGGUGGGAUUUGAGACUAUGAGACGGAGAUUGUGUGAAACCCCAAGGUUGACCCUCCCUGAGGGUGUUGAGGAUUUUUUCAUGCUUUGUGGUGCAUCUAUCAUAGGUUUAGGCGCAAUGCAUAUGCAACGUGGGAUAGUUAUUACUUAUGCUUCACGGCAGCUAAAGUCGCAUGAGCUCCAUUAUCUGACUCAUGAUCUGGAUUGGGGGCAGUAGUAUUUUCUCUCAAGAUUUGGCGGCACUACUUUUAUGGGGUAUGAUGUACUAUCUACACGGAUCACAAGAGUUUGCGAUAUCUUAUGAAGCAAACGAAUCUGAACAUGAGACAUUGUAUGUGGCUUGAUGUGGUAAAGGAUCAUGACUAUGAGAUCCGAUAUCAUCCCUGAAAUCCAAUGUGGUGGCUGAAGCUUUGAGCCGCAAGGCAGCUAGUUCUGCGAUUGGAGGUCUGUGUAUGAGGAUUUCGAUUGAUUCGACAUUGUUGGAUUUUAUCAGAGAGACUAAAGCCGAGGGAGUCAAGGAGGAAAUUUGAAGUAAGAGAGACUUAGAGGUAAGAUUGACAGGUUUACUACUGACAGCCACGAUUUAUUGACCCGAUAUGGACGGUUUUAGGUGCCAAAUUUCAGUGGCAUUAGAAAGACUGUGCUGGAGGAGGCGCACAAGUCCAGGUUUUCGAUACACCCUGAGGCCACCAAGAUGUACAGGUAUUUGAGACUUAGCUACUGGUGGUCGUACAUGAAGAGGAAGAUAACUUGGUAUGUCGAGAGGUGCUUGACAUGUUGAAUGGUCAAGGCCGAACUCCUGAGACCGCAUGGCAAGUUGCAUCCAAUAGAGUUCCCAUGUGGAAGUGGAAACAUAUUACUAUGGAUUUCGUUAACAAGCUACCUCGGAUGGCUAAGAGGCAUAAUUAAUUUGGAUCAUAGUGGAUCAAUUGACCAAGAACGUCAAUUUAUUAGCUAUCUGCAAGAGCUCAUUAGCCGAGAAAUUGGCCAACUUGUACGUGCUCGAGAUCGUUGCUCGACAUGGUAUUCUAGUCUCUAUCUUAUCUGAUCAAUAUGGUAGGCACAUCUUGUUUCUGACAGAAGUUCCAUGAGGAACUGGGUACAACACUUCAUCUUAGGACGACUUAUCAUCCGCAGACGGACGGUCAGAGUGAGCGGACCAUUCAGACACUUAGGUACAUGUUGAGAGCCUGUGUCAUUGAUUUUGGUGGGAUUUUGGACACCUACCUUUAUUUAGCUGAGUUCUCGUACAAUAUCAGCUACCACUAUAAUAUCGGUACACUGCCUUUCAAGCUCAUCUAUAGAGGAAGUGUCACACCCCAGUGUGUUGGGGAGAGAUUGGACAUAAGGUCAUGGAAAGGACCGAAGUAGUCUUUCAGGCGAUACAGCUUAUCCAACAGAUCAGAUAGAGACUUCAAAUAGCUCAGAGUCGGCAGAAGAGUUAUGCUGACAAUUGAUGAUCCGAGUUGGAGUUCCAAGUCACAGAUAUGGUUUCAUUGAAGGUAUUACCCUGGAAGGGUGUAAUACGCUAAAGGAAGAGGGGAAAGUUGGGGCCCCGAUAUAUUGUGCCAUUUUGGGUGAUAUCCAUGGUUGGCAAGGUAUCAUACAUAUUGGAUUUGCCUAAGGAGCUUAGCCAGAUCUAUAACACCUUCCAUAUAUCUAAACUUUGGAACUGUGUAGUUGAUGAUUCAGUGGUUGUUCCUUUAGAGGACGUUCAGGUUGAUGAUCACCUUAAUUACAUUGGGAGGUCGGUGGCGAUCUUGUAUCAGAAGAUGAAGGCUCUGUAACAACCCGUUAUUUCAGGUCAUUAAAAAUCGAGUCUUGUAACCUCUUUGAAAAGUAAUUAGAAUAUCAUCGAAAAAUGAAAUAUUCAAAAGCUCUUUUUGGAGUGCACUAUGUAGUAGAUAUCGUCUUAAGGUUUCCAAACAUAUAAAGAACAAUAAAAUCCGAGUUAUAACAAAGAAGUUAUGACCAUUCUAAGUUUUUCGACGAAAACCGGCAAUGCGAAGUUACGUAAAAACGCGAAGUUUCAAUAAAAUACUUUUUGACCUUAGGUGUCUAAAUGAAAGUCAUAGAUAUCUUUAAACUACAAACGUACAUAAAAAGAACGCCCAAAACUGACACCGUAUGAAAAAGUUAUGAAUUAUUAACGAACUUGUCUUACCCCGACCUUUUAAAAAUAAAUAAUAAAAAUAAUUUCGGAAUUUGCCAACGGAAUCUAAACGAAAGUUGUAGAUCAUAGUCUUACCUACGCGUAGAUAUAAACAACGUUGAAAACAGAGUUCGUAUGAAGGAGAUAUGAAUUUUUGAAGUUUGAUAAAUAAUUAAUAUAUAAAUUUAAUUCAAAAUUCGGUAUUAACCGAAGCGGGAGUCACCGGGUCCAUCCGAGUUACGCCCAACGUACCCCCGUACGCCCAGUGUACUCAAGGGCUAGGCUCCGGUUCGUCCACGUCGCCCCUAUGCGAGGCUAUGCCCCGUCCCAUCCGAAGCGGAGGCAGUCGAGGACUCGGUCACGCAUGACGCACGAGUACGCCCCGGGUACACCCGUACGCCCAGCGUACCGAGGCCUCUCAGCCCCUAUAAAAGGGAUGCGAGGGUUCCGGGGAAAUUUCCUCAUUUUCUCUCGUUUUUCUUAUGUUUUGCCUCGUUUUCCGUGCAAUAUUUAUCCCGAAGCCCCGAUUCUCAUACUCAAGCCCCGAAGGAAGUUUUACGCUCCCAAGAUUCCCGAGAAUCCGAGAAAAUCCGCCUUUUCAAGUCAAAGUUCUGCUCGGUUUUCGUCACACCUUCUUUGAUCUAUCAAGUGAGUUGAUACCCCUACAAACACACUUUAAAUACGUUUUUAAAUGCUUUUUAUACUCUUUUAGGGGAGGAAUACAAGUAAACAUACGGUUAUUAUCAUUUAUUUCAUAAAGUUUCACUUUACUCGUUUUUAUCAAAUGAAUCACUUGUGAUUCAUUACUACUAUGGAAAACUCUUGACAUACUUUGCAUGCACUAGAUUUAUACAAAGUAUUUAGUAAUUUCAAAGUAUCUUUCGUUGCUAAACAGUUUUAUACAUUCUAAGAACUUAUGAUUUAUGUUGUGUCAAAUAUGGUGGAAAAGGAUAAACUUUGUAAACAAAACUACUACUUUAAUACAGACUUAGUUGAGAAUCCAUGAGACGUGUAUAUCUUCAAAUACUACCUUCUUGUUAAAAGGUAAUACUACAAGUCCUGUCUAUAACCAGAGUCUCCCGUUAGGAGAACGUGUCAAAUGUGUAUAGAUCUAUACGGGAAGUCAUGAUCCCGCACCCUGACUGUUAGCUACAGUCCGUCCUUUGGGGUGACAGUUUGUCAUAACGCUACGACGCCUGAAGAACGUCGCUACAGAUAUAUUAUGUUCAAUAUGGUUAUAAAACUCAUCGGAUAUACAAUUAUUAUAGUACUUCUGAAUGAUGAAUGAAUAGCUAUUAAAACUAUUCUUUAUCUAACAAACUGAAAUCUCCUUAUAGGUUUUAUUAUAUAAAUCUAUGCUUCAAUCUUCUAAAGUAUGUGCUUUGAUUUCGGUUUUUAGUCUUGGACACUAGACAAACUAUUACUUUAGGAAAAUAUGGGAUUUUCCUGUAUACAAACCAAACAACUAAUAGGAAAAUAAGGGAUUUUCUUGGUUCAACUAUCCGCAUUUUUCAACACAAUUACUCUCAUGCAUUUCAUACUUUUAUAAGAAAAUAAGGGAUUUUCUUGGAAAACAUACACUCAUUUUGGAAUGACAUUCAAUUUUUCCAAACCACUUAUGAACUCACCAACUUAAUUGUUGACACUUUCUCUUUGAAAUAACUUGUAUUCUCAGGGAACCGCUAAGCAGGUUGGAAAUCAACUUUUGGGGAUUAACGCGCUGGCGUUAAUUAUUUCUUUUGAAAAGAUGUUUAUGUAUUUAUCUUUUGAACAUGUACUGAAUACCAUUAUGUAAACAUUUUUAAAACCCUUAUAUAUGUAUGGUGGUGUGUACAUUCGUUUCUAUGAACUGUUAUGAUACUGAAUAUGACGUCCUCCGCCCCCGAACGUUUCCGCCGUUCUGGUUUGGGGGUGUGAAAGGUUCUACGUAACAAGGUGGGGGAGCAUUACCCGUAUUUGUUCACAGUAGGGGACUUCGAGGACUUAGUCUAGUUCAAGUGGGAGAGAAUUGUAACAUCUCGUUGAUGAGGUAUUUUUAAUUCUAACCCUAUAUAUAAAGAAAUAUUGCAUUUUAGCCCUUGUGCAUGAGAAAGAUUGCAAAAUGGUCCAUAAUGGCAUUUUUGUAAUUAUGGUGGCAGGCUCAAGUACACANUGGGACAUAUAAUCGGAACUGGGAAGAAUAUAACCUGAUCAACUAUAUUUGUCCGAGAGCCGACUAACGUAUGCCAAGGAGUGUCUGCAGUGGACAACAAAUUUAAAACUUACCAAAAGCAUAUCAUUAAAUAAUACUAAGGGAGUAUUUGAGUAUCAGCAACCAUUAAACUUAAGGGUAAAUUUCAUGUGCUCUAGCUUAUAGUAAAUUCUUAACCCUAUUCUCGUACAGACUCAAUGGCUGGAUUCCAUCACCCCAAUGACCCCUACUACCCCAACCAAGGUAAUGGAGGAUGGAUCGAAGAAGAUCCCGAAGAAGACGAAGAACCUAUAGAGUUGGAUGANCAACAAAUUUAAAACUUACCAAAAGCAUAUCGUUAAAUAAUACUAAGGGAGUAUUUGAGUAUCAGCAACCAUUAAACUUAAGGGUAAAUUUCAUGUGCUCUAGCUUAUAGUAAAUUCUUAACCCUAUUCUCGUACAGACUCAAUGGCUGGAUUCCAUCACCCCAAUGACCCUUACUACCCCAACCAAGGUAAUGGAGGAUGGAUCGAAGAAGAUCCUGAAGAAGACGAAGAGCCUAUAGAGUUGGAGGAAGGAGAUGACUCUGGUACAGAUUCGAAGCUAGAGACUAUCAAUCCACCGGUCCCACAACCUCCUGCCCAUGUGAGGAACUUCCAAGGACCCACUCCUGUGUGGGGGAGUCACCUCCACCAUUGGAGCCAACAACAGAUCUUACUCCCUCCCUACGGCAUGUGCCGAGACUUCUAUGAUGUCAGAGGCGGGGGUUCGGCAGACCGAGCACUCCGGGUCAUGGUUGGCAAAUUAGCCAACCAGUGCUAUCAAUCCGGAGUUCAAGCCAACCGGAUUCGCGAGGUCAAUGUCGAAGUGCAAGUGUACACUUCUGACAUCCGCCGUUUGGACAAGUUGCAAGGGUAUGGCCUAGACCGCACUAAUGCCCUCCAAGAACAAAAGAAUGCAGCGAUCGCAGCAAUAGCGGAGAUAAGGGAACAAGAAGCCGUGUUUGAUAGGCACCUCAUGGAGUCAAAGCAGUCCGACACGGAGUCAAGCUCCAAGCGCAAGCCACUCCGCAAGUAGUACUUGCCCGACUCUCAAAUUUUGUUAUAAAUUAGGACUUCGGAUAAAAGUACUAUUUUCUUUAAACUUUCUAUAAUCGGAGACCUUUAGAAAGGUCAAAAACUUUUGUCUAAACUCGGAUGUAACACAACUAUAUGUUUAAUAUAUAUAGGGCAUACCUCUUUCAUGUUUUAAUUAUGUGUAGUUCAUUCAAUUCGUAAGUAUAUCUAUUCAAACUUCAUUUGUAAAUCAAGCUCAAAACCCUGUGUUGGUCAAUCCAAAUUCUUGAACUAUUAAAGGAAGUUAACUCAAUAUCAUUCAACUCUCAACCACCAAAACUUAUAAUCUCUCAUUUUCUUUUGGCAGCGCGAUGCCUCAUCGUCCAAACCUAAGACCCAGACCGGGCACGACACCACCACCUCCACCACCACCGUAUGAUCUGGCCAUGGUCCAGGCUGCUAUCACAGCAGCAGUAAUAGCAGCUCUAUCGCAAAUAAACUCCAAUGCAAAUGGAGGUAUAGGAAGCAGCACGAAUCAUUCCAAUCGGGGCACUGGCCAUGGUCAAGUAAGGGAAUGUACUUACAAGGAGUUUUCCAACUCAAAGCCAAAGACUUUUAACGGCAUUGGAGGAGUCAUUGCACUAAUGCAAUGGUUCGAAAAGACCGAAACAGUCUUCGAGAUCUGCUCAUGCCAAGAAACAAGCAAGGUUAAGUUCGCUACUUGCACCUUCAUAGAUCGAGUCCUCACUUGGUGGAAAAGCCAUGUGAAUUCGGUGACGCUCACUGUCGCCAACGCUAUGAGUUGGGAGGAUCUGAAGGUUCUAUUACUAGAAGAAUACUGCCCAAGGGGCGAAGUGCAAAAGCUUGAGCAGGAGCUCUGGAAUCUGAAGAUGACUGGGUCUGAUCUAGUCGCUUACACAACUAGGUUCAACGACCUUGCUGCAUUGUGCCCUACCAUGGUCAACCCAUAAUCAAAGAAGGUUGAAAGGUACAUUUGGGGGUUGUCACCCCAGAUUCAAGGGCAUGUCCUAGCUUCCAACCCUAUUACCUACAACGGCGCUAAACGUCUGGCUCAGCGACUCAUCGACCACGGGGUAAAACAGGGUACCAUUGCAGCUACCGCAAAUCCAUCUAAGGAGGCACAGGGCCAGAGUAGGCCUUGGAACAAGAGGAGGGGACAAACCCUUCAGGAGAACCCCAAGAAAAAACAAGUAGUAGCGACCCACGCUAUUACUGUACCUACCAACACUGCCCCCACAAGCUCAUACAAUGGGAAACUUCCGAAAUGCAACCAAUGCAACUUCCACCACCACGGUCUGUGCCGUGAUCUUCAAUGCACUAGGUGCAAUAAGAAGGGGCAUACAGCCCGCUACUGCAAAGAGCCAACCUAACAAUCCGCCCCCACUGCUAAUAUCGGAGUAAGUCGCGCCUGCUUUGAGUGCGGAGACGCGGGACACUACCGCAGGGACUGCCCGAAGGCAAACAACAGGAAUACCAGCGGAAGGGGCCGAGUUUUCGCAAUGGGACAAGAUGAAGCUGUUGCAGACCCCACUGUUGUUACAGGUACGUUUCUUCUCGAUAACUCGUAUGCAUGCAUUUUGUUUGAUAGGGGAGCGGAAAGGAGUUUUGUGAGUCACGACUUUAAAGGCCUACUAAAACCAAUACCACAAUCAUUAAGUGAACCAUUCAGAGUAGAAAUGGCCAACGGGAAAACCGAAGGCACUAAGGAGAUAUACUUAAACUGUACCCUAACUCUAAAUGAUAAUCCCUUUCCAAUCAACCUCAUGCCAGUCUCGAUUAAGAGUUUCGAUGUCAUCAUUGGCAUGGAUUGGCUGAGUUCUCAUCAUGCUGACAUUUUAUGUUACGAUAAGGCCGUUCGCCUUAAUCUGCCAACCGGCGAAACUUUCCUUGUCUUGGGCGACAAACCUAGUACCACUCUUCGUAUCAUCUCAAACAUCCAAGCUCAGAAGUGCCUACGCAAGGAGUAUCACGCGUUUCUGGCACAUGUCGUGGAUGUGAAACGCGAAGUCCAGGACGUCAAGAAUGUGCCUGACGUAUGCGAUUUUCCCGACGUUUUUCCCGAGGACCUUCUGGGAAUACCACUCGCGAGACUAGUCGAGUUCAGAAUCGAUCUGGUUCUCGGAGCUACCCCAGUAGCCAAAGCACCCUAUCGAUUAGCCCCGAUAGAGAUGCAGGAGCUAUCCAGCCAACUGAAUGAGCUACUUGGAAAAGGAUUCAUCAGGCCGAGCUUCUCGCCAUGGGGAGCACCCGUGUUGUUCGUGAAAAAGAAGGAUGGAUCAUUCAGGAUGUGCAUCGACUACCGAGAACUCAACAAACUUACCAUCAAGAACUGAUACCCCCUACCCCGAAUCGACGACUUAUUCGACCAACUCCAAGGAGUCAACUACUUUUCCAAGAUCGAUCUGAGAUCGGGAUAUCACCAGCUGCGAGUCCUAGAGAGUGAUGUUCCCAAGACGGCCUUCCGAACGAGAUACGGACAUUACGAGUUCGUAGUGAUGUUGUUCGGACUAACCAAUGCCCGACCGUAUUCAUGGAUCUAAUGAAUCGGGUAUGUCGUCCAUUCUUGGAUAAAUUUGUGAUAGUAUUCAUAGACGACAUACUCAUUUAUUCAAAGAAUAAAGAAGAACAUAGUCAACAUCUGAGACAAGUCUUAGAGACGUUACGGACUGAGAGACUUUAUGCAAAAUUCUCAAAAUGUGAGUUUUGGAUUAGAAAGGUGGACUUCCUCGGUCACGUGGUCAGCAAGGAAGGAAUCCACGUGGACCCAUCAAAAAUCAAGGCUAUCAAAAGUUGGUUUGCACCAACUACACCAAUAGAGAUUCCCCAAUUUCUAGGUCUUGCUGGUUAUUAUCGAAGGUUCAUUCAGAACUUCUCCAGCAUCGCAAAGCCUCUUACCGCUUUAACCCAGAAGGGUGUGACCUAAAACUAGGGAGAAAAGCAAGAUGCUGCAUUUCAGACUUUGAAACAGGCCCUUUGCAGUGCACCCAUCCUUUCUCUUCCAGAAGGGACCGAAGAUUUUGUGGUGUAUUGCGACGCUUCGAAGCAAGGGCUGGGUUGUGUACUAAUGCAGAGGGGAAAUGUUAUUACAUAUGCCUCACGACAACUGAAAAUGCAUGAAGUCAACUACACCACUCAUGACCUAGAACUUGGAGCGGUGGUCUUCGCUCUUAAAAUCUGGAGGCACUACCUAUACGGUACCAAGUGCACCAUCUUUACAGACCACAAGAGCCUUCAAAGAAUCUUCGACCAGAAGGAGUUAAACAUGAGACAGCGACGUUGGGUCGAAUUGCUCAACGACUACGAAUGUGAGGUUCGCUAUCAUCCGAGAAAGGCAAACGUCGUGGCCGACGCCCUUAGUCGUAAGGAGUACUCUGGCCGAAGAGUGAAGUCAUUAGCCAUGUCGAUCCAUUCGCACCUGUCAGCACAAGUCAAGGAAGCUCAAAUAGAGGCCUUGAAACCCGAAAACGUGACAGGUGAGACCCUUAGGGGAAUGGACAAGAACUUAGAAAUCAAGAGUGACGGAGUAUGCUACCUCAUGAACCGAAUCUGGACACCCAAGUUUGGUGGAUUCAGAGAGGUAGUUAUGAGCGAGGCACACAAGACUCCAUACUCCGUGCACCCAGGGUCAGAUAAGAUGUAUCUAGAUCUCAAGCAACUCUACUAGUGGCCAAAAAUGAAAGCAUAGAUUGCUACCUAUGUGAGCAAGUGCUUGACUUGCGCCAAGAUAAAAAUAGAACACCAGAAACCCUCAGGUCUACUCCAACAACCUGAAAUACCUGAGUGGAAAUGGGAGCAGAUUUCCAUGGACUUCAUAACAAAACUACCCAAAACUCAAGGUGGCCAAGAUACUAUUUGGGUGAUUGUCGACAGACUAACCAAGUCCGCUCAUUUCUUACCGAUCAAGGAAACUAAUAAGAUGGAAAAACUAUCGAGAACCUACAUCCGAGAGAUCGUACGACUUCAUGGAGUGCAAAUGUCUAUCAUCUCAGACAGAGACAGCAUAUUCACUUCCAAAUUCUGGCAAUCAUUGCAAAAAUCCAUGGGAACAAGGUUGGAUAUGAGUACAGCCUAUCACCCACAAACUGACGAACAGAGUGAGAGGACGAUCCAAACCUUGGAAGACAUGUUGCGAGCAUGUGUAAUCGACUUUGGUAAAGCAUGGGAUGCUCACUUACCUUUGUUCGAGUUCUCUUAUAAUAAUAGUUAUCAUACUAGUAUCAAGACUGCUCCAUUUGAAGCCCUUUACGGCCGUAAGUGCAGAUCACCUCUGUGCUGGACGGAAGUGGACGACACGCACUUGGCAAAAGGUCUAGUCCCUGAUAGCACCCUCACUGGUCCAGAGAUCGUCAGAGAAACGACUGAAAAGAUCAUGCAAAUACGAGAGCGACUGAAAUCCUCAAGGGAUAGGCAAAAGAGUUAUGUCGACAAAAGACGAAAACCCUUGGAAUUUCAGAUUGGUGACCGUGUACUGCUAAAGGUCUCGCCCUGGAGGGGCAUGAUACGCUUUGGAAAGCGAGGGAAGCUAAAUCCUAGGUACAUUGGACCCUUCGAAAUCAUUUCAAGAAUUGGUCCAGUGGCUUACAAACUCCAACUUCCAAUCGAGCUUAACAAAGUACAUCCAGUAUUCCACGUAUCGAACCUGAAAAAGUGUUUGUCCGACGAAACACUUGUAAUUCCACUCGAUGAAAUCGAACUAAAUGAAAAUCUUAACUUUGUGGAAGAACCCGUCGAGAUCAUGGAUAGGGAAGUUAAACGAACUAAACAGAGUCGCAUUCCAAUAGUAAAGGUCCGAUUGAAUGCUAAGAGGAGACUUGAGUUCACGUGGGAACGAGAAGAUCAAAUGCAACAGAAGUAUCCGCAUCUCUUCCUCAGCCCCUAAAACUUUUCUUUUGUAUUAAAAUUUGGGGACGAAAUUCCCUCUAACGGGGGGAUGAUGUAACAACCCGUUAUUUCAGGUCAUUAAAAAUUGAGUCUUGUAACCUCUUUGAAAAGUAAUUAGAAUAUCAUCGAAAAAUGAAAUAUUCAAAAGCUCUGUUUGGAGUGCACUAUGUAGUAGAUAUCGUCUUAAGGUUUCCAAACAUAUAAAGAACACUAAAAUCCGAGUUAUAAUGAAGAAGUUAUGACCAUUCUAAGUUUUCCGACGAAAACCGGCAAUGCGAAGUUACGUAAAAACGCGAAGUUUCAAUAAAAUACUUUUUGACCUUAGUUGUCUAAAUGAAAGUCAUAGAUAUCUUUAAACUGUAAAUGUACUUAAAAAGAACGCCCAAAACUGACACCGUAUGAAAAAGUUAUGAAUUAUUAACGAACUUUUCUUACCCCGACCUUUUAAAAAUAAAUAAUAAAAAUAAUUUCGGAAUUUGCCAACGGAAUCUAAACGAAAGUUGUAGAUCAUAGUUUCACCUACGCGUGGAUAUAAAGAACGUCGAAAACGGAGUUUGUAUGAAGGAGAUAUGAAUUUUUGAAGUUUGAUAAAUAAUUAAUAUAUAAAUUUAAUUCAAAAUUUGGUAUUAUCCGAAGGGGGAGUCACCGGGUCCAUCCGAGUUACGCCCAGCGUACCCCCGUAUGCCCAGCGUACUCAAGGGCUAGGCUCCGGUUCGUCCACGUCGCCCCUAUGCGAGGCUAUGCCCCGUCCCAUCCGAAGCCGAGGCAGUCGAGGACUCGGUCACGCAUGACACAUGAGUACGCCCCGCGUACACCCAUACGCCCAGCGUACCGAGGCCUCUCAGCCCCUAUAAAAGGGAUGCGAGGGUUCUAGGGAAACUUACUCAUUUUCUCUCGUUUUUCUUGCGUUUUGCCUCUCUUUCCGUGCAAUAUUUAUCCCGAAGCCCCGGUUCUCAUACUCAAGCCCUGAAGGAAGUUUUACGCUCCCGAGAUUCCCAAGAAUCCCGAGAAAAUCUGCCUUUUCAAGUCAAAGUUCUGCUCGGUUUUCGUCACACCUUCUUCAAUCUAUCAAGUGAGUUCAUACCCCUACAAAUACACUUUAAAUGCUUUUUAUACUCUUUUAGGGGAGGAAUACAAGUAAACAUACGGUUAUUAUCAUUUAUUUCAUAAAGUUUCACUUUACUCGUUUUUAUCAAAUGAAUCACUUGUGAUUCAUUACUACUAUGGAAAACUCUUGACAUACUUUGCAUGCACUAGAUUUAUAUAAAGUAUUUAGUAAUUUCAAAGUAUCUUUCGUUGCUAAACAGUUUUAUACAUUCUAAGAACUUAUGAUUUAUGUUGUGUCAAAUAUGGUGGAAAAGGAUAAACUUUGUAAACAAAACUACUACUUUAAUACAGACUUAGUUGAGAAUCCAUGAGACGUGUAUAUCUUCAAAUACUACCUUCUUGUUAAAAGGUAAUACUACAAGUCCUGUCUAUAACCAGAGUCUCCCGUUAGGAGAACGUGUCAAAUGUGUAUAGAUCUAUACGGGAAGUCAUGAUCCCGCACCCUGACUGUUAGCUACAGUCCGUCCUUUGGGGUGACAGUUUGUCAUAACGCUACGACGCCUGAAGAACGUCGCUACAGAUAUAUUAUGUUCAAUAUGGUUAUAAAACUCAUCGGAUAUACAAUUAUUAUAGUACUUCUGAAUGAUGAAUGAAUAGCUAUUAAAACUAUUCUUUAUCUAACAAACUGAAAUCUCCUUAUAGGUUUUAUUAUAUAAAUCUAUGCUUCAAUCUUCUAAAGCAUGUGGUUUGCUUUCGCUUUUUAGUCUUGGACACUAGACAAACUAUUACUUUAGGAAAAUAUGGGAUUUUCCUGUAUACAAACCAAACAACUAAUAGGAAAAUAAGGGAUUUUCUUGGUUCAACUAUCCGCAUUUUUCAACACAAUUACUCUCAUGCAUUUCAUACUUUUAUAAGAAAAUAAGGGAUUUUCUUGGAAAACAUACACUCAUUUUGGAAUGACAUUCAAUUUUUCCAAACCACUUAUGAACUCACCAACUUAAUUGUUGACACUUUCUCUUUGAAAUAACUUGUAUUCUCAGGGAACCGCUAAGCAGGUUGGAAAUCAACUUUUGGGGAUUAACGCGCUGGCGUUAAUUAUUUCUUUUGAAAAGAUGUUUAUGUAUUUAUCUUUUGAACAUGUAAUGAAUACCAUUAUGUAAACAUUUUUAAAACCCUUAUAUAUGUAUGGUGGUGUGUACUUUCCUUUCUAUGAACUGUUAUGAUACUGAAUAUGACGUCCUCCGCCCCCGAACGUUUCCGCCGUUCUGGUUUGGGGGUGUGAAAGGUUCUACGUAACAAGGUGGGGGAGCAUUACCCGUAUUUGUUCACAGUAGGGGACUUCGAGGACUUAGUCUAGUUCAAGUGGGAGAGAAUUGUAACAUCUCGUUGAUGAGGUAUUUUUAAUUCUAACCCUAUAUAUAAAGAAAUAUUGCAUUUUAGCCCUUGUGCAUGAGAAAGAUUGCAAAAUGGUCCAUAAUGGCAUUUUUGUAAUUAUGGUGGCAGGCUCAAGUACACAGGGCGUACUCCCAGCGUACGUAGGGCAUACAUGGGUGAGCCACAAACCCUAAUUUUUAGGGUUUGGACCCUAUAUAAACAUCAUUAACCUUCAGGUGCUCACUCCCUCGCCAGCCUCCAACCCUCAUUUCGUCAUUUGCAAACCCCUAAUACACUUUUGAGCAUUAUUGAGCUUUGUAUUUGUGUUUUGGUCACCUUGAAGGAUAAAGGAAGAAGAGAAGGUUAGCUUAGAGAAGUAGAAGUCUUUGGAUCCAGGAUCUCAUCACCUUUGGGCAUCAACUGGUGGUAAAAUUAUUUAAACGUGAUGAAGUUACACAUAGAUCUAAGUUAGCCAAGAAUAUGGGUUCUCUUGGUCCCAUUAAUUUGGUAUUUUGAGUAUGAGUUAUUCCAAUCCAUUUAAGUUGUCCUUUCAAACGUCUAGAGUUGUUUAUAAGCAUAAAAAUGUGGUCUUGAUCAUUUCUUCCCUUCCAUGCAUGUUCUACAAGGUCUUAAUGGGUUAAGUAAUUAAGGUUUUUAGUAUUGAGCGCUUUUUGGACAUGCAAGACCAUAAAGUUGCAAACUUUAUGGUCAAAUACGUCUUUUGGGGCUUGUAUCAUACUUUCGACGUAAGGUCUUGAUGUAUUAAUCUCUUCAUGAGAAAAGAGAUUAACCAUGUGCAUACGCUGGGUGUACCAAAUGGUACGCAAUGCGUACGCGGUCAAAGCCAUGUCUUUUGGUUAACAAGCGAGUAUGCCCAACGUACUGAGGAGUACGCCCAACAUACUCGACUGGGUUGGCUCGGCUGGGUUGAGUCGGAUGGUUUAUUUAUUUUGAGUUUUAACCAAGUAUAACCUGAGGGUAUUUUAGGUCAAUUGAGUGGUAUUUGAGAUCAGACAUUGUUUUGUGUUUAGGUGAUCGGUUGGCUUGUUAUUUGGAGUUGUGAUCUGCCAGACAUCUUGCAGACUGAGAGGUGAGUUAUCCUAACAGUAAUUACAGGUCGAAGGCACUAAGGCCGUCCCAAUGGAUUGAUAUCCUGUUAGAUACCGAGUUAAGAUAUGUUGAACAUGUGAUAGAUCUAUUCGAUUACCUGAUAGUUAUGGAUAUCUGUUAGACUGGUAGAUCUGUAGGACUACCUGUGAUUAAUGACGGUAUACUUAUAUGCUUGUUGAACAUGUACAUUAUUUGUUAUAUGUCGACAUAUUACAUUGGAUUUGAGACUACUGUGUUGUGCUGUCAGUUAACAGACUGGUGGAAUCCAACCAGGAGGUUGUGGACCAGGGCAUUCCAACCGAGAGAUUGUGGGCCAAGGAUAAUCCUACCAGGAUGUUGUGGACCCAAUAUGUGGUAUGCCAGGCAAUCCAACCGGCAGGUUGUGGGCCAGGGUAAUCCAACCGGGAGGUUGUGGACCCAAUACGGUAACCUAUGUAUUUUAUAUCUUGUGUGAUGGUACUUUGGGGGAACUCACUAAGAUUUGGCUUACAGUUUCAAUUUAUUAUUUUAGGUACUUCUGAUGAUCGUAGGAAAGCGAAGACAUCAUCGUGCACAUCUUCCUAUUUUGUGUUAUGGGAUCUUGGGAAAUCUCUUAUUUUGAAUAAUACUUUUGAAACAAUAGUUCUUUUUUUAAACAAUGAUGGUUAUUGGUGGCUUUUUGUAACAACCUGAUAUUUUAAGUCAAUAUAAUAGUUUAGGUCAAAUUGUGACUCGUUUUAAAGUAAUAAAGAAAAUUAACCUUAAAAAUGUUAAAUAAACCUGAUUUGAAUGAAUAAAGUGGUAGAGAUCGUAACACGGUUGCCGAAGAUAUAAAGAACAUAGAAAUAUGAGCUAUAACGAAGAAGAUAUGACCUAUCGAAGAUCCGUGACAAAACCGGCAAAACACUAUGUAGCGUAAAGAGUGAGUUUUCAAUAAAAUGCUUUUUAGCCUGAACAAUCUAAAUGAAAUUCACAGAAUACGUUGAACCAAGAGUUUACAUAAAAAGAACGUCUAAAUCUGACUUCGUAUGAGGAAGUUAUGAUUUUUUUAAGAUUCGAGACAGCAUUGUACAUCCCAAAAAUCAAACUAAAGAUCGAGCUAUUUUUAGGCAACACAACCUAAACAACAAUUGAAGAUCUCGUCAAUAGUAGUGAAAUGGUAAAAAGACAGACAAAAACAGAUGUCGAAUGAAAAUUUUAUGAAUUUUUAAUGGACUUUUCCUGUCCCGGCCCGUUAAAAAUAUAACAUUAAAAAUAAAGUCAAACUUAGCCGAUGGAGUCUAAAUGAAAGUUAUAGAGUAUAAUCUUACAUAUGCGUGGAUAUAAAGAGCGUCAAAAACGGAGCUUAUAUGCAAAAGAUAUGAAAUUUUGAUGUUCUGGGCACAAAAUACGAGGUGUAAUCGAAGCCGUACGCCCAACGUAGUUCGUAUGUACGCCCAGCGUACUCAGAAACAAGGUCCGGAGUCGGCCAUGUCGUCCUUCCUUCUCUUAUUGACACAUAUCAGCCACGUUCGAAGCUCAAAUACCGAACACGCGCCAUGUCGCUUGUACGCCCAGCGUAACGAGUACGCCCAUCGUACCAAAGUUAUGCCCAACGUACUUCGAGGUUUCAGCCAACUAUAAAAGGAAUGUGAGGUCUCCAGAUUUAUGUUACAAAAUUUCUUAUUCUUUCACCCUAAAGCCCUCUCUAACCACUCUAAACCACCCCGAAGCCUCGAGAACACCCCUAACACCCGAAGAAAGCCCGAAGCCCCGAAGUCCUUGAGAAAAUAAUAUUUUCCUGUUGAAACUCUACCCGCAUAUAGCCCGGUUUUUCAUCAGAAACUCACGGUUUCUUCGAGAAAGAUCAUCUAUAGAAAUGAAACACUGCCCAAAUCACCAUUUAUCAGGUGAUUUCAUACCCCUAUACUAUUCCGAAAUUUUCUAUGUUUUUAGGGGGGAAUACAAGUAAAAACACAAGUAAUAUUGUGUUUAAAAUACAAAUUGUUUAUUUCGCUCUUUUAUAUAUAUAUUAUAAACAUUGUACGCAAAAAUACUAACUAAAUCUUUUUGUUACCAAACUUAUAAACUCUCCAGGUUGUUAAAAUAUAAUAGGCUCAUGUUACGUAAAUUACACACGUAUAAACUAUAAUGGGUACAGUUUAUGGAACUUAUGAACUAUUUUACGAAGUCCAUGUUAAAAACAUGGAAAUAAACUUAUAAGCUAUAAUAGGUAUAGUUUAUGGAAUAAAAGGAUCUUUUUUCAAAACUACUUGUUAUUUACAAAAAGAUUUUCUGCUUUAUUACUAGUAAAUUCGUUGAAACAAUUUGUGAGACGCCUUCAUGUACUUAUCUAAGUACCCAUUAAAUUCCUGACUUAUAACCAAAGUCUCCCGGAGGGAGAGCAUGAGUUUGUGUAUAUAUCUAUACGGGACUGACAAUCCCGUACCAGAGCUGCUUGCAAUAGCUAGGUCGGCAGACCUGUGGUGACAAAUGUCAUACCGAUUCCAACGCCUGAAGAACGUCGUUUCAGGCCAUCUUAGGUCAUCAAGUAUGGUUAUGAGAAAUCACAAGGAGAAAACAAUGAUAUAUUUACGUAUUAAUAUACUUUCCUUAAACAAUCUUAAAGGAUAUUAACUAUAUGAUGACUCAGUAUAUACAAUAAUGUUAGAUAAAAUUGAUGUCCGGUAGACAGUGGAAUUUGUGAUGUCCGCCUUACUUCCUGUUCCUUUUUUGGUUGUGGGCUUAGGGCAGAUUCACCCAUUUAACUGUCUGUUUGAUCUCGGUCAUAUACAACUCAUAUGUACUAGCUAAUCAUAGGAGGGUGGUAUCGUUGUAAUGAGCUUUUUAGGGUAAACACAAUUUCAGCUAGUUUUAUAUUUAAAUAAAACUAGGUAUCGUUAAACUAAGUAUGGUAAUUAUACAUGUAGUUUUCGGUCAUGGUUCAUAUUAGAUCACAGUUCAGUUCAUAGUAACAGUUCAUGAUUUAACUUGCUGAAAACAAAUACGAUUAAUUACUGAAAACAAUGUUUUACAAAUACGAUAUUAGUUUAUAUAUAAUUAGUAUAAACUAAGUAAUCAUAGAAGGAACAUGUAUGGUCAUCUUACUCAUUAAGAAAAUAUAGGAUUUUCUUGAGGAACAUGCGAACUUUUCCAAAGAACAAAGAACAUACUUUUUAUAACAAAAUCACUUAUGAACUCACCAACUUAAAUGUUGAUACUCUCUUUUCAAACCACUUGUAUUCUCAGGAAAGUUAGUAGCAGGUACUCUCUUGGGCGUUAUGAAGACGGAGCAUAUUAGUAUUACGUCUUAUCUUUUGGCUAUAGUUUUAAUGUAAAUCAAUCAAUGCUUUAAACACAAUGUCAAUUUUAUAUUAUGAAUACAAUGGUUGUUCUUGCUUUGAUUACUAUUAUACAAUGGUUGUGAUACUGUACAUGAUGUCGUCGGGCCCCGAAUGUUUCCGCCGUUCAAGUUUGGGGGUGUGACAGAUUGGUAUCAGAGCAUUGUUUAUAGUGAACUCAGUAUAUCAACCCAUAAAAGAUAUAUAACUACAAAUACAAUGUGAUAAAAACACUCUGACCAAGAUUUAUACUUUUAUGAAAGUAUACACAUAUAUACAUAUACAUAUACUAGAAGAAGUAUUACAAGAAGAACAAAACAAAAGUAUUUAGAUGUUGGACACUACAGUCAAACCUAGACAAUUAUGUAAUCAUAUCUGGGAUAAAUAUAGCAUGAUCAACUAUAUUUAUUUGAGAUACGAACAACAUGCAUUUGGGAGUGAUGGUAGUGUUGCAGCGAGCCUAAAACUUACCAAAAGCCAAUAUACAACGGAUAUCUAGAACAAAACACAAAGUUAAAAUACUAUAGGAGUAUUUUAUGAUACUAUACAAUAACAACAAGUCUAAAAGUUUACCAAAUUCUUAUACCAAGAAAACUCUAGAAUCAAACAUGAAACUAAAAUACUAUAGGAAUAUUUUAGGUACUAUAAAUAACUUAUGUGAAAACUAAAGACCCUUACUGGUAGGCCUACAAUUCUUGAGUGUAUACAUUAAGGUUAUAUAUAGUUGAGAUUUUAUAGACUUAAAAUUUGUGAUUUUCACUCUACUUCCUGUUCCUUGUCUGGUUGUGGUUUUAGAGUAGGAUCACUUAUUCGAAGGCCUGUUUGAUCUGGAUUAUAUAUAAUCUGUAUACACUACGUGAUUAUAGGAAGACCGGUAAGGAUCAUCCUCAUAAAAAAAUAUUUUUAAAUAAAAAUGUUUUAUUAAUCAUAUAGAUUCUUUAGAUAUUCCCAUUCUCGCACAAACCUCAUAGAUAGAUGUAACCACUCCUUUACAACAACAAUAGAGGAGUCAAGGAAGAUCAAGAAGAGAUUCAUAAGGAGGAUUCUAAGAAGGAAACAGACGAGUAAUAAGGAACUAGAGAAAUCAUCAAGGACCUUUAACCUAUCAAGAACACAUAUGAGAAGCUCACUCAAACAUUUAGGUUCAAACUCCCCAUUAUGAAGUAAUGGGGAUCAGUGUUAAAACCCUAAGCAUGACAGAGCGGAGAUUCAACAUGCCUACGAAGAUCAAGGACACCAUAUAGAUACCAGGAGAUAACAAAUCACUACCACCAAGAGUAUGAUAGAGAACAGAGGAAACCACUCGUGAGACAUGCGAGGUGGUAGAGUACCUGAUGCGUCAUGCUAACAACUAAUAAUUAAUAUAACCUAGUGAGUUGGUGAUUACACUACUCACCCUAUGUGUUAGGCUUAUCGCCUUUUCUGUCGCAACUAAUAACAGUAAAUCGAAUCAAGAAAUCUUAUUUGAGAGUGAUUACUACUAAAAAUUCCUAACAGUAAAUCGACGUACAGUAAGUGAGGUCUAUAUAAAAUAGAAUACCAUCCCGGAACCCCUACAAUACUUAAUUUCAGACUAAAACAACCGAUCAGAAACAUAUUACAAAGUACUUACAACUUGGUUUGAUGAAUCCAUGCUGAAAAUUUGGUCUGAAAUAUAGGUAGAUGGUGCUUAAACGUAUAUUCCGGAUUUUUUUUGUGUGGGACCUAUACACACACACACACUAUUGGGCUAGGGCUAGUUUUCGGGUCCGAAAUGACCUAUUCUGGAACAAAGGGUUAUUUUUUAAAAAAAAAGAAAAUUGAUUAUAUUUUAGUAAAAAAAACCAAAAAAUAUUAGAUGUCAUUAUAAUAUAAAUGAAAUGAUAUUCCUACAUAUCAUAUAUUAUGUUGAAAGUCAUAUCAUAUAUUAUGUUGAAGUCGUUUAAUAUUUUGAUAAAUGAUAAUUCAUCAUGCGAUAAUUAAAAGAUAUUUUGUAGUUUUUUUCACUAUUAUUUUCCAAGAUUAUUAUAUAUAAUCCGUAUGGACCAUUUUAUUAUAACUUUUCUAUACAUAGGAUUUUUAGUAUGUUAUUAUAAUUUAAAUGGAAUGAUAUUCCUACAUAUUAAAAGGGGUGAGAAAGAACUAAACAAGUAAGAUGAUGGGGGGAUUUGUAAAUUCAAAUAUAUUCUUAAUUUUUUUUUGGGUUUAUUUUUUUUUAUCUUUUUAAUUGUCAUCGUACAGUAAGUGAGAUGAAAAACGGACAAUAAGUUGUGCCGCUAAGCCUUUUUGAAUGAUAAAUCUAAUUUCUAAAUAUUAUUAAAAGAGAGCCCUUAAAUUCUAAUCUUAAGAAAUCAGGACCUUCGUUACAUUUCAAUCCUUAAUUUCUAACCCUUAGAUUGUUUGUUUGCUGACACAUGCUCAUGCUCAUGAACCUUUACACGGUUAUUUUUCUUUCCUUCGUCGUCUAUCCUCAUUCUCUCUUUUUCAAUUGUAACCUAAUUUUACUUCAAUCAUGCAUCUUCUUACUUUUCUCCCUCCCUUUUUCUCUAAACCUAAUGCUUCUUUCAAUCGACAUCAGAAAGGGUUACCCAAUCGAUUUCAUACAUCAAAUCGAUCCAAGAUUAGUCUUCUUCCCCACUACUAUGUGUUCUUCCUAGGACGAUAGAAUCUUGCCUGUAAGUCCUGUAAUUAUGAUCGUUGACGAUUUUGAUUCUAUAACCGAAUGGGUUUUUCUUGAGUUUUCUAAUUGUACUUUUUCACUUUUCAAAAAUAGAUUUUUGUGGGAUUUACGGUAACAGACCUUAAAACAGGUCACUGAUUUGGAUAUUUUGGCUUUCUCAAUUACUCGAUUGAGAGCCUUUAUAUUUUUUUGCUGCUUUUCCCUUCUUUGCUGAACAGGGUUAUUCAGGUAAUUUGGUAACUAAACUUAAAUGUUUCUUUUUGAGUAAAUAAACUUUUCCAUAGGUUCUGAUUUUUGUAUGUAUUAUGCAGAUUAUAGUUCAUUUAUGGGCAACAGGAGGGGGACACUUUCUGCUAAUUCUUUCCUUGUGAUUCAAGAUGUGAUUUCUGUGUUUGGAUCUAAUCACUUUGACACAUGUUUUAUUAAAACAUGCAAUGCCUAUAUUGCCCGAUGCAGGAGUAUGGAAACUGUUGAUGCAAAACAUAUUGAGUAUUUGAGGGACAAUUUUGUCAAUUUAUGCUCUCUUGAUGUUGAAAAGUCUUGUAACAAGGCACUUGUUUCAAUUCAGCAACUUGCUUAUAUACCGCGACAUGCAAAGCAGAAGGAGAAUAAGGUAUGGAAUCUGUCGAAGGAAUGGAAUCUUGAAUUCCAAUCCGGAAUGUUUACAAUUCUUGUUUUUUUUUUGUUCACAGGAAGCAAUCAAGAAGAUAUACAGUUGGCAAUAUGCUCAGUGCAUUGAGAUUUGAGUUCUUUUCAUUUCAACAAAUGCAAAUGAAUCUGAUAUUCAGCCAUUGUUGCACUUGAUAAUAGAGCUUAUAAAUGGAAUCUCCAAUCUCUUUCCUAGAUCAAGAUAUAUUCCUUUGAGAACAAGAUGCAUUCAGUGGUUAAACAAACUCUCGAAUUCUUGUGGGAUUUUUAUCCCUGUUGCUUCAUUGAUCUUAGACAUGCUUGAAUAUAAAGUCAACAAAGAGGGUAGUAAAUCAAGAAAAUCUGUUAAGUUAGCAUCAAAUUUAAAGGUUAGUUGUUCGUUAUUACUUUAAUAAUUUGUUACAGUAUCUUCAUGUUUUUUUGUAUUGUAACAAGUUUAUUUGUUUGUUGUAGCUUCCGAAAUUUUGGUUGAAAUCACAAAACUUCUUGGACCAAUGUGUUUAUACAGCUGUUGAACUGCUUUCAGCUCACUUUCUUCAAUGGAGUUUUCACAUUUCUGUUCCUGAGUUAGCUACAAUUCCACUCAUCAGACUAAAAAAGUUUUAUGAAAGAACUACAGUUGAAAGUUUGAUGUGUGUAGUGAAGCGACUUAUGGAUCAGGUAUUUUGAAAAAUAUGUCAGAUUUUUGUAAUAAAUAGAGCUUAUAAAAACAUAUAUACCUAAAUAUAGCAAUGUCAUUGAAAUAUGAAAACAUUCUUCAUUGUUGCUAUUUCUUGAAUUUAGGUGGAGCAGAAUGUUGAGUUUGUGCAGAAGAAAAGGGAUGAUGUGGCUUUUUCACUAAAUGACCACGAGUCUGUUGAUCUAUUUUUGCAGGUAUUUUAUCUUUUCAAUGAAUUUUUUUUGAUUUUUUGAUGAAAUUUUUUUUUUAUGCAGUUUGAAAAAGCCUCCAAUAGACAUGGUGCAAAUGAUAACAGUGAUAUUAUAUUCAUAUUUAAAAUAAAAUAAUACACUUUAAUAAUUAAUAAAACAUGGUGCAAAUGAUAGUUGUUCGAGUGUUUUACAAAUUUUUAAUAUUUGUAAUACCAAUUAACAAAUAACAAUAAAAUUCAUAUAUCGCUUCAAUAUUAAACCCUACAAUAAAGCAAUCUUUUUUUAAUCAAGUAUACCAAUUUUAUUUUUUUUUAUUUAUAAACUAUUUAUAAUAUUCACGAUUGGUCCAUAUGGUUUGAAAAAUAUAUCAUGUUGAGGAUAACUAUGAAAACCAUCACAUGCUUGAUUCUUAUGGUUUCAAAGCUUUGCAUGAUUGGUCAUUUUGUCGAACUCUGUCAAAAAUGAAACCUUUAAGUAUAAGUAAAAUGACCAAAAUACUUAUAAUUUUAUCUUUUUUGCUAUUUCAGGAUGUUAUAAAGUAUAAUCAACCAAGUAUGUAAAUAAAACAGAGAAUAAAUUACAUUAUUAGUCCAUGUGAGGUAAUUUGCAUGUUUGGUCUUUAUUUUUUUAACAUUGUUGUAUGAUUUUGUUUCAAGUUUAUACUCUACCAUAACUAAAAUGAUUGUUAUUCCAUUAGUCCAUGUGAUUUACGGUAACAUACCUUUAUUUAGUUAUAUACAAAUUUUUUUUUUUUUUACCUAAUUUAAACCCUUCAAAUAUCCAAUUCACUUAUUUAAAGUGCUAGAAAUCAUCAAUAUCAAUAUAUAUAUANUAGAAAUCAUCAACAUCACUAUAUAUAGAGAUAUAACCAAGCACGUAAAACUUAUCAAACAUAUUGAAAUGAGUGACAUUUCAAAUGCUUCGAGAAAGAAAAAACCUACAAGGUCUGUUACUAAUGUUUUACCCAGCAACUCUUCCCCAACAAUACCACUGUCUGAUUUCCACAGUAUUGCUGAUCUCCAACAAGUACAUUAGGUUUAUAUAUAUCACUUUCAUUUACAAUAUAUAAAUUAUGUGAAAUUGGUUUUGUAUUAUUUAUAUCUUAAUCCUUGAUUAUCUCUAAAUAUUAUUAAAAGAGAACCUUAAAUUCUAAAAUGAAGAAACAAAGACCCUUGAUUAUAUUUCACUCUUUGAUCUCCACCUUUGGAUUAUUUUGAUGACAUCAUCUUAGACCAAAAUACGUUUUGCUGACAUAUAGACCAAAAUACGCACGGUAACUUCCUUCUUACUUUUCAUUCCGAAUCCUAAUUUCAUUAUAAUCAAGAGUGUAUAUCGACAUGAAGUCAUUUUCUUCUUCUUUUUCUCUUUCUUUCUCUAAUCCAUCAAUGGAUGUAGCUGUGAUCGAUUGGAAGGAUUCACAGUUCGAAAAGGACAUACUUUAUGAAGACAUUAACGCUCCUCAAUGGAUUGAUUUCUCCAGUCAUGAUCCUCCUUUUGAUGAUGAAGCUUGGGGCAUUCACAAAGCGCCGUUGAAUUUUAGGGUUUUGUUUCUAGGGUUCCUUUCUUCGUUCUUUUCUUUUCUGGGUUUCUUGAUGUAUUGAGUGAUGUCGAUGGCAACACACAAUCAACAAGCUUCUAGAACGACGUCGUCACUUGCAAAGCGACAGACAUCAUGUUGUAAUCUUAAUGUGUUUCACUUUCAGUUCAAGAAGGAUUAUUUGGGUACCCUUUUUAUUCCAUUAUUGCUUGUUUGAUCGUUAAAUUUGGAUGCAGGCCCGAGAAGCUGCAAUUGUAGCUGCACAUGGAAAAAUGGUAGAUUUCCAAAGAAGAAAGAGUAAUUCUUAUAUCUUUUAUCACUACCAUUAUGGGCAUUGGCUACUAGAAAAGCUUCAUAAGGUCCAUUAGCAUACCCUUCCAAGGUCUCUGGCUCAUUGUCAUAGGUUUCAUGCUUUGGACUAGAAGCUUGAUUCCGAAAUUAGUAGAGAAGCAAACCAAAGGGAAUAAGCAGUGAUCUUUAAUUUCCAAAAACCAGGAAUAUAACUAGAAAAUGCAAUAGAAUAUAAAAGAAUUCUAUUAAAAUUCUGAUGAAAAUGUCCCUGUAUGAGCGUCCGGAAUAACGACAUGAAGCGGAUAAGCUUAAUGAAAAGAAUACCAUCCACAAUGUGACCAAAAUACCCCUUGGACAAAUACGCAUAAUUAAAAUGACAGGCUCCAGCAUUCCUUAUCUUCUUUAAAUCAAUAUCACUCAUAUCAAAAUACUUGUGAUUAGUCUUGUGUCUUGUGAUUAUACCGCUGAAAUUUCAAUUUUUACAAAAUGACAAAUAUACCCUUUAAGUCAUUUAUUGAAUAACCCUCUUUUAUUAAUGUGUGGCUGAUAAAUAUUACUUUCAAAGGUCAGACUUUCACAGUGGGUGAAUUUAGUAUUUUUUUUUAUCAUUGCUAGGUAGUUUUUUACUAAUUAUUAUUUUUACACCAUGUAUUCCAGGCACGUAAAAAACUCAACCAAAUUGAGCUCUCUUAUUGUGAGAUUUAUGCCUCUUGUGAGCCCUGUCCUAUAUGCUUCGGUGACAUUCAUCUUUCAAGAAUCAAGGUGCAUUUUCCUCUCUAAUCCAAAUGACAUCUUUGCCUUUUGUCUAAAAUUGAGAGUAAAGUUACAACACUACAACCUUUUAUGUUCUGCUUUAACAAAGAGUGUAAAUGACCAUUUUACCCCUAAAAUCCAAAAAAAGAUCCGUUAUUUAGUUUAUUUAUGUGAAUGCAAAGGUUGGUUUAUGGGGCAAAAGCAUAAGCAGCACUUGCAAUUGGGUUUGAUGAUUUCAUUGCAGAUGCAUUAAGAGGCACUGGAUUUAUCAAAAGGCUCAUAUGGAGAUUAAAAAGGCAAAUGGAAAUGGAGCAGUUAUUGCUGAACAAGUAUUUGAAAACACCAAAGCCAAAUUCUCCAUGUAUUGAUUUCAUUUCAUACAUUUUAACAUUUCACAUUUUCAACAUUAUUAUUAUUUCUCCAUUGUUCUCAACAAUUGAUUACAGAAUCUCAAGUUUUCUUUCAUUAGACACUUCUUUCUUAAAGUCAAGUUGUUGUUCAAAAGAAUCCUUUUCUUUCUAAAAGUCAAUCCACUGCUCUUUCUUUAUAAUUAUUUUUUCAAUUGACUAACAGUAAAUGAAAGAAUAGUUGAUUAAUUACAAUAUGUAUUUAUACCAAUUAUAAUGCAAUUAAAUCCUUGUGGUAUUCAUAUUUGGAUUUCCAUGUGAAAAAAAUUGCACUUAACAUUCAUACCUAAUGUAAAUUUGAAACCAUUCCUUCAAUUUUCAGUAGAGUUUUCCUAUGUUCUUACAUCAUUGACACCAUCUGUGUGUGUGUGUGUGUGGCUAUUUCUGUAUGACCAAGGGUCAAAAUGGUUAUUUUUAAUCAAAGUAUGUUGGGUAAAUGAUGUAACAGCCCGGAUUUCCAGGUAUUAGUUAAUUUUGUUCUUUUUGGCUUUUGUGAGGAGACUCGGCGAGUUGGAGCCCAAACUCGCCGAGUAUGAUCCCGGAUAUGGACGCGGGUUCGCGUCCGGACUCAGCGAGUCCAAGAGUGGACUCGGCGAGUCCACGCUAUUUAAUGAAACCCAAAUUUCCAGGGUUUGAGACCUAUUUAAGGGGGCUUAUGGCCGUCAUUUGCGGCCACCGACCCCUAGAGAGAGACCCUAAAGAGAUUUGAGCGUUUUGGGAGAGAUAAGAGGCCAUUAUUGACAUUUGAAGCUUGGUUUGGCAAGGCUAAGGAGUUUUCAGCUAAGAGGAGGCAAGUGGAGUGGACAUCCUUCGAUUUUGGAGUUCAGAACAUCAUCUUGGAGGUAUAUCUUGGUUUCCUUCUCUGUUAUUAUGUUAAACAUGGGGGUUUAGGGUUUCUUGACCUCUUUUUUGGUUAGAUUUGAUGUCCAUUUCGUCCCUAUUUGUGAUGAGGCUUGAGAUGAGACCCAUAGAGGUCCAGAAGAGCUGUAUUCCUUAAGCUUUUUGAGGGUUCAUGAGGGUAUUGACCUAGGGUUAUGAUACAUGGGGCUAAAACAUCAUUUAUGAGCAAAUAGUUGUUAUUUGAGCCCCAAGGUUUGGACUUUACGUGAUUAUCAUGCUUGGGAAGGCCAGAUCUAUGAUUGUAUGGAGCGGAUCUGACCUCAGAAGUGAGUUUGAGUUGAUGCAUGGCAUGGACUCGCCGAGUCUGAAGAACAGACUCGGCGAGUAGCAUGAAGAUUGCCCGGAACCACUCAGCGAGUGGUCUUGCCGAGUAAAGGGAUUGACUCAGUGAGUCAGGGAGAGUCAGAGUGGGAUGAUGGGUGGACUGAGUCAAACUGGAACUCGCCGAGUUGUUCUUGAGACUCGGUGAGUUGAGUCGCGAUGGCCCCGCAACUCAUGCCAGGUGGAACUCGUCGAGUUAGGAAAAUACUCGACGUGUCGAGAGAGGAUCCAAGGGAGUCCGUGGACACACAUAGACUCGCCGAGUCGCUCGAGUGCACUCGCUGAGUCCGGUCAAAGAUUGACCGUUGACCAUUGACCAGAGUUGACCUAUGUUGACUUGAUAGAGUUAGUCAACCUUAGUUGUGAAAGUGUUAAUUAGAGAUAUAUUGUGUUAUAGGAGGACUAUAGCUCGGGAGAGUGAUUUCAGGGAUUUGCGAAUUACCAAGAUACGCGAGGUGAGUCUUUUCACUAUAUUUUACCUUGAGUAGGUAACUAGAGUUAUGUGAUAGAGUAUUUGUAUGCUAUGUAUGUUAUGUGUUGCAGUGCAUUAUUUCUAUGUGAUUUAUGNCAAUAAUGAAUGAAUUAUGUUUUUAUAAAACGCGAAAAUUUGUUUUGAAAUUUACGGUGUUACAAGUUGGUAUCAGAGCNGUGCAUUAUUUCUAUGUGAUUUAUGCUAUGCAUGUUAUCAAAGUUAGAACCUGAGGGUUCACAGAGUUUGGGUGCACGGACCUAUAGUUAUAGCCUCGAGUGGCUAAUAUGUGUUAUGUAUGGUAUUUUGGAAAACUCACUAAGCUUUGUGCUUACAGUGUUUGGUGUUAUUUGUUUCAGGUACUAGUGAUGACUGUGGGAAGGCGCCGGCUUGAUCAGUACACACACGGGAUUUUUAUGCUAUGAGAUCUUGAGAUUAUUAUAUGUUAUGGAUUUGAGCUUCAAACCUUGAUGUUUUUAUAAAAAUUAAAUGAAUUAUGAUGCCUUAGUCUAGGGGUUUUGCUGCUAGGGAUGCUAGAGAGUGACAUGGAUAGCAGUGAGAUGCUUAUGAGGGAUUUGCUAGUGAGUAGCACAUGAUAGAGAGAGGGUAGAGUACUUGGGUUUUGGGGCUCAAGGAGGAGGACUUGGAAUGAAUGCCGAUGCGGUAUUGACGGUAGUAUUGGGCCCGUACUACUGGAGGUACCGGAUUGGUGUACAGACCAAGUAAGAAUCCUUAGGGCACUAAGGAGUAAGUAGGGUGGAGUUAUCGAGUGUGGUUAUACCCGAGGAGGUCUCUGAUGUAUCGUAUGUUGUUUUUCAGUGGGAGAUCAUGGUGAGGACACGUAAAGCGCCAGAGAGCAGUGGGACCAGUGAUGAGGAGAUCCACCAUAUCAUCCAUGAGGAGGUGGCUGCGGCCAUCAGGGCAGAGAUACCGGAGGUGUUUGGGUCUAUUAAGACCACGUUGAUUGAGACUUUUGACGAGCGUUAUGCCGCUCUUUCUGAGGCUGCUGUUGCAGCGGCCACCGCAGCCGUCGCUGCUGCUAGGCCGCAGGGGUGUGACUCAUUGUUAUUCAGGGAGUUCAGCAACACGAAGCCACCAGAGUUUGAUGGGACACAGGACCCGGUGGCGGCUAUGAGAUGGAUUUCAGACAUAGAUGGGUGCUUCUUCACUUGCUCAUCUCCUGAGCUCUGAGAGUUUGGUUUGCGUUAAACCAGCUUCGCUUGGGAGCGAAGGAUUGGUGGAAGCUUGUGACGGCACACUUUACGCCUGCUGAGCUUACGGCAGUGACCUGGGAGAGGUUCACUGCCAUGUUCCGAGACGAGUACGUUCCCCAGGUGGAGAGGGAGCGUUUGGCCCAGGAGUUUCUGACCCUCAAGCAGGGUACUGAGUCUGUUACGGUGAUUACCAAGAUGUUCCACGAGAGGACGAUGUUCUGCCCUGAGCACGUGUCUACUGAGCAGGCACAUAUGAGCCAAUAUUUGAGUAUUUUGAGACAAGACAUCCGGGAGUUCGUGGCGAACUCCUCGUACCGGACAUUUUCCGAGCUUCAGGAAAAUGCCCGGAAGAGGGAGAUUGAGCUGGAGACUCAGGCUAGGGAGGAGGCGGAGUCUCAGGGGAGGGAUCGGCGACCGGCACAAUCUCAGCCGACAGCCAAGCGGGCCAGGCCUGCUGAUCCCAAAUCGGGGAGCCAGAAGGGCCGCACUUGUGGGAAGUGUGGCAAUGGUCAUGAUGGAGUUUGCAGGGCUGGAUCUUGCUACAAGUGUGGCAAGGAGGGGCACAUGGCCAUGGACUGCCCCAAGGGGUUUGCAGUGUGUUUUCACUGCAACCAGACCGAACACCGGAAGGCAGAGUGUCCGCAAUUGCGAGGAUCAGCUCAGGGAUCUGCCCCUGCCGCCAUCAGAGCUACCGAAAGUCGGCCAGUGAAGACCGAGGCGCCGAGAGCACGAGGGAGAGCUUUUCAGUUGACCGCGGAGGAGGUCCGCGCAUCGCCCGAUGUCGUGGCUGGUAUGUAUUCUUUCGUGUAUUUAUUUUGAUAUUGAGAUAUCAUGCUUAUAUUAUGUUAUGGGUAGGUACUUUUCUUGUGAAUUUUGUACCUGCCUUGGUGUUAUUUGACUCGGGUGCGAGUUGGUNAGGUACUUUUCUUGUGAAUUCUGUACCUGCCUUGGUGUUAUUUGACUCGGUUGCGAGUCUGUCUUUUGUGUCUUUGGCUUUUAGUCAGCAUAUCAGUCUUAGUUGUGAGGCGUUGAGUUGUCCUCUGAGAGUUUCCAUAGCUGACGAGAGAGUGAUAUAUGCCACGGAGGUAAUCCGCGAGUGCGUAUUCGAGAUCUUCGGAGUCGAGUUCCCGAUUGAUCUGGUUCCUAUUGUAAUGGGCGAUGUCUGUGUCAUUGUGGGCAUGGACUGGUUGAGCAGAUUCAGUGCAGUUAUCUAUUGCGAGCAACAGUCGGUGACUAUACGAGACCCUAGUGGGGGAGUUCUUACAGUGUACGAUGAGGGUACCCGUUCUGGGUCAGCGUUUUGUUCGGCCGCUAGGGCGAGGCAGUGUCUACAGCAGGGUUGUAAGGGUUUUGUGGCAUAUGUGAUGGACUCGAGGGUUGAUUCAGAGAGGCCGAGGUCAGUUGAGGAGGUUCCAAUAGUGCGCGAGUUUCCGGAUGUAUUUCCAGAGGAGUUGCCUGGUGAGCCUCCCGUGAGGCAAGUGGAGUUCAGUAUCGAUUUGGUUCCGGGAGCCGCGCCUAUCGCCAAGGUGCCUUAUCGCCUUGCACCUCCAGAGAUGCAAGAGUUAUCCUCGCAGCUUCAGGAGCUGUUGGGAAAGGGGUUUAUUCGGCCGAGCAACUCGCCAUGGGGAGCGCCUAUCCUUGUUGUCAAGAAGAAGGAUGGUUCACACCGGAUGUGCAUUGAUUACCGGGAGUUGAACAAGCUGACGGUCAAGAACCGUUAUCCGUUGCCAAGGAUCGAUGAUUUGUUCGACCGGUUACAGGGAGCAUCUUGGUUCUCCAAGAUUGAUUUGAGGUCUGGAUAUCAUCAGGUGAUGUUUUGAGAUAAGGACGUCCAGAAGACAACAUUUAGGACGCGUUAUGGGCAUUACGAGUUUGUGGUGAUGCCUUUCGGGCUCACCAAUGCCCCCGUAGUGUUCAUGGAUCUCAUGAACCGAGUGUGCAGGCUGAUGUUGGAUCGGUCGGUGAUUGUAUUCAUCGACGACAUUUUGGUAUAUUCGAGAUCUGGAGAGCAGCAUGAGGAGCAUUUGCGGGAGAUCCUCGGAGUUCUGAGAUCGGAGAGGCUUUAUGCCAAAUUCUCCAAGUGUGAUUUCUGGUUAUGAGAGGUCCAGUUCCUAGGAUAUCUCGUUAAUCAGAAAGGGAUAUUGGUCGACCCGGCCAAAGUCGAGGCAGUGAUGAGUUGGGAAGUGCCGAGGUCACCCUCCGAGAUCAGGAGUUUCUUAGGGUUGGCGGGUUAUUAUCGGAGAUUUAUCAGGGACUUCUCCAAGAUCGCAGUGCCACUCACCAGGUUGACCUGAAAGGGUGUCGCUUUUUCAUGGGGUCCCGAGCAGCAGGCCUCCUUUGAGACGCUUCGCCAAAGGCUAUGCGAAGCCCCAGUGUUGGCCCUCCUGGAAGGGAUGGAGGACUUUGUUGUCUUCUGUGAUGCAUCGAUUUUGGGACUGGGGGCAGUGGUGUUCGCCCUCAAAUUUUGGCGUCACUAUCUGUAUGGGGUUCGGUGUACGAUAUACACGAACCAUAAGAGUUUGAAGUAUUUGAUGGAUCAGCCCAACCUAAACAUGCGUCAGAGGAGAUGGUUGGAUGUGGUCAAGGAUUAUGAUUGUGAGAUCCUGUACCACCCAGGCAAGGCUAAUGUUGUAGCCGAUGCACUGAGCCGCAGGGCGGAGAGCACCCCACUGCGGGAUGUAUGUUUGAGGUUGACCGUGAUAGCUCCAGUGUUGGACGCCAUUCGUGGGGCACAGGCCGAGGCUGUGCAGCCUGAGAUGCAGAAGAAAGAGCGAGUUGUUGGAUUGAUUUCAGAGUUUGUUACCGAUGGUCGGGGACUUAUGACAUUCCAGGGGCGUGUCUGGGUGCCGUUUGUGGGAGGAACGCAUACCAUUUUGAUGGAAGAGGCUCAGCGGUCGAAAUUCUCGAUUCAUCCUGGAGCCACUAAGAUGUAUUUGGACCUGAGGAAAGAGUAUUGGUGGCCCUGUAUGAAGAGGGAUGUUGCGUGGUUUGUUGAGAGGUGCUUGACUUGCCGUAGGGUUAAGGCCGAGCACCAGAGACCGCAUGGUAAGUUGCAGCCGUUGGAGGUUCCCGAGUGGAAGUGGGAACAAAUCACCAUGGAUUUUAUCACCAAAUUGCUAAGGACUGCCAGGGGAGUCGAUGCAAUUUGGGUGAUUGUGAACAGGUUGACGAAGAGCGUUCACUUCCUUGCUAUCAGCGAGAGUUCUUCAGCUGAGAAAUUGGCAGAGGUAUAUGUGAAGGAAGUGGUGUCACGGCACGGAGUGCCGAUCUUGAUCGUUUCAGACCGUGAUGUGCGUUUCACUUCUAGAUUCUGGAAGAAGUUUCACGAGGAGUUGGGUACUAGACUGCAUUUUAGUACUGCAUAUUACCCCCAGACAGACGAACAGAGUGAGCGGACGAUUCAGGUGCUCAAGGAUAUGCUUCGGGCAUGUGUGUUGGAUUUCAGGGGAAGUUGGGAUACGUACUUGCCCUUGGCAGAGUUUUCCUACAACAACAACCAUCAUUCGAGCAUUGGUAUGCCGCCCUUUGAGCUGUUGUAUGGGAGGAGGUGUCGGACCCCCAUUUGCUGGGGAGAGGUUAGACAGCGUGUGAUGGGCAAUACAGAGAUCGUGAUUCAGACGGCAGAGUAGAUCCAGCAGGUCAGACAGAGGUUGUUGACCGCUCAGAGUCGCCAGAAGAGUUAUGCGGACAGACGCCGGUCAGAGCUUGAGUUUCAGGUCGGCGACUUGGUGCUCCUGAAGGUCUCUCCUUGGAAAUGAGUGAUUCGAUUCAGGAAGAGGGGCAAAUUGGGGCCCCGAUAUAUUGGUCCAUUCCGGGUAGUCGCGAGGGUAGGCAGGGUAGCCUAUCGUUUGGAUUUGCCAGCAGAGUUGGGACAGAUUCACGACACUUUCCAUGUGUCGUAAUUGCAAAAGUGCAUAGCCGAUGAGUCAGCAGUGGAUGCGAGCCUGAAUUAUGCUGAGAGACCAGUGGCAAUCAGAGAUCGGAAGGUCAAGGUUCUGAGGAACAAGGAGAUACCCUUGGUUUUGGUUCAGUGGCAACAUCGGAAGGGGUCUGAAAUGACUUGGGAACCGGAGCGUGAGAUGCGUGAGCAGCAUCCGGAGUUAUUUGUAGAGCGAGACUUCGAGGGCGAAGUCUAGUUCUAGUGGGGGAGAAUUGUAACAGUUCGGAUUCCCAGGUAUUAGUUAAUUGUGUUCUUUUUGGCUUUUGUGAGGAGACUAGGCGAGUUGGAGCCCAAACUCGCCGAGUAUGAUCGCGGAUAUGGACACGGGUUCGCGUCCGGACUCGGCGACUCCAAGAGUGGACUCGACGAGUCCACGCUGUUUAAUGAAACCCUAAUUUCCAGGGUUUGAGACCUAUUUAAGGGGGCUUAUGGCCGUCAUUUGCGGCCACCAACUCCUAGAGAGAGACCCUAAAGAGAUUUGAGCGUUUUAGGAGAGAUAAGAGGCCAUUGUUGACAUUUGAAGCUUGGUUUGGCAAGGCUAAGGAGUUUUCAGCUUAGAGGAGGCAAGUGGAGUGGACAUCCUUCGAUUUUGGAGUUCAGAACAUCAUCUUGGAGGUAUAUCUUGGUUUCCUUCUCUGUUAUUAUGUUAAACAUGGGGGUUUAGGGUUUCUUGACCCCUUUGUUGGUUAGAUUUGAUGUCCAUUUCGUCCCUAUUUGUGAUGAGGCUUGAGAUGAGACCCAUAGAGGUCCAGAAGAGCUGUAUUCCUUAAGCUUUUUGAGGGUUCAUGAGGGUAUUGACCUAGGGUUAUGAGACAUGGGGCUAAAACAUCAUUUAUGAGCAAAUAGUUGUUAUUUAAGCCCCAAGGUUUGGACUUUACGUGAUUAUCAUGCUUGGGAAGGCCAGAUCUAUGAUUGUAUGGAACGGAUCUGACCUCAGAAGUGAGUUUGAGUUGAUGCAUGGCAUGGACUCGCCGAGUCCGCAGAACAGACUCGGNUGAAGAUUGCCCAGAACCACUCAGCGAGUGGUCUUGCCGAGUUAAGGGAUUGACUCAGUGAGUCAGGGGGAGUCAGAGUGGGAUGACGGGUGGACUGACUCAAAUAGGAACUCGCCGAGUUGUUCUUAAGACUCGGCGAGUUGAGUCGCGGUGGCCCCGCAACUCAUGCCAGGUGGAACCCGUCGAGUUAGGAAAAUACUCGACGUGUCGAGAGAGGAUCCAAGGGAGUCCGUGGACACGCAUAGACUCGCCGAGUCGCUCGAGUGUACUCGCCGAGUCCGAUCAAAGAUUGACCGUUGACCAUUGACCAGAGUUGAGCUAUGUUGACGUGAUAGAGUUAGUCAACCUUAGUUGUAACGACCCGUCUCCGGUAUGAUAAUUCCUUGGUAUUUAUUUUGAAUUUUUGCAAGAGGGACUCGACGAGUUCAUAGCCUGACUCGCCGAGUAGGGUCGGGAUUUCGAGCACGUGUUAGCUGGCGACUCGGCGAGUCUGUCCGUCUGGGAGAAACCCUAAAUCCCCGGGUUGCCCACUAUUUAAGCCACCUUAUAGCCCCCAAUCUCGCCUCCUUCACCCUCUAAAGCUGUGAGAAAACCCUAAUUCGUUCUUGAGUGAUUCUAAGUGAUUUUGUGUGCUAUUGUGAAGGCUUGAAGAAGGAGAAGAAGAAAGGAGCAAGGAGAAGGAUUGCAGAGCAGGGAUUCAAGGGAAAGCAAGAGCUCUUUGAGGUAUUCUUCAGAUUUCCUUCCCUUUUAUGCUUUAAACCCCUUUCUAGAUCUUGUUGGUGCUUUUCUCAAGCCUUAUGUUGAUAUGGAAGCUCUAUUAUGCCGAGAUAUCCUUAGAUCUGUUCAUUUAGGAGUUGUAGAGCCCAGAUCUAUUGCCUUUAUGGAGCUAUUUUGCAUAUUAACCCUAGAUCUACCCCUUUUAAGCAUCUUUUAGCCUUUAUUCCCUUGUUCAUGUGUUUGUACACGUAAAGUUGGAAACUUUACGUGGUAAAUUAGCUUAUUGGACUCAGAUUUAUCAUUUGUAUGUAUUGGAUUCGAGCAGAAUCGAGUGUAGAAUAGUUGCAUGGCGGUGACUCGGCGAGUCGGAAGAACGACUCAGCGAGUCGAGUCGCGAGUCCCCGAUUUCUUCCUUUUUGAGCGGUGUCGAGUGGGACCAGUGAGUAGUGGAGUGGACUCAGCGAGUUUGAGGGUAGACUCAGUAAUGGAGGGACUCGGCGAGUUGUUCAUACAACUCGGCGAGUCCAAGGCAAUCUUCUUAAGCUCAAGAACAACUCGUCGAGUUGUUCAUAGGACUCGGCGAGUCGGAUGAAGAUUGUCUGAGUUCUUGGAUCGGGAGAGUACUCGUCGAGUCGAUGCCAUACUCGACGAGUAGCAGCGAGUUGAGUCGAGGAGUGAGAAUAGGGACUCGGCGAGUUGGCGGCCCAACUCGGCGAGUCAGGUCAACUGUGGGUUGACUUUGACCGAGAGUUGACUUUGACCGAGAGUUGACUUUGACCAAGGGUAAAAGAGUCAUUUUACCCAGUGCAGUGUUUAGUAUUUGAUUGAGUGUGUUUAUGGACUUGUAGCCGGGGAGAUACCGGAGCAGCAGCAGUUAGCCCUCAGAGCUAUUCACUCAGCAGCCAGUUCACGAGGUGAGUUUCCUUUCAGUAGGAACGGGUCUAAGGCCACAAUGUCGGCCCGUUUAGCUAGCAGUAGUAUCCGGAUUUUGAUUCGAUGCAGUAGUUAGUAUGUUUGAUGCCUUCGUGGCUCAGACAGGAUUAUGUGUGUUCAUGUUAGUGAUAUGUUUAUGCUAUGAUCAGUCUGCUUCGGACUUCGGUUUGAUGUAGGGGACAAGGUCCCAGUCAGCUUUGGACUUCGGUCCGAUGUCAGCUUCGGACUUCGGUCCGAUGUCAGCUUCGGACUUCGGUUCGAUGUAGGGGACAAGGUCCCAGUUAGUCAGCUUCGGACUUCGGUCCGAUGGAGGGGGCGAGGCCCCAGUAUGUGCUUGAUAUGUUACUGUAUGGUAUGUGGUAAUUUGGGGGAGCUCACUAAGCUUCGUGCUUACAGUUUCAGUUUUGGGUUUCAAGUACUUCCGCUAGCAGAGGGAAGAGCUCGGGAUGAUGGCAUCGCACACACCACAGCUUCAGCUUUUAUCCUGGGAGUUGAUUUAGUUUUUGAUUUUGAUAUGACAUGGAUAUGAUACAGUUUUCCGCACAGUGUUUUUAUUAUGUUUGGGAUACAUCACGUAUGGUUUUUAUGACAUGACACUCAGAUUAUGGUUUUUGGUUAUAUUAAAAAAAUGAAAUUUUUGGGUCGUAUUUUUGGGGCGUUUCAUUAGUUGUGAAAGUGUUAAUUAGAGAUAUAUUGUGUUAUAGGAGGACUAUAGCUCGGGAGAGUGAUUUCAGGGAUUUGCGAAUUACCAAGAUAUGCGAGGUGAGUCUUCUCACUAUACUUUACCUUGAGUAGGUAACUAGAGUUAUGUGAUAGAGUAUUUGUAUGCUAUGUAUGUUAUGUGUUGCACUGCAUUAUUUCUAUGUGAUUUAUAUUAUGCAUGUUAUUAGAGUUAGAACCUGAGGGUUCACAGAGUUUGGGUGCACGGACCCACAGAGUUAUAGCCUCGAGUGGCUAAUAUGUGUUAUGUAUGGUAUUUUGGGAAACUCACUAAGCUUUGUGCUUACAGUGUUUUGUGUUAUUUGUUUCAGGUACUAGUGAUGACCGUGGGAAGGCGCCGGCUUGGUCAGUACACACACGUGAUUUUUAUGCUAUGAGAUCUUGGGAUUAUUAUAUGUCAUGGAUUUGAGUUUCAAACAUUGAUGUUUUUAUAAAAAUUAAAUGAAUUAUGCUUUUAUAAAUUGCGAAAAAUUGUUUUGAAAUUUACGGUGUUACAAAUGAUAUUAAUUCCAUGUAGUAUCAUAUUUUUAUAUUAAAUUACUAUAAUUUAAUUUUCUUUUUGCUUGGAUGAUUUUGGGUUCAAUCAUAUUCUGUGGGUUUAUAUUGGCCAACAUGUGGUCCAUUGUUGGGUUGGUGAUGGAAAAGCAAGAAGGUAAUAAAAGUGUUUACAAUAUGAAGCAUUAAGCACUCAGAAUCAAUCCUGGACCGGGGACGAACCAAACCACAUACCGUUAGUAGGUCCGAUGAUGGUUCUUUAAUAUAAUGAAUUUCGGUCCUUCGGUUUUCGAUUUGAUUUCAAGGAAAAUCGGAAAACCUGCAUGUAAGAACCAAGAACAGGUUUGUAUUCUAUGAUAGAAUUAUUGAUUUCCAUACCUUAAUUAUACGUAAUAUAUAGGUUAAUUAACUUAAACUGGAGUGAUAUUUGUUUCUUUUAUAUUUGUUAUAUUACUAUUGUCUCACUUUGACAUGUAAAUUAACUUAAAGUUGAAAAUAAGAAAGAUAAUUUUAUAAAAGGCAGUAUAUAUUCGAAUUUUUAAUCCAUGACUUCUUUGACUAUUUUUGUUUAUAAUGAGCUUCUUGGAAACUCAAAAAACACUGUAGAAUUAUCCUUUGUAAAUUUCUUAAAAUCAAUAUUUUUCUUAUUUUAUCUAAUCAUGAUUUCGGUUUAAUUGUAGGUCGUUGUAUUCCACAAGUAGGACUAGCAGGCAACAUCAUUAAAAAAGAAGCAUGACAAAAGUCCAAACGUUGCUCCAGACAACUUCAAAGCAAUUGUUGUAAUCCCAAAGACUUUUACAUUUAUUUUAUCUCAGGUAGUAAAAGUCUCUUCUUUUACUAUGUUUUUAUAAUCACACUAGGGAACACUUGAAAUGGGUCAAAAUUCAUACAAAUAUAAGAGGAAAUGAGCCUUAUAGUUGGUGGUUCCAACUUUGACAUAAAAUCUUCUGUAUAGUACUCAGUAGGGAUUCAAAUGGUAAUACAAAUCAGUAUGAACUCAUGUUAUACAUGGUGACUUUGCAUGUAAUUACUUAAGCAAUAUGCUUUCAUUUCUACUCUUUUUACCAGAUGUGCAAGCAAUAUGAUUAUUUAAGGAUUAUGCAUUUACACCGUUCUACUAUGACUAAAUUGUUGUAGAUAUUAGGUAUAUGGGUCGAUAUUACUAAUUGUUAUGUGGUAUUUGGAGAGAUGUUAUAAUUUGUUUUAAGAUGUUACUUUUUUGUCUUGGAUCAGGCAUGCACAUGUUUGGUUCGUUGAUUACCGGCAUAAUCCAAUGGAAUGGGAAUGAUGGAUUCCAUUUCAUGGUUGGUUUUUGUUGCCAAAUCGAUAGAAUUCAGUUAUGUCACCGCUACGAUUUUCAUAGAGGAUGGAUUUCAACAUUUCUAAGGGUAGGUGGAAUUUCAUGCGUUUUUGGUUGCCAAAUGGAUGUAAUUAAAUUUAAGCCUACAUUUCAAUUCAAUAUUAUUUAAUUUCAUGUCGACUAAAAUACCCUCAUUAUACAUAUAUUUCAAUAUAAAAAUGUUUUACAUUUCAAGAGUAGUAAGUAAAAUGUAAUGAUUAAAGAUGGUGAAUGUGUAUUUUCUUGUGUUGUGUAGAGGAUGUAAAAGAUCGCAACGGGAAGAAAGUGAUGACUAUUAAAGAUGGUGUUGAUAUAUUUGUAGAGUUUGUGGCCAUGAGAUUUGCUUCUUUCUGUUUUUACUUUUAGGAAUCAUGAGGUACUAGAUUUCAUGACACAGUCAUCCGAUGAUAUAUUGUAUCAAAUGAACAAAUGUUCUUUCCUUGAAUAGUCUUAAUUAUGGUUAAUGACAAUUUUACCAUUUUCUUUUAUACUAAUUGUACUUUCAUUUUUUCUUUAUUAUGGCAUCAUAUGUUAUUAUACCACUUUCUUCUUUAGCUAUAUCUCUGUGAUGAAUCCCACUUAGCAUGACCCGGAAUACUUUGAAAAUUCAUUGUUAUAAACUUAUAAUUGAUGUGAAUGGUUCAUGUUGCUAUUGUUUUGAAAAAAAAUACAUCGAAUUUUACUGUUUCUUGCUAUAAAACAAAAAUAAGUUUUUUUUUUUAUUUUAUUAUUAUUAUUUUUUUAAUUUUGUAAGAUAAUCUUAAAAUAACAAUUAUACUUUGAAUAAAAUGACAUUGUUUUACCCAAUUCUAACAAUGUACUUUAAAAGUAUGAUGCUAUUAGAAGGAAAAUGGAAUUUGUUUAGCAAUUUAACUCUAAGUUGUUGAAAAUGUUGAAAUUGAUUAUUUUAACCGUAUUCUAAAUAUGCUAAAAAGUUAAAACAUGAUUGUCGAUACGUAUUUUUUCUUUUAAAUAAUGUCAUUUUCUUCCCUUUUAUUAAACAUGGUGUGCUUAUGUUAAUGUUUUAAUGUGUAUGUUACUAUGGUUGAGGUUUUUUUUUUGUGGGGUGGGGGUGAUCUUAUUGCUACUUUUGAAUUAAUAUGCAUGUUAAUGGCAACUUACUUUCUUUCUUUUUGAAUUUAGGAAGAUUAUAAUUAGUAACCUGACCAUUCAUGUAGUGAUUUUUUAGAUGGACACUAACUUCAUUUUUUCCAUUUUCAAAAUUAUUGAUGUACAUUCUAUUGUUUAGGUUAUUUUACUUUGUCAAUUGUAUACCUUCUUAACUGUUUAUGUUAUUUUUCUGGUGUCGCAAAUAAACACUAAUAUUUAGUGCUUUUGCAUCUUGAGUGAGGAUGCAAAGGAGGUUCAAUAGAUGGAUGGGGGUUAAACAAAUGAAAGAGUAAAAAACUUGUAUUAAAACAACACCGAAUAGAACCAAUAUAAAUCUUGGGUGCUCCUUACUACAAGUGAUAUGUGUUUCCCGCGUUUAACGCGGGUUAUAAUCUAGUUCUUUUAAAAACUACAUCCGAAAAUCUAGGGGAUAUAACAUUACUAUGCAUGAUUCAUUGUACUCUUUUAAGAAGCUCUACCGCAUCCAGUGCGAGGAAACCAAACGUAUCAAAUACAAAUGGUAUGAACACGUGUUGAUUUUCCAGGCACGAUCUCUCAUGUUUUGUGAUUUUGCAUGUGGCUGCUUUUAAAGCAGCAUGUCCCGCUGUGAAACCCCAGCCCUCAAGCCCACGAGAGGGGAUUUAUUUUGGUAGAUUUGAUUCCUUCGGUGAUUAUAAGAGACAAACUACUUUGAAAUAAUAUCUAUAUCAAAGAGUAAAUAUACAUAGUUUCAUUCUCUUUUUUAGAUGACAUAUUCUUAUAUAUUAUGAUAUGAACGAAUUGAUAUUCUUACAUAUUUAAACUUUUGUUUCUAGACUACGUACUAGGCUCUCUAGAUGGUAAAGCAGGAAGAGAAUAGUGGACUUCUUUUAAUCUUUCUUCACGACAAGUUGGAGAGAAAAUUUCCGGUCAUUUAGAAAUUCAAAUGAUGAGGUAUAUUUUACUCUCAACAUAUCACGAUAUUUUGUUUAAGCAUAGUUAAUUAUAUAUGUUUUGUUUAGGAUGAAAAUCCAAGUAAAAGUUAUGAAAAUGAAGAUAUAUCUGAAAUCUCCACCAAUAAGGUAUCACAUCUAAUUUUUAUAGUUAAUUAUAUAAGUUUUGCAUUUUUAUAUCAGAAGAAUUUUGUAUAUACCCCUUUAUAAUUAUUUAUUGGAAUUUGUAUUGGUAUAACUUUAACAAUAUGUAAAAUACUCAUAAAAAAAUUUGGAAUACCCAUAACACCCCUACUUUUAUUUUUUUUCUUCCAAUUCAUUGAGAAAACUUUAACCAACAUGUAUAAACGAAGUCUUUGUUGAACGCCCACCAUGAUUUUAAAAAUUUACAAACGUAAUCUAAACCUUCUCAUAAAAAUUUCCCACUCAUCUUUAUUUUAUUAUAUAAAAUGUGUAAUUGAUUUCAUAUGAAACGGGGAUUUGAUUUCCCACUCAUCAAUAGCUAAUAAUAAAAAUUUUAAUUUAAUUUAUCUUAAAAUGAAAAAAUAAAAUAAACAAAAUUAUUAUAUCCAUUAUACUUUUUUUUUUUUACUAAUUUAUUAAAAGCAAACAUAAUCAUUAUAGCUUUUGUUUUUGUUCGAAUGAAAUGACAUUUUUUUUUAAAUUUAAGAACGGUGGGUUUUUUUUAAGAACACUUAUAAAGUUCAAAAAAAAGUGGCCUUCCCAGUUCCUUCUCCACAAUACUACUUUUUCAAUCACCAGCGUUGGCAUUAUCAAACAACCAAUCUUCUUGAUAGGGUUAGUCACCUCUUCCAAAUUUCACAUAAACUUUACACAACAAAGAUCUGAAAUAGGAGAUCCUUCAAGCCUUAACCUUCAAUGGCCUCUUCUUCGAUUGCAUCCAUUCAGAAAAGCUUUACAUAUGAUGUAUUUUUGAGUUUUAGAGGUGAAGACACACGCACCAAUUUCAUCGAUCAUCUUUAUAAUGCUCUUCAGCAGCAAGGCAUUUAUACUUACAAGGAUGAUGAGGCAAUUAGAAAAGGGAAAAGGAUCAAUGAUGAGCUCAUCAGUUCCAUUAAAGACUCAAAAUUCUAUAUCAUUGUUUUCUCCAAGAACUAUGCAUCUUCAGCUUGGUGCUUGGAUGAGCUUGUGAUGAUAAUGGAGUGUCACAAGACGAGUGAGCAUACUGCAUACCCCAUCUUCUAUGAUGUGGAACCGACAGAGGUCCGGAAACAAAGCGGGGCAGUGGGAAAAGCUUUUGCUAAACAUGAAAAUGAUGAAGCUGCUGGGAAAUGGAAAGAGGUUCUAAAAGAAGCGGCAGAUCUGGCUGGAUGGGAGUUGAAGAACACUGCAAAUGGGUAAUCCUUCCUUCAUCGAUCAUCAUAUCUUUGUAUAAUUAAUCUUUAAUUUUGAUCACAAGAUCCAAUUUUGGUCGAUAUAGUUUGGACCCGGUUGUUAUACCUGACCCGAUUUUGACCUGCCGGGACCCCUUUUUUCUUAUCAAUUUUAACCAAACUUACGACUUACGAAUAAUUCCUAAUAAUGUCCAUUGCAACUCAGUUUCCAAUUUCAAUUUUCUAAUAAUUUCUCAAAAGAGGUCUCUGUUUUUUUUCUUCCAUAAUUCAACACUAAGGAAAAAAGAAGUUAUUUGAGCAUAUCUAUUAGUUUAAUUUCCAGUCUGCACGGUUAUCACUAUUCUAUUAUCAUAUCUCUGCAAUAUUCCUUGAUUUUGUUUGUUAGUCAUCCAAGACAUCUCAUGUUGUAUGGUUAUGUUAUUAUUUCAUGUAUAUUUUAUUAUAGUUCACGUGGGAUUUUGAGCAAACUAACUGAAUCUUCUUUAAUAUAUAGGCAUGAAGCCAAACUUAUCCAAAAAAUUAUUGAAGAAAUUUCACUACAGUUACGUUCCAUUGAUUUCAAUGCUGAUGAAAAACUAAUAGGCAUGGAGACCAGGGUAAAGGAUGCUGUAUCAUCUUUAGAAAUUGGUACUGAUGAUGUUCGUGUAAUCGGUAUCAAGGGGAUGGGAGGUGCUGGGAAGACAACUUUGGCCAGAGCGGUUUUUGAUCAAAUAUCCUUUCGGUUUGAAGCUAAAAGCUUUGUUGAGAAUGUUAGGGAAAAUUCAAAUACUUCUUUGUCUGGUUUGAAAUCGUUGCAAAAUCAAGUCCUUAAAGAUGCCUUAUUUGAUCAAGGCAUCAAUGUGAGUAGUGUUCAUGAUGGGAAAAUCAUGAUGAAGAAGAAGAUGCGUAAUAAAAAGACUCUUCUUGUUCUAGAUGAUGUGGACCAUAUAGACCAGCUUGAGGCGUUAGCUGGUGAUCUUAAUUGGUUCAAGUCGGGAAGUAGAAUUAUCAUUACAACAAGAGAUGAGCAGGUGCUCGUGGCACACCGGGUGAAGUUGAUUCUUGAUGUCAAUCUGUUAUCAAAUAAGGAAGCGAUUGGGCUCUUCAGUAGGUAUGCAUUUGGGGGAGAUAUUCCAAUUCAAGGGUAUGAAGAGCUAUCGGAACAAGUUGUACGGUAUGCUGCUGGUCUUCCCUUAACGAUAAAAGUUUUGGGUUCAUUUCUUUGUGGUAAAAAUAAGAGUGAAUGGAUAGAUGCACUAGAAAGAUUGAAAACAAUUCCGUUAAAGGAAACUCUUCAGAAAUUGGAAUUAAGCUACAUCAAUCUAGAGGAAGAUUACAAAGAAAUAUUCCUCAAUGUUGCAUGCUUACUGAAAGGGUGGUGGAAAAGGUUGGCAAUCGAAGCGCUUGAAAGUUGUGGAUUUCAUGCCACAAAUGGUUUAAAAGUUCUUGAGCAAAAAUCUCUUAUAACUAUUACUAGAAAACCUUUUGAGUUUGUGCACAUGCAUGACCAUAUUGAAGAAAUGGGCAGAAAUAUUGUUCGUCGUUUGCACCCAGAUAAGCCUGAGAAACACAGCCGAUUGUGGAUUGAUGAUGAAAUUAAAGAUAUAUUGGCUAAUGACUUGGUAAGGUCAAGUUUAUUUGUAAUUUAUAUGAAACUAGCCUAUUAUGCAUUUCUUAUGACACAAGUUUCAUGGUGACUGCUUUUGCAUUACAGGGUACUAAAGCAACAAGAUACAUACAAUUCCAGUUAAUGGGAGGCAAUUUUGAAAUGGUUAUGAAGGGUCUUAGAAAGAUGAAGGAACUUAGAUUUCUUCACAUAUUUGAGAAUAAUUUUGCGGAAGAAAGGAAAUAUGAUAAUGUCAGCCAAUACUUUCCAAAUGCUUUACAAUAUCUGCAGUGGUCCUGGUACCCUUUCUGGUCUUUACCCAACACAUUUCAAGCUAAUGAUCUUGUUACACUUAAGAUGGAAUGGAGCAAUAUCAAACAACUUUGGGAAGGGGGAGAAAGAAAGGUAGAAUUAUGGUUAAUUGAUUGUUUUACAUGAUGCCAUACAUCCAUUGCUUUGUAAUUAAACCAAUAUUGAUCUUGUUCAUUUGUUUAUGUUAGGUUCUUAACAAGCUCAAGAUUCUUGACCUCAGUUAUUCAAAGUUGACGACCCUUGAUCUUGGGUCUAGUCCAAAUCUCGAGGCGUUGUCUCUAAGAGGAUGCCGUCACUUGGUACAACUUCACAUGCUCAAUGGAUAUCCAAAUCUCAAGUCCAUCAACCUCAGUGAGUCAAAGUUGAAGACAAUCGACCUUCGCCCAGCUGUGAACCUCGAGCUCUUACAUCUUAAAGACUGCAAUGCUUUGGUAGAACUUCACAUGCCUGGUAAAUGUCUGAAUCUCAGAUCCUUGACACUCACUAAUUCACAGUUGAGGACCCUAGACAUUGGGUGGACUCCGAAUCUAGAGGAUUUAGAUCUUAACAGCUGUUAUGAUUUGGAAGACCUUCACAUGGCCGAUAAAUGUCAAAAGCUCACAUCCCUCAACAUUAGUCAUUCAAAGUUGAAAACCCUUGACCUUGGGUUGACUCCAAAUCUGAAGAAGUUAUAUCUAAAAGAAUGUAAGAAUUUGGUACAACUUCAUGUUCCCAUUGGAUGUCUAGAAAAUCUUGUCUACUUGAACUUAAGAGGCUGUUUGGGGUUUACAUAUUUUAUGUUUGACAAAAGGAAUGUUGCUUCUAGUAGAAAGGAUGAAUCACUUGAGAUUGAUCCUUCAGCUGAGUCACAUCUGAUUGCCAAGUCCCUUGAAAGAUGUCCACUUCACCCGGACAAUACUUUGCAGCAGUUUCAGUUUGAAUGCUUUUACAUUGAUGAUCCCAAGGACCGUGUGACUAGAAAUCUUAAGCAGCUUAUUUAUGAAGGUCUGUGUGCCUGCACUAACCUUGAGACACUUUCAGAAAGCAUUUUUGGGUUACGAUGUUUAAGAAAGCUUAAACUUAAACUCGAAGCCUAUCCGGAGGCUCCCAAGGAACUUGACCACGAAGAAUGUCUAGAAGAGCUAAGUUUUUCUAUGACAAAUAUGAAACAUCUUCCGGAUAGCAUUUGUAUGUUGAAACAUCUGGAAGUUCUUCAACUUAAACAUUGUUGGAGUCUUGAGAAGUUACCUGAGGAUAUUGGCCAAUUAGAAUGUUUAAAAAAUCUGACUUUAUCAGAUACAAAGAUUAAACAUCUUCCUGAUAGCAUUUGUAUGUUGAAACAUCUGGAAGUUCUUCAACUUAAACAUUGUUGGAGUCUUGAGAAGUUACCUGAGGAUAUUGGCCAAUUAGAAUGUUUAACAAAUCUGACUUUAUCAGAUACAAAGAUUAAACAUCUUCCUGAUAGCAUUUGUAUGUUGAAACAUCUGGUAUUUCUUGAGCUUCGUGAUUGUUCCUUUCUUGAGAAGUUGCCCGAGGAUCUUGGCCAACUAGAAUGUUUAGAGACGCUAUAUUUGUUGCAUGCAAAGAUUGAACAUCUUCCAGAUAGCAUCUGUAUGUUGAAAAAUCUGAGAACACUCGCUCUUCAUUGUUCUUCACUUAAGACAUUACCAAAGGAUCUUGGCCAACUAGAAUGUUUAGAGACGCUAUAUCUGUCAUCCUCAUUGAUCAAGCAUCUUCCGGAUUCUAUUUGUAUGUUGAAAGAUUUGAAACAGCUCAAUCUGAUUCAUUGUUCAUUACUUGAGAAAUUACCAGAGGAUCUUGACCGAUUAGAAUGUUUACAGAGACUAUCCCUAAGGAUGUGCAAGCUUUUACGAGAUUUUCCAAUCAGCAUCUGUAAGAUAAAACGUUUAGAAAGUUUAGGGGUAGAAGGUACAUGCAUAAGUCAUCUUCCACAGGACAUUUGUUUUAUGAAAGGUCUGCGUAUUUCAGGGUCGAGAGGCCUUCUUGAAUCCUGUGGUUUUACAUCCGAGAUACAAACCGUCUCGUACGAAGAUACCUUCUUUGUAGAUGUGUGAAUAACAGUCUAUUAUGUCUCUAUUUAUGAUGGAGUCUACCCUACAUCCAUAAGGGCUCUUCUAGAGAGAAAAUCAGGACUAUAUAUGGAGUAUAUAUAGCUCUUUUGGAGGGUAUAUGAUUUUGUGAUGCUCCAAAGGCCUAGGAAUUCACAAAGAACCAUUCUGAUAGGUACUUUUUUUUGCUUUCUAUUUGAUCAUCUUAUUUUGAUUUGAAUUUUAAAAUCAGUGACAAUAAUUAAUUCUCUUAGCAAAAUUCAGUAAUUAUACUUUAAAAAAAUACUAGUACUUGCAUAAAAGAAAAAUCCCUGUUAUAGUUUUAGCUUGGUUUUAUAGAGUGGCUUAUUCACCGUUUGUGUUAAAUUUAGAGUCUUACUGAGUUAAAACCAUCAAUGUCUUCACAGAUCCAAAUACAAUGUCAGAAUUUAUCAAGAACUUAAUCAAAAAAAUCCGAGCAACAGAUGUGGAUUUCAUGCAAAUUGUACUUAACAAGCAAAACUUGUAUUCCCUUCUAUUUCCCAUUUUUUUGCAUCAUUAUUGUAUUUGUGUUGCUAUUGAUCCUAACAUUUAAAUCAUUUCUUGCAAUUUGGAAUUUGAUGUCCAGAAAGCAAUUGGAACACAUGCGAAGACUUUGUGAAGCUAUUGGGUAGAGAAGGAAACAUCACAGGGUUUUGAGUGGGAAUUGAAUAAGUCAAAUUACAACGACUUCUGUAGAAAGUUUUGAUGAAAUUGGUGGGAACUUUGAUAUGAAUUUUUAAAUGGUCAUGUUAAUAAUAUGUGAAGGAACAGUUUUUGGAUAAUUUAAAGGGUAAAUAGCAUAAAACACAUUAAGUUUACUCCAAAAGUCUAAUUUGACAGUGUGCUUUUUUUUUUAAUCAAAUUUAACACUCGGUUAUCCAAUUUUUUUUUACAUUUCUGACAAUUUGACUGAUCAAUCAGGUUACCCGUUGAUGUGAUAUGACGACGUGUCAAUCAAGUUGUUGAUGUGACAUGAUAACAUAUCAGUUUUAAUGACGUGGCAUGUUAACAUGACAUGCGAACGGGUUAAAAUUGAAAUUUUUUCCCACAAAAGACACUAAGUUUUCACUUUUUUCUGAUUUUGACAUUAAGUUUAUUUAUUUAUUUAUUUUUGCAAUUUUGACAUUCUAUUUUUUUUAUUCCAAAUUGAACAUCAUUUUUUCCAAUUUUGUUCAAUGUUAAUAAUUUUUCAUUUGAAACCGCAUAAAUAUAUUUUUUAUUACAUUUUUAAUCAUAUAAAUACAUUUUUUCGUUUAAAAACCACAUUUUAUAUAAAUACAAAGUCUUUUUUUUUACUUUCAAAAGAUAAUGUUAUGCAUAAAUAUGCAUCAGUUAUAUUAUGAGAAUCACACUAAUCAUAAGUUUUGAAUAAGAUGUAAAAAUUUCACAGGUUACUAACCUGUGAAAUAUGCAUCAGUUAUAUUAUGAGAAUCACACUAACCAUAAGUUUUGAAUAAGAUGUAAAAAUUUCACAGAUUAACCUGACCUCUUACUUUGAUCGACUACACGCGUCAAAAUCUCCAAACUCGUUUUAAAGUUGUGUAUUUAAUAUAAAAUACGGUUUUUAUAUAACUAAUACAUAUUUAUACAUAAAGUUAUGGUUUGAAUGUAAAAAAAAACCCUUGUAUUUAUACAAAAAUAUGGGUUUUAAAUGAAAAAAAAGUAUCUAUACGGUUUAAAAUGUAUUAAAAAAAUAUUUAUAGGGUUUUAAAUGGAAAAUGGUGAACAUUGAACUAAAUUGGAGAAAAAUAAUGUUCGAUUUGGACAAAAAAUAGAGUGUCAAAAUUGAAAGAAAAAAUUCAACUUAGUGUAAAAAAAAAGGUAAAAACUUAGUGUCUCAUGUGAAAAAAAAUUCAAUUUUGACACGUCAUCAAAACUGACACAUCAUAAUGUUACAUCGGUAACUUGAUUGACUGGUCAACUGGUCACAAUUGUAAAAAAAAUGAAAAUACAGUGUUAAAUUUGAGAUAAAAACAACACAUAGUCAAAUGAGAAUUUUCGUGUAAACUUAAUGUCUUUUGUGCUAUUUACCCUAACUUAAAAUCAUAAACAAGUUUUUGUUUACAAAAAUUUGUUGGGAAUUGGUAUGAACAAAAGAUGUUUGACUUUUGAGUCUGACUAUAACUUUCAUCAUUUACUGAUUUUAUUCAUGAAAUUGUAUGGAACAAUAUAUGUGAGUGUUUACUGGUGUUAUACUAAGCUACUGAAUAUGCUUAAAUAAUAAGAUUAUUUGAAAAUUACAAAUUUCAGCAAAAUGUCUAAAGCUGGAAUAUGGGUUUUAAACUUGAAAUAACCAUCAGUCAUGUAACUCUCGGUAAUUAUCCAAGGCCUCUUGAGAGCAUUUUGAUGUUUUGGAUCCAUUCUCCAUGGAAGUAAUGGUCAAAGCAAGGUGGUGGUACAAAUGAGAUGUUGAGAGAAAAACUUUGAGACACACUUGAACAAAAGUUAGAACAAGUAUAAUGCGGAAUAGUUAAUCUCGAAGGAUCUAAGAGCUCAACAAUAAUAUUUAAGUUAGAUGGCUAGAGAGUUAGUUGCGGAAAAUAAAGAAAUAAAAAUGACAACAAUUGUUAUAUCAAUUAUACACAUAAGUUGAUUCAUAACGAGGAAUGCAUUCAAACCAAGUUAAUAAGGGUGAUCAAACUUAGUGAUUAAGUCACAAAGACUUGCUCCGAAGAGAGAUUGUAAUCAGCUAUGAAAGAGUAAGUAGUAUGAGCGAGUAAGAAAGAGAUAAAAAAAGAUAAAUCCAGAGAAGUGUAUUAGAAAGUGGUAGAUGCGUAUCUGUUACAACGAGAAUGAGCUCUAUUUAUAGAGACUCAAAAGUUACAUCAGAUUUACUCUCUAAGAGUAGCCAUGCAAGGCAUAUUGGACAAUAGAGAGAAUUGAAAUAAGACAAAAUAGACUGAAUAAUAAAGAGAGAUUGUGGUUUGGUCUGGCUUCGACUGCGGUGGCUUGUAAGAGAGACUUAACUGCGGGUGCGGUGCUGACUGCGGUAGCAAAAAGUUCAAGAUGGUCACUUUUAUGAUUCAACAAUUUCCCCCUAAGUGACCUCUUUAAGUUCAUAUCAUUUAUCAAGAUGAAGAUACUUGAUCAAAAUCCACCAAAACUUCCUGACGUUCUCCAACCAGGUGAUUCUUCUCAAAAUUUCAACUUGACCUCUGCGGUAGUGAAUUUGGAUUUUUCUACUGCGAUUCGGCAGAUGUCAAGCUGCUUCCUGGUGAGCCGAUGCAUGGCAUUUAUAGGAAUAAAAUAUUUGACAUUGUUGGUCUUCCUUUUGAAAAUGAUGCCAAGAUCAGGGAUGUUGGUUGCACCUAAAGAUCUGUCUUCAAAGCCUUCGGUGGGCAUUGGUGCGGGGUCGAGCGGUGGUAGAUCAAUCUUCAUGGAAAUGAUGGGAUGGAUGUCCGCAUCAAUCUUGACAAAAUCAUAGACAAUUUCUUUCAAGAAGUUGUUGGCCCUAUCAAGUGUAAUCUUCAUCUUCGGGUGUUUCUCUGCCUUAUUCUGAAACACCUUAGCGAUGAGAAAAACUUCUUCCGGAUUCAUGUAGGGGAAGUCCGCUUGGGAGCGAACAUAGUCAUGUCCCCUUCGGGUGAGGGUAUACCGGAAGAACUCUGCCUUCAUGAACUUUCGAACCUUGUAGUUUAUGACUGCAGAUGGUCUGUCAUUGGACCAUAUGUGCUCUAUGGGAGAGGCAUGCUUAACAUAUAAUUAACUAAGUCUCUCAAAUUCCAUAGGCAGUCUUUUAGCACCGGGAAGGCUUCGGUCGAACUGCUCAAAUACAGUGAAGUAUUUGGCAUUGGGAGAGAUUGGGACAUCCCAAUAUCUAUCUGGAGGAGGUUCUGCAUAGGUGAGGUGGAUAGUGUAAUCGUCAUCCUGCAACAUUCGGUGGGGAUUGACCCAAGAGUUGAUCAGGGAUUCGUCCAUGACAGUGUCGAAGCCACAUAGUCUCCAGACUUCUUCUGCAAGUUUGGCUGCCUUCCAGUCUCUUUUCCUUUGGGAGGUGGUAUGGGAGUCGGUUGAGCUUGGAGAUGACAUAUACUCCGCAAGGUUUUUAAAAUGUGGGGGAGUCUUUGGUUUUUCCGGGGUGAUUUCAAUGUGUGGUGGGGAGUUGUGAGGUGGAGUGUGAUAGGAUGGUUGCGGUGAAGGCUGUGGUGUGGGAAUUUUUCCAGUAGGAAUAGGGGGAGUUUGAUGUUGCGGUGUAGGUUACGGUGUAGGGAUUUUUUAUGUGGAAAAAGGGGGAGUUUGAUGUUGUGAGAUUGAUUGGUCAGAGUGGACUUCUUUUUCACUUCCCCCUCUUGAGGAGUCCAGACCUGGAGACUCCUCAAGCCAUUUGCGAAGUCCAUCAACUUUGGCACAUACUUCUUGGAAUUUGUCAUUGACAGCUUCGGCCAGUUGUUGAUUGUUGGGGAUAGAGGGAUUGAAGAGAAGCUUGUGAAUGUCCUUAAUGAGAUGAAGAAUCUCAGGACCAUGGAAGUUUGAAGUUAAAGAACGUUGCAGCCGGUUGAUAGUAGAGUGAAGAACAAAGAUUGCAGACUCAUAAGCUGUGUGAGUCUCAAUAAUCAGUUUUGUAGAAUUGGAGACUUGAUCUGUAAUGGUUGCCUGAAGAUUUGUCUUGACUGCGGUUACCUCAGUGAUGAGGCGUUUAGCAGUAGCCAGAAAUUCCUUGUGGCCAGCUUGGCGAUUAUUGUCAAGGGACCUGAUCCCCAUUUCAACUUUCAAAGAGAUGCGCUCCGCAGCCAUUCUCUCAUGCGCUUCCAGUCGCUCAAUCCUUUCAAUCAACGACUGCGGUCCAGGAAUAUCAUCGGGUUACGGUUGAGUUGGCUUGAACGCAGCCAGGAUUUGAUUGACCUUGGCUUGGAGAUUUAAGAAUUCUUUCCUGGUCACAACAUUCUUCUUCUUCUUUUUGGGUUUAGAGGUGGAGUGAUGAGAACCACUGGAUUCUUCACCUUCAUCAAACAUCAUUAGGUCGUCAUCAGAAGGAGAGGGUUUGUUUACCUCUUGAAGGUCAUCAUCAUCAAGACCGAAGGUGGGAGCAGAGUUGAGUUCGAUUUCGGGUCCUUCGUCUUGUGAUCCUUCAAAAACCGGAGUAUGAGGAACUUUGGAUGUUUGUUGGGCAACAACUUUUUCUUGAUGCUUUUGUAGAGUUUCAGCCAUCUGAGUCAUCCGGUCUUGAACUUUAAGGAUGGUGGCUACGGUAUUGGCAUUGCUAGUAGCAUUUGCCCAAUACUUGGCCACGGCUUGUAUUUCUUGUUCUUUUUGUUGCUGCUGCUUGACUUGUUGAUCUUUACGGGCUUGGAAAGCCCUUCGGAAAGCAGCAUACUUUUUGGCUUCAGCUUCGGUAGAUGGUUGAAACUUUCUCCAAGAAUCACUUGAAUCAUCACCGUCAAUUCCUUGAGUUCACACCUGUCACACCCCCGAACCAGACGGCGGAAACGUCCGGGGGCUAAUGUGACUCAAUUGAAUACCAUAACAUUGAAUAUAUAUGAAACGUAACAACAUUCGUCACCAUGCAUUAAUAUAAUACAACCAAUAAAGUUUACAUGAAGUACAUUGUCUCGAACAUUACAUUCCCAAAAAUAAAUUGUUCGGUUCGUUAACAAGUAAACUACAAGCCAUCACUGAGUACAUUUUCCUUUGGUUCAUUGGUUACCUGAGAAUACAAGUAUUUUGAAAAACGUCAACAUGUGAAAUGUUGGUGAGUUCAUAAGCGGUAUUUGAUAAACAAUGUUUCGUGUCGUUUGAAAACCACCAGAAAAUCCGAUAUUUUCUGAAAAGAAAAGCUUUUGAAAACGUUUGUGAAGAUCUAUAGGUAUGCUUGUUUGUUUCUAUACUUGUAAAAAAAAUUGUUCAUUAAACUUGUAUACAUUUCGAAUCCGUAUGUAUUGAAAAACCCUAGGAAAACCCGAUGUUUUCCUAAUUCUUUGAAUUCCAUGAAUUUACAUUGAGACCAUUGCAAUACGUGAAGUAUCAAUCCCAGGCGACGUUGGAUUAUUUUUGAGCAUGAUUAAUCGCUACAAACACGCAUUACACAAACGACCAGUUUAUAGCUAUACUAACGAUCCCGUAGGCGUCGUCCGUACUAAUCACGUUAUCCAACCGCCCUGACUACGUGUAGUCCCACAUCCGAAGAGAAAGAGGACACGAAGACCCCGAUGACUCCAUUAACCGGUUGGGGAUAAAAAAAGGUACGAGGGGUCCCUGACCCGCCUCGCAUGAAAUGUCGACUUUACUAGCAAUACCAAAGGACCCUUGGGGACCAAUAGUAUACAAGCAUUGAAAGUCCUUUUACGCUGUGUUAGAUCGGGUAAGACCCAACACCUCGUAAGGUAGAAGUCUUCGGGCCUUAAGAUCAGGUCAUUGGGCUAGCUAGGCCCAACAAACAAGAUUUUACACUUUUGGGGCCCAAAGAUGGUGCGUAGACGUCUGUGCACACUCGCAUGUAUAUUGAAUUCCCAAACGUUACUUGUAUGAAUCGUAGUGUCGUAGUGUCAUAGUGUCGUCGUGUCGGUAGUUUCGGAUUUUUAUUGGUUCGAGACCGAACCAAUUCGUUUAACAACGACUUUUGGUAUUGUUGUGUAUUGUAUUUCGUCGAUAGUCGCGGUGCCAUUAUUUGAUCAAAUUGCGUGUAUUGAAUUAGCCUUGGAAGUUUUCUGUUUUCAGCCCCUCAUUGUUUGUAAAAUUUACUUUUUCAACCCUUUAAUUAAAUAACUUUCCGGUUUGGUCCUUAAAUCAUUUUUCUUGACAUUUUAACACCAAAAAUUAUUGAAAUUAAUAUUUUUCAGCAUAUUUUUCAUUGAAAACAGUUUAAGUCCCUGAAAAUGCAGUUUUCUCGGUUAUAACCCCUCUUUUUCGCAAUUUUGACAAUUUUGGCCCAAAUUGGAAAAUUUUUGCAACUUUGGUCCUUUUUAAAUUUAAAAAGCAUUUUAAACCUUUGAAAAGGACUUGGAACACUAAUAGUCCACUGUUUUACAGAAAAACACAGUUUUGGCCCUCCAAAACAGAAAAUUUCGCAUAAUGGGCCUUAUUGGGCCGAAAAUGUCAUUUUUAGCCCAUUAAGCUUGAAAUUUAUGUUUUUAAUCCUCCAACAAGCAUUUUUUCAGAAAAUACAUUAUGGAGACUGUUUUGGCACACCUCCCCCAUCAGAUUUCGAAAUAUUUCAAUUUGGGCCCUUUAACUUUAUAUUUUUAGCAUUUUAUGUCCAAAAAUUUAGUUUUUAGCCCAAAGAAAAUGUUACUAAGCCAUUUAGCUAUUUUUCUUGGAACACUUUGUAUGUAGGAAUAUACUUGAUGCUAGUAUCAUUUAACAUAAGGUAUAUCUCGGUUUUGAGGGGUUUUAUGGCUAGAUCCAACAUUAUAACACACAAAAGCAUACAUAUAAGCAUGGAAAUCAUACAAGGCAUACAAAACACAUAUAGAUCUACACUUUCACUUGUAUUCCCCCCCCACAAAACUAAUAAAAACGGAAAAUAGGGGGUAUGAAGCUCACCUUGGGUGUUGAUUCGGUUUUUGAAGAAAGGAUGGAAGAAAUGAAGUGAUUUUUGGCCUUAGCACCCCUUGAUGAAGUUUUCGAGUUUAUGGAGUUUUCUAGGGUGCAAGAUCACGAUUUUUGCAUGGAUUAGGAAGAGGUUUUUGAUAAAACAAAGAAUAUAAGUCAUAGAUCCAAGCAAAACCUUACCUUAGAUGAUGAUUUUUGUGGAAGAACUCCCUUGAAUUCCUCUUAGAUCUUCGAAAAUUUGGAAAGAAAUGGAGAGAGCUCCUUGAGAGAAAAGAUGAGUGAAAUGUUUAUGUGUGUGUUUGGGAUUCGGCCGAGAGGGGGAAAGAGGAAAGAAGAAGUGAUCUUUGAAGUGAUACUUGCAUGGAGGUAUGUGAUAUGUUGCAUGGAAAUCCAAAAGACAAUAAUGAGGUGGCAACCCAAAGUCAACUCCUCACCACUUCUUCUUGGACUUGGGCCUUGGGCUGAGAAUCUUGAAGGAAAAGGAAAAUUUGGGCUUUUUGCCCCUAAGCCCAAUAUUAGAGUUAGUUUGGGUGAGUUUUAACAUAAAAGAAUAUAAUAUGAUUUUUACAUAUUUGUUGGACUAGUUUAGGUUAUUCAUGGAUCAUAGCUUUUAAUUCAUUUCAUUCUAGGCCCAAUAUGGCCCAAAAUGUUGAAAUAAAUUAAUGUGGGUCCAAAUAGAGCCCAAUUAGGGUUCUAUGCCCAUGAUAGUCAAAUUGGAAGCUUAUUGGUCCAUUUGGGUCCAAUAAGGAAGUCCUAGUCCAAAGUGGAUCUAAACAAGAACUUCUAGGGUUUCUAAUUGUUUGAUGACCAUUUGUAGCACUUGUAGGAUGUAUUUGAUUGAAGUUUUUGAUGUGAUAAUAGUAGGUAUCACACAUGCUCUUAAGUUUUGAUUCACAUUAACUUGAGUGUAUAGAUUACAUGACACAAAAUUUCUAGUUGUGACAACACCAAGGUGUCCCUUGGGUUCACGGAUCCUUGUACAAUUGUGCUCACUGUUCCUAAACCACUUGUUACUAAUGUAAGCAGAGUAGGAUUUCCUGAGCCUCCUUGGUCUCCUUGACCCGUGGUCAAGUAUGGCCUUGGCUCAGUUCUGGCAUGGGCAGAAGAAGUUCCCUGCAGUUGGGAAGGUGUUUGUAGUGUUUGGGUGACGCUCAACAGGAUAAAGUUCAACUCCUCAGGAGAAAAAAUAUGUAGUCGGGAGGCCCUAGAGACUUUAGGGUGAGAACCAGUAUCAUCCUCUUGGGAUAACAAUGGGGGGAGUCUCCUCUUUGUUGUGAAUCAAACUCACUUUCUGAGUCUGAAAGGAAAAGGAUGGUAGUAUCAAAUGGAUGCGCAGGCAUUCCAAGGACUACCAGAGCCUGUUGAGAGGCUGAGGUAUCGGUCCGGGCAUGCAUUUAGCUAGAAGGAUCAGGUUUUCAUUUCUUGAGGAUUGAUAUGGGUUGGUUAUCCUCUUCAGAGGGACUGCUGGAGUCAUGAUGACUUGGUUCCUCAGUAAUGAUUACAGGUGGGGUCUUCAUUUUCUUGGAGGGUUUGGGUGCAUCCUUUUUGGAAGUUUCUGAUUUAUUUGUGUUUCGGGGACCAUGGAGAGAGGAAACUUUGUGCUUUCGUCUUUGAGAGACAUUAGAAAGAGUGGUAGAAGAAGGGAUUGUGGUACCUUCAGGGUUUAGAGCAUCGGAUGGAAGAGGCGGGGUAGGAAGGUAUGGGCCAAUACCCUCUGUAGCCUCAAUGUGGUCUGAGACAUCAGCAGUCUCAAGACCGAGGGUAGAAAGAAUAUGAGUGGGAAGUCUACGGAUUGGGCCAAAAAUAGUUUGAUCAAAAGAAGGAGUGUACCUUUUGAGAUCCUUUGUGACAAAGAAUUUGAUGUCACUCCCUAUGUCUAUUCCAGCAUCCGCAUGUAGGUCUGAUAUGUAAAGAGACCGGAAUCUAGCAAAAGUAAGUUCAGUUGGGUUCUGCUUCGGACUUUCUUUGGGAAUAUAUUGUAGAAAAUCAUCCCAAAGAAUUUUUCCGUAGUUUACAUCUCGGCCGGUGAAGAUGCUCCAUAAUAAUUCCAAAAGCUUGAGACCUAUGUUAUCCGUUCCUCCGGUUCUGCCGGAUAGCCUGCGGAUAAUGAAAUGGCAUACAAAUUGUCAGACCGCAAGCAAUUAGUUCUUUUUGAAUUCGCCAAUACCUUUGAUCCUUUUCUGGUAACCCAUCUGAUAUAGAGCUGUAGUGAUGUCCGCCAUGGAAGGAGAGAAAAACUUAAUAGAGGGAUGGACAAGCAGGUUAAUGGCGUUGAGAAAUUUUUCUUUGGUCAAGAUAACCAAGGAAUCAUUGAUCAGGUUCAGAUGAACCUCUUGAGGGUUAUCGAUUGGGCAAUAUGCGGAGAAGGCACAUUUGUAUAGGGUUGAGAGUGGAAUAACAUCUGUGAAUGCAUCAAAGGGACCAAACAAAAGGUGAUUUUUCAGAUAUUUGAUGAUGAGUUUUGUGGGAGCAUUGUAAGAAGGGUGUUCUUCGAAUAUGGAUCUGAAGUUACUCGAUGCGAUUGUGGGAGAAUCUGAACCAGUUGGGUUUACUGAUCCAGAAGCUUUUGAGUGUUUCUUUGAAACACCUGAUUUCACCAUUGUAGAAAUUUUGAGAAAGCAAGAAGGAUACAGGAAUUUGUGAAUGCACUGAGAUCUUUGAAGGUUCAAGGUUCAGAAAGCGUAAAGUGGUAAUGGGGAAGAAGAAGAGUUUAUAUAGGAGAGGUGAUGAACGGUAACUGGAUUUUACCCUAGGUAAAACGGGGAUAAGAGCAAAAGGUUGUUUGGAGGGAAUCUUUGAAAUUGGGAUUAAAUCUCAGCCACACAUGAUGAAACGAUUUUAAAAAGAUUUGGGAGAUUUUCCAAAUGGGGUGUGCAUUUAAUGAAGAGUCAGACGUGCGUUAUCACGUCUGGAUAUCAUGUGGAUAGGGAGAAGAAGUUGGAACGGAUGGGACAUGCUGGGUAUAAGGAAAGGACAGAUUAAGGUUGUGUUUGUGGAAAACGAUCUUUUUGUCAUCAUACCUAAAAUAGAUCCGACACAUUGUUUUAGAAAAGGAGAAUGUGACAGUUUCUUCAAAGAAUGUUUUUAUUUAAUGUUUUAUUUAAUGAAUUAUCAUUAAAUAGCAUACUAUUUUUGUUUUUUAAAAUUUUAAAAGGUUGUUUUUGUUGUUUUUUUUAAAGGUUUGAAAAAGAAUCUUUUUUUGUUUUUUUUUUAAUCUGAAAAAAAAAUGAGACUGCGGAUGGACACAUCAUUGUGGAUGGAUCCUUUGCCAUUGUUGAUGAUCAUAGCAGAAGAAAUUGAGAAGAGCACUUGUAAGAUAGAUUAGUAAUAACAAACAUGAGGGACCAAUAAAAGAUAAGUAUAAUAUGUGGUUGCAGUACAUGGACUGCGGUACACAGGAUAUGCCAAACCAUACAUUAUAAAUAACUUUUAUUUAGAACCGCAAUAGAGACAAAGAUGAGUUCAAUGUUACCUUUCAUAAUGUGGUGUUUGAUGAAAUGAUACCAUAGUUCAAUAUGCUUGGUCUUCGAGUGAUGGAUAGGAUUGUGGGAAAUCGCUAUAGCACUUUCAGAAUCAUAGUAAAUUGGUAUCCGCAACAUUCUGUAUCCGUAGUCUAACAGUUGUGUUUUCAUCCAUAACACCUGAGAACAACAGCUGGUUGCGGCCACGUAUUCAGCUUCUGCGGUAGACAAUGAAACACAACUCUGUUUCCUUGAGGACCAGCUGACAAGUCUUCCUCCCAAAAAUUGACAUCCACCGUAUGUACUCUUUCGAUCAAGUUUGCAUCCGGCAUGAUCCGCAUCGGUAAACGCUUGCAGACUAAAUUCGUUGCAUGCAGGAUACCAUAGGCCAAGAGACUUGCUUCCUUUAAGGUACGGUAGUAUUUGUUUGGCUGCGGUCAUAUGAGAUACUUUUGGAUCAGCCUGAUACCUUGCACAUACACCCGUUGCAAAAACUAUAUCUGGUCGAUUGGCAGUGAGAUACAUGAGAGAGCCAAUGAUGCCUCUAUAAGUUUUGUGAUCAACAGGUUCUCCUGAGGGAUCAACAUAAAUCUUAUAACCAAAGGCCAUGGGGACCUUAGCUGAAGAGUAGUUAUCCAUUGAGUAUUUCUUUAGCAGCUCAGAGGUAUAUUUUUCUUGAUGGAUGAAGAUCCCUUGAGGAAUCUAUUUAAUUUGAAGUCCUAGAAAGAAGUUAAUCUCUCUAUUCAAGAUCAUCUGAAAAUGUGUUACUCAUGAGCUUAGCAAAAUCAUCCAUCAUCCUCUGAUCUGUGGAUCUGAAGAUGAUAUUAUCCACAUAUAUUUGUACUAGCAUAAGGUGAUCACCAUUUGCUUUUCUAAAUAAAGUGGGAUCAAUUACUCCUCUUUUAUAUCCUGACGAGACAAGGAAUUCAGAAAGAGUCUCGUACCACGCUCUUGGGGCUUGCUUCAGACUGUAGACUACCUUCUUAAGUUUAUAGCAGUGGUCAGGGAAUUCAAUACUUUCGAAACCAGGAGGUUGCUGAAGAUAGACCUCUUCCUUUAAUUCGACAUUUAGAAAAGCACUCUUAACAUCCAUUUGAUGAACUUUGACGUUUUUGUAGGCUGCAUAUGCUAGAAAGAUUCAGAUGGUUUCCAUUUGAGCUACCGGAGCAUACGUUUCAUCAUAGUCAACAUCUUCAAGUUGACUGUAGCCCUUUACAACUAGCCUUGCCUUGUUUCUGACUACGGAUCCGACUUCAUCGAGCUUGUUCUUGUACACCCAUCUGGUGGCAACAAUGGUGUGACCUUGCGGUUUUGGUAUGAGUUGCCACACACUGUUUCGUUCGAAUUCUGCUAGCUCUUCCUGCAUCGCAGCAAUCCAGUCGGGCUCUAGUAAUGCUUCUUUGAUUGAUCGGGGUUCGACGGAUGACAUAAACGCUGAGAAGUGGCAGUGAUCAGUUAAGUCUUGUGAAGAUCUGGUUUGAAAACCUAGAUGAAUUGUUAGCCACGUUUUUGGGGCUUAAGGGUACUAUAUAUACAUGUAGGCUAUUAGGGUUUUCAACUAGGAAACCCUAAUUUGAUUGCUUAAGCCCUAAGCAGCCCAUGGACCCUUUUAGAAUAUCCCUUGGACGAUUUCUAAUGGGUUUCCCCAUAGAAUUUGUCCAACCUAUUAUUCCAAGGUGAUCCAUAGCCGAAAUGCAAUUAUCUUAUAACUACAAUUCCAGUCCCUUAAGUUUAAUUAAUCUCUUUUAGCCACAAAACUAAUUAUCAAUUAAUUCUUGACUAAUACUAAUUAAACAAUAUGAUUUCUCCUUUAAUAUAUUAUUCUCAUAAUAUAUUAAUAAAUCAUAAUUAAUCCUUUCUCUCCAUAAUUCAUCUUAGCAAGUUGCCUUGGUGAAGGCAACCCAAAAGGACCAUGCACCAUCGGGUCAAGUACAUACCAAAAUAGUUAUAGACUUAGACACUAAUCCAACAGAAUACCCAUCCUGUGGGAUCCUAUCCGCAGGCCUCCCACAUAAUACCCUUCUUCCCCAAAGUGCUCCAAAAAAUCUCCCGCUCUCGGCUCUAGAAAUCAUAUCAUUCAGGGUCUCGCACCCUGACUCACUCGCCAGCUCGAUCAUCCACAGCUGAACUGCAGUAGCUGAAACAACCUCUAUCCUAAACUGGGCUACAACUGCUCCCAAGACAUAAUCUCCGAUCCCGAAAGUGCAAAGAAUCGCACAAUCAAUCCUUACCGUUUGAUGCAAGAGAUCCAAGGUGAAUCGGAUCUCACAAGAUACUUAUGCCACAUCAACACACCCGCGUUCACCAAUGCUGAAAUAUUGUCGCCAACCCCUACGACUAGCUGACCCCGAGCUGGAAUACAGCCUGAUCCUAGGGUCACUAGCCUGCUCAGUCCUUCGGGCUCAUAAAGUGAAAGGGAAUAAUCCUUACCCUAUAAAACGAUAUUCCAAUCCACCAAUUAAUCAUUCUACUUCCAGCUGCGAAACCCCAACUGAACCUAGUCAUCACUCCUUUCCGGAGUCCUCACGACUCUCAUUCCGGCCUUGAGCAAACCCCUGAGCCUAAAAUCUAGAAACUCAUGUACUAGCCUCUUCUGCUCAUCAAAAUAUGCCCCAGUAACGAGUCCCGGUACUGGAAAGCUCGACCAGCUCCUCCCCUACCGACGUUACAACUGUUGAAGCUGUUGCGGCAGCCGUCUCAACAAUGGCUGCAUAGCGUUCGUCGAAAUACUCAACCAUGGAGGUCUUAAUAGACCCACACAUCUCCGUUAACUGUCCCCAGACAAACUCGAUCACCUCCUCCCGGAUGAUCUCACUGACACGGUCCUUUGACAAUGCUGGCCUAUCCUGGCAGGCAGCUCCCGAUCCUAACCUGGAUCUGGUCUCUAGACGUCUCGUAACCACCAUUCUGGUAAGACACCAGGAAGAUCUCUGAUAACCCAUAUAAUGACAAAGAACCAAUUCCAAACUAAACCCUAGGGGUUGUGUCUUCCUUGCUACGCGUAUGGGUCAUGUGCUAUCAGCAGUACGGGCCCAUAGUACCUUCCACACCUACCCAUAUUUGUCUCAAGUAUCAUCACAACGCCCUAAAAAUAUAUGUAAUCAUAGCGAGCGCUCAAUCCUCACUCCUGGAGGAAUGCUAAAUAUCACAUAACUGGCCUCCCGGCCUUACACAACCCACCCAUCCAUGAAACUUCCACCAACCCCACAACACUAGUGUAUGCUAGCCAUACAUAAUGCUGGACCCUAUAGACUUUUGAAUAUCCAAUCUUACCCUAAGCCCCAAUCAAUAAGAACAGAGCAUAAGGCCGAAUCAAACAUUCUUGGGCUAUAAGAUCUUAGUUAUGUAUAGUCGUGAUGCAUACACUAAACAUCUAUAGUAAUGAUGUCAAUCUCAUAUAAGGAAACCCUAGGCUAACAGGCAUCAUGUAAUCACACAAUUCUAUCAUGCAAUUCCUGAAGAUCCCUAGCCUAGUACUAGCAUGCUGUUCUAGCAUAUCACAAUAUCAAAUAUCAGUAUCAUAUUUUGGGGUCAACUUACUGGCUCCGGCUGAUCGUACACUUCACAUCAUCUUUUACNUGUUGCGGCAGCCGUCUCAACAAUGGCUGCAUAGCGUUCGUCGAAAUACUCAACCAUGGAGGUCUUAAUAGACCCACACAUCUCCGUUAACUGUCCCCAGACAAACUCGAUCACCUCCUCCCGGAUGAUCUCACUGACACGGUCCUUUGACAAUGCUGGCCUAUCCUGGCAGGCAGCUCCCGAUCCUAACCUGGAUCUGGUCUCUAGACGUCUCGUAACCACCAUUCUGGUAAGACACCAGGAAGAUCUCUGAUAACCCAUAUAAUGACAAAGAACCAAUUCCAAACUAAACCCUAGGGGUUGUGUCUUCCUUGCUACGCGUAUGGGUCAUGUGCUAUCAGCAGUACGGGCCCAUAGUACCUUCCACACCUACCCAUAUUUGUCUCAAGUAUCAUCACAACGCCCUAAAAAUAUAUGUAAUCAUAGCGAGCGCUCAAUCCUCACUCCUGGAGGAAUGCUAAAUAUCACAUAACUGGCCUCCCGGCCUUACACAACCCACCCAUCCAUGAAACUUCCACCAACCCCACAACACUAGUGUAUGCUAGCCAUACAUAAUGCUGGACCCUAUAGACUUUUGAAUAUCCAAUCUUACCCUAAGCCCCAAUCAAUAAGAACAGAGCAUAAGGCCGAAUCAAACAUUCUUGGGCUAUAAGAUCUUAGUUAUGUAUAGUCGUGAUGCAUACACUAAACAUCUAUAGUAAUGAUGUCAAUCUCAUAUAAGGAAACCCUAGGCUAACAGGCAUCAUGUAAUCACACAAUUCUAUCAUGCAAUUCCUGAAGAUCCCUAGCCUAGUACUAGCAUGCUGUUCUAGCAUAUCACAAUAUCAAAUAUCAGUAUCAUAUUUUGGGGUCAACUUACUGGCUCCGGCUGAUCGUACACUUCACAUCAUCUUUUACUUAUUUUGAAAAUCAUUUAAAAUCAUUUCGAAAAUCUUUCCUUGAUUUGAGAUUGGAUUCACACGAAUGUUCCUUUAAUUCACUCAAACCAAGGCUCUGAUACCAACUUGAAACACCCAUUAAAUUUGAGCCAAAUUAAAACUUUUUAAUACAUUUCAAAACCAUGAAGUUAUUAUAGUUUGUUUUUCAAAAUAGUUUAGACAUUAGACUAUCCCCAGAAUCAAUUCAUAAGACUAUAAAAUAUGAGGAUUUGUACAAUCACGCCUUUGCCUUUCUGCGAUCAUCUGAUGUACCUGAAACAAUAAACUGAAACUGUAAGCCCGAGAGCUUAGUGAGUUACCCCAAAAUACCAACACCAUACAACAUAACCAUAUCAUAUAACCAAUAUUAAACAGCAUGCAUAAUAAGUCGUUAGCCUGACUGGACCGCGUCACAGGCCUUCGGUCUAUAUGGACUGUUCUCCGAGCCUUCGGCGCGUCUGGACUGCCUCGCAGGGCCUACAGCCUAUCCGGACUGCUCGUCGGGCCUUCGGUCUGACUGAAUCCCUUUACAGGGCCUUCAGGUUAUCCGAACCGCCCUGGGUAUGUUAGCCUCCCACACAAAGCAGGACUGCCUCAACCCAACCCCAAAUCAAACAAGCACGUGUACACAAAUAUCAUACACUUGCAUACAUAACAGUCAUACCAAUCUAACAGAUCACCAAUCAUAGCAACAUCCUAUAACCAGGAUACCGACCUAAACAGGUCACUAACAUAGCAUCAUCCUAUAUACCAGGAUAUCGAUAUAACAAUCAUAAUAACAUAACAACAUCCUAUCUACCAGGAUGCCGAUCUAACAAAUCAUAACAGCAUACAAAGCAUACUAUAACCAGGAUACCGAUCUAUCCAAAAUCUAACAUAGAAACCAUCCUAAACCAGGAUGAAAUCUAGCAUAUCAAUAACAUAGCAACCAUCUUAAACCAUGAUGUAAUCUAUCAUAUCAAUAAGAUAGCAACCAUCCUAAACCAGGAUGUAAUCUAGCAUAUCAAUAACAUAGCAACCAUCCUAAACCAGGAUGUAAAUCAUAAAGGGCCGGCCUUGGUGUCGUAGACCCUGUUAAUAUAGUGAUGAUAACUCACAUGGCACUGCUGAAGUCCCGCAGAUAAAACUCUAGCUGCUGGUUGACAGCUUCCCGAACUGUCAACAUCAAACAAUACCCAAUAAAUAAUUGGUUCCAGGUCCACGAUCCAACUCACACUCCAAAGACCCAAAAGUCAAGUAAUGCUCCAAAGUACAACAUAUGGCCCAAUUUUCCAAAUUGGGCCCAUACCCUCAUAUGGGCCUUACCCUAAGCCUAUCAACAUAUUCUAGUCCUUAUGAUUAUUCUUGGAUGGCCCAUUUAUAAUCCAAUUACCAAAGCCCAAUAGAAGGCCCAAAAGAAAUUAGGGUUUCAUAUAAAGUGACAAUUAGGGUUAAUUGUUUCUCACUUAACCCAUUAAGGACUUAAUACAUUAAGUCCCUUACUUUAGUAAAUAAGUUAUAUGUUAGGAUUAGGUUUAAUACACAAUUCCAUCCCAAUGACCCAAAUGUGGGUCCCGAUAAGUCCAAGCUCAUAAUCCCAAAAUUAGGGUUUCCAAAUGAAAUGAUGAUUAGGGUAAAGUGUUUCUUACUUAACCCUUUAAGGACGUAAUCCAUUAAGUCCAUUAUUGCCUUAAGUUAGUUUGCCAAUGAUUAUUAUUUGAUAUUUCAAGCUUAAAUAAUUCUCGUGAAUGACCCGAUUAAUUCCCAAAAAUUGAGUUUUAUUGGCAUUAGGGUUUCCAACCAAAUACUAGCCUAUUAAUCAAAUGGGUGGGCUUUUAGGUCAAUUAGGGCUUUAUUGGGCCUAUAAGGCCCACUAAAAUAUCAUUAAACCCAUUAAGGUUUUAUUGGGGUUCAUUAGAGUCCACUAGGGUUUACAAGGCCCAUUAGGGUUUCAAGCACCCUAAACGUAUCAAACUUAACGAAGCAAGCACACACCACUCAGCACGGCGGCCGGUGGCGGCAGGAAGCGGCAGCCACCACCUCAUGGUGGUGGUUAUGGAUUUCCUAUUAUUAUUUCAGCACCAUUUACAAGUUACAACACUAUCCAAAACACACACACAUACUAAUAUAACUACAUACACUAAUACACACACACCCACACAACCACCCAUGGCUACAGGCGGUGGUCAGAGGUGGCAACUCUUGCGAGUUCCGGCUAGAAGAUCACGUACACCCUAUCUGUUCACAAAAUGACCCCAGCCACCCACCUGGUGGCGUGAGGCGGCAGCGGAAACCCAAGAGGCGGGCAACAACGACAGCAAGGGUUGUCCCUCUUUACUCCCGGCAUCCCAACGUUGGUCUUUUUCUUCCUCAGCCACCAUAGGAGCGGUGAUAGCUGGUGGCAGCGAAUACAAUAGCGAAAUGGUGGUCUUCAACCAAUGGCGGCGGUGGCUUCGCUCCUCACGAUUGGGCACAACGGCGGUGCAACCAUGCCGGAAUAGAAAUGGAAAUGAAAAAGAAAAACACGGCAAGGAGGUGGCACCAAUGGUCUUUGACGACUCUCCCUUGGCUGCCUACGAUGUCACCAGCAGCGACUGUGACGUUUGGAGGGUGAAGCAGCGACGACAGUCAGUUGGAGGUUGGAACAUCAGAGAAGCUCGGAGGAGGUUGCGGAGAACCGAGGUUAACGAGUGGUGCGGCGGCUGGAAGAGGGAACGGGAGGUAUAAGGGGAAGGGGUGAUGGGUGCUUAUGAUUUAGGGUCAGGGUGUGAAUGAUGGAGCAGUUGUAUCCGUUCCAUAAAAACAAGGAUCCAUAUUGACGGAAAUAGUCCAUCCUCCUCCCUUUUCUUACAAAACAAAUCCUUAAUUUACCCUUUAAACCCUUGCUCCCAUAAUUCUUUUCAAUACCAGUCCAACAUUUACAAAACAAACCCUCCUCUACAAAUUAUUCUUAAUUAAGACCCAUAAAUUUCCAUUUAACCCCUCCUUCUGAAAAUCCUUACAAAUCAAGUCCCGAAAUUACCAAUCAAUCCCCUAAGCCUUCAAAUUCUUUCAAUUUAUAUCCAAUUGUUACUAAAUGGCCCUUCCAUGAUAAUUCAUUUCAACUUAAGUCCAGGAUUUACACUUUUAAUCCCUCAGAAAUCAAAAGUAUAUCAUUGGGCACCCCGAAACCAACACUCUACUAACCAUUUAAUUAUUCUAUUUAAAACGGGGUGUUACAACACUCCACUAACCAUUUAAUUAUUCUAUUUAUAGAGUUAGGUUCAUAUAUAAACCUUAAUUAUUGUGUGAAUGUGUGAACCAAUGAGAAUUUAGAAAAACAAUAAAUGAUUAAUUAAAUAAGUAAAAGGUAAUUUUGGAAGUUUAAAUAUAAUUAUUUACUAACCAAAAAAUGAAGUCGUAUAUUUUCCUUAAAUCAUGGUUUCGGUUACAAGCAUGCAAGAAUACUAAUUACUUUUUUGUUAUUUAUUAACUACUGUUUUUGAUUGUAUAGACCAUGUUAAAUUAUUCUUCAAACCAUUUGCAGUUAAUUUUUUUUCCUAGAAUGUUAAUAUUAUUCUUAAAGAAUAUUAGUUGUGGUCACUGUUAAUGGAUGUUGAUCCAAAAAAGUUGAAACAUAAAGAAUUUUAGGUCUUGUAUUCUUCAAGAGUUAUUGAAUUCUCAAAGAAUUCUUCAAUUAUAACAAAGUAAUCAUGUUACAGACUUUUUUAUUCAAAGUAUUAUUUUCGAUAAUAUAUGUUGUACUAUACCAUAUUCAUAAAGAAUACACAAACAAUAAUAAACAAAAUUGAAAUACAAUAACGAAGGUAGCACUCAUUCUAAAAGAAUAUACUCCAAUUGAUGGUAUUAAAAAAUUUAAUCAUGCUAAAUGAUGAAAUUAUUCUUAAAGAAUUUAAAUAUGCAGAAUAUAUUAUAUCGUAUUUUUAAAGAACGCACAGAUAAUAUUAAACUUCUCUUUUUACAAAAAUUAAAUGUGGUUGCAAUCGGUUACAAAAAUUCAUUCAAUACAUUCCUUAUUGAGAAUUAAACAAAAUAUAAAUUAUGUCUUUAUAAUAAUUAUUUUUAAUUUCUUAUUAUAAAUAUAUGUUUAUGUAUGUUGUGUUCCAUUGUAAUUAUGGUAUACCAUAUAAUCUUAGCUACAUACACAUUUAAAUCUAAUGGUCCAAAAUGUAUCAUACACUCACACAAUAUAUAUCAUUCACAUUUAAUCCUAACCCUCUAUAUAUAUAUAUAUAUAUAUANNNNNNNNNNNNNNNNNNNNNNNNNNNNNNNNNNNNNNNCGAGGAUAACCCACUUCCUGCCCCGAACCUGAUAACAACCUGUUACCCGAUCCGAAAUAAUUAGGUUUCGGGUUUCCCCGUCGGUUCGAGUUUUUGUGCUAUCCCUAGUCCCGAAUGAUCUAUUCCGAAGCAAGUGUUAUUUUUCAAAAAUAAAUAAUUAAUGAUAUUAAAAAAAAACUCAAUUUCCCCGUGGUCGAUGUAAUUAAUUUUGUCCUGAUGAAGUUACAAAAAAGUGGCCUUCCUAGUUCCUUUAUCCAGAAUACCACUUUUUCAACAUCUCGGCGUUGGCAUUACCACACAACUAUCUUCUUGGUAGGGUUAGUCACCUCAUCCAAAUUUCACAUAAACUUUACGCAACAAAGAUCUGAAUAGGAGAUCCUUCAAGCCUUAACCUUCAAUGGCCUCUUCUUCGAUUGCAUCCAUUCAGAAAAGCUUUACAUAUGAUGUAUUUUUGAGUUUUAGAGGUGAAGACAC
rnacentral:lncRNA from 1 species